UGAACAAGCAAGAUGAGAGGUACAUCAUUACAGUACUAUCUCUGCUGUCUGUCAGCUAUCGACUCGGCUUUGUACAGUGGUGAUCCCUCCAUCUUGAGAUGAAAUCACCAACACUUCCAUUAGGCCUUCACAAGGGAGUUUGCACAUCCUAGUUGCUACUUAGUAUACUGAGUGAAUGACAGAUCCCUUGGGGGACCGAAUAAACUCCUUAGUAAUAAAGUCUAAGGCAUCUUAAUGAACUGAUGAAUGCUCCAAGGGAAAGACGUGUAUCCCAGUGAGCUUUGGCUUUAUCUAGACACUACUUGUUCUUAUGAGGGUUUUCUCCUCCACGUUGCUUUUCCAUAUGUCUAAAUCCACCCAAGGGGUCUUCUUCACUAGUUAAUGAGUUUACUUCAGUCUCAUUGAAUCCCAAGAACAUCCAUUUCUAUAUAUAAGGACUAUCUAUAUAUAUUUAGCAUCCAAGUCUCUCUUCCAGAGUACAAGUGAAGUCAGAAAAUGGUUCUCAAUUUGAAUCCCUUGCUUUCUCUUACUUUCCUGCAAAUGGGUUUUCAUUCAUCUCUCAAAUUCUCCAUGGUCCCCAUGCACCGCUCUGUGUCCAGGUGAGUGUGUUCUUCACUUACAGAAGUUUACGGAAUGUUCAUACCAUUUAGAAGAAAAUGACAAGUGCCUAUGUUCAUUGUUUCAUCCUAACCAGUGUCUAACCAGACGGAUCCAAAUUGUAAGUACCUAAUCUGAAUUUCUUCUGUUUAAUGUAGGGAGGUUAAGAAUACAAAGAAGACUUCUGGCUCUCCUCACAAGGUGCAAGUAACCCACUCAAUGCCACCGGCCCACCACACAAGAUUGAGAUUUUCAAAUCCAUGGAGAAUUGGGUUGAGGAGAACGUUUUAAUUCACCUGAAGCCAGUUGAGAAAUGUUGGCAACCUCAGGAUUUUCUGCCCGAUCCUGCUUCUGAUGGAUUUCAUGAGAGAGUUGAGGAGGUAAAGGAGAGGGCAAAGGGGAUCCCGGAUGGCUACUUUGUCAUUUUGGUUGGAGAUAUGAUCACUGAAGAAGCCCUUCCAACUUACCAAACACAGAUCAAUAUCACUGAUGGAAUUCGGGAUAAAACAGGGGCAAGCCCCAGCUCUUGGGCAACUUGGACAAGGGCAUGGACCGCUGAAGAGAACAGGCACGGUGACCUUCUUAGUAUCUCUAUCUGUCUGGAAGAGUAGACAUGAAACACAUCGAGAAGACGAUCCAGUAUUUGAUUGGGGCUGGAAUGGUGAGAUUCUUGCUGCAUACUUUUUUACUGUUUUAUCUCCAAAACCACAAUGUAGUGACUGCUUUUGGUAUCUCUAUCAGUCACAAUCUUCACUAGUUCUUGAACUCAAGUUCUUUUUCUCCAUCUUUUCAUAGGAUGGGCAGAUCGAAAACAAUCUGUACCUUUUAUUCAUCUAUACUUCAUUUCAAGAAAGGGCAACCUUCAUAUCCCAUGGCAACACUGCCAGGCUCACUAAGCAACAUGGGGACAAGAACUUGGCUCUAGUAUGUGGCAUAAUAGCCUCAGAUGAGAAGCACCAUGAAACUGCCUACACCAAGAUAGUGGAAAAUCUCUUUGAGAUUGAUCCCAAUGGAACUGUUUUGGCUUUUGCAGACAGCAUGAGGAAGAAAAUCACCAUGCCGGGCCUCUUGAUGUAUGAUGGCUGUGAUGACGACCUUUUUGAACACUUCUUAGCAGUUGCUCAGUGGCUUGGUGUGUAUGCUGCUAAGGACUAUGUUGAUAUCUUAGAAUUCUUUGUGGAGAGGUGGAGUGUGGAAAAGCUAACUGGGCUUUCUAGUGAGGGGCAAAAGCUCGGGAUUAUGUUUGUGGGUUAGCUUAAAGAUUGAGAAAGCUGGAGGAGAGAGCUCAAGAAAAGGCUAAGCAAGCACCCACCAUUCCUUUCAGUUGGAUUUUUGAUAGAGAAGUGAAGCUCUAAGGGCAAAAUGGAGUCACUAUAUGUAGUUUCUAGGUCGUGUUCUCAAAGAUUUAUCCAGUAAUAUACAAGUGUAAGGCAUCUAUGUUUCUCUAUCUCAAUUUCAAUAAUCACGAUCUCAUCUCAUUUCACUUCUUAGAAUGCUACAAACUCGAGCAGUGCCAUUUUUUUUUCUUUCACUAUAGGACAUUGGUAAAAGCAUCCUUAGCAAAAAGGAAAUGAUAGGACACUAUACAUCUAACAACCCUUUUUAAACUGGUUUUGCUGGUUUUAUUUUGGGUAUUUUUGAAUAAGCCCAAGUUUGGCAAUUGUUGCUUGAUUUUGUUCUGUGAUUUUUGCUUUCCUUUUAUUUUUUGCUGAGUCAAUGACUCUUAGGUAUAAAGGGACUGAUUCUUUUGCAAGGGAUUAUGAGAAGAUCAUCCAAUAAAAAGUUCUAUUUUUUUAGUCAAUAUGUCUUCUUCUUCCUAGCUGUUUCAUUGGUUUCAAAACGACAACCAGGCACCAAGUAAUGGUGGAUGGUAUCAAAGCUCUGACGAUUGUUGAUCUGAGGUCUCCUUCAAUCACUUUACAGAAUCCUCUAGUUCCAUCUGCCAUUACUUGAUACCAGGUUGUAGCUCUGAUACCAAUGAAACAGCCAGGAAAAAGAAGACACAAAAUUGACUAGAAAAAUGGAACUUUUUAUUGGAUAAUCUUCUCAUAAUCCCUACCAAAAGAACCAGCCCCUUUAUACAUAAGAGUCAUUGCAAAAAUCUGGGAAUAAAAUCAAGCAACAAUUACCAAACUUGGCCUAUCUAAAAAUACCCAAAAUAAAACCAGUAACCCCAAUUUAAAAUGGGUCUUUACAGUACAUAUUCCAAUCUAGGAAGCGGCUUAGAGAGCUCAGCACGUGGGUGGUAGUGGAGAAGGAAAUUAUGGCUCCUUAAUAAAUGCAAAUGUAGCCCCAGGGAAUGAGCCAAAAUUUUUCUCUAAAAGUUUUCUGUUCAUAAUUUAGAGCCGCUCUGCUCCGACCCAAAGAAGGGUCGAUUCGGUAAUAGGAAAAGCAAAGACGAUAGCGAGUGACCUACAGCAUUCGUAGAUAGGACUUCGCCAAAAUUUUCCUCUGAAAGUUUUCUGAUCAUAAUUUACUUCUCAGUGCCUGAACCCUUCUGCAGUAUCUUUUCUAAUUAAUGAAUUUCUUGAAAUGGGGCAGUUUCAUCGAAUGUCAUCAAUUUCUAUAUCCAUGUAUAUGUAGCAUCUAAGUAGCAAACUGAACCUAAGAAAAAGCAGAGGAAGUGAAAGUCCAGAAAUGAAUUUCAACCUAAACCCCCUUACCUUUCAACCCGGGAAGUUUCCUUCUCUUUCUCUCCGUCCCAGAUCUUCCAAUGUCUCCAUCGCUUCCACCAUCACCUCUGGUUCCGAGUGAGUGUCUUUCGUCGAAAUGUUCCUUUAAAAAUUCAUUUGAUUCUCAAAAUAUUCUAUGAGUGGAUAGAUCUUACCGAUGUUCAUUGAAAACAGGAGGAAGCAAAGGCCAAAAGUAUGCAUCAUUUUUAAGGCACAACCAACAUGAAUAGCAGCCAAACAGCCCAAUUGACCACAUGAAUCUUUUUUUUUUUUUUUUUUCUUUUUCUUUUUCCGGUUUCCUAUACUUUCUCGGCAACCAAACGGGUUGGGAGAAUAGGGGAAAGUGAAGGCAGCAACUUGUUCGCUGAUUUGUACAAGGCCAACCUUCAAUGCAAGUAAUUGCGUCAUUCGAUGAUAAUCAACGCUCUCGCUCUGAUAAUUGGCUACGGCAACCCUAUGAUUGGUUUCCAAGAAAAUGAUAGAAAAACAAACACACAGAAUCUGAGACUAAUGCUUGGGAGACGAUCCAAAAAAGUCAAAACAAUCAUACUGCACUUUAGAUGGUGGUCUGUGAAUUGGGCCGUAGGUAUGACAGUGGGCUAGGCCCAACUAUAACGGAAAACUUUUUUUUUCUUUUAAAAAUUCAAAUAUAAAAAAUGAUUUUCUUUGCUUAUUCUACAGAAGGGAGUAAACAAAAAUUCCCGACCUAGUAUCCAUAAAUAUAUAUUACAAGUAAGGGUCUCCAACGGGCGGGCCGGGCCGCAGGCUUUUUUAAAUAAGCCAAAAUGACUUUUAAAUAAAGGAAGGGAGAGGGGGGGAUUCGAACCCCUCCCCUUAAGCUUAAAUUUUAAGGCUUCAACCAACUGAGCAACAUUCUUUUUGUACUUAUUAAAUGAGUUAGUUAUAUAUAUAUAAAAAUAAAGUAUAUUAUUUUUUUAAAAAAAAUUAAAGGCUCCAUGUGAGUCAUGUGACCGUUGGGGCUAAGCCUCCAACGGUCACAUGACCAAUUUUUUUUUUUUUUAACCUUCCUAUAAAUACAUUUUCUUCCUUUUCAUUUUUUCAUCAAAUUCUCUCUAUUUCUCUCUCUAUUUCUCUCUCUAUUUCUCUCACAUUCUACAAUAUUUCAAAUUCUUUUAUUUUUCCCUCAAAUUAUACAAUAUUGUUGGUGGUGCAAAACAAGUAUUGGUGGCUCUAAGAGUUCAAAUUUGCUAGGAAUUUCUGCAUCGGUUCUCUAAUUGAGUAACAUACUUCACCCCUACUACUUUAUUUUUUUGUUACAUUUUUUUUAUAUUUAUUACUUUAUUAUUUUUGGCAUAAUAUUUUAUCAAUAAUUAUAAUAUGACAAGUGCUUCUUCAUCUAGUCCAUGUGAUGAAAUAUCAUCAAACAAAAAAUUUACUUCAAAUAUAGAAAUAAUUUUAAAAAAUAAUAAAAAAGAAAUAAAAGCAAAAUGUAAAAUUUGUAAUAAAUUUCUUACUGGUGGCUCAAAUACAGGCACAAGUCAUUUAAAAAGACAUCACGAAAAUUGUAAAACUAAAAAUAAUGUAGAUAUUAGAAAUUAUAUGCAAUUAGGUAAAAAUGAAAGUAGAAAUUUAAAAACAUUUUCUUAUGAUGAAUCUAACUGUCGUGAAGAAAUGAUUGAUUAUAUAAUAAGAGCAGAACAACCUUUCAACAUGAUGGAAACUCAUGAUUUUGUAGGAACAAUUCAACGAGGUAUUAAUCCUCAAUUUAAAGGUUGGUCUGGAAAUACAGUUAAAAGAGAUAUUAUGAAAAAAAUUUAUACACAAAAAGAAAUUUAAAAUUUUUUUUUUGCAAAUUUUGAAGGAAAUAUUUGUUUAACAUCUAAUAUUUGGACAUCUUUAAUUCACACUGGUUUUUUAUGUAUAACUGCUCACUACAUUGAUAAUGAAUGGAAAUUAAAUAAAAGAAUAAUUUCAUUUAAAUUAAUAAAUGCUCCACAUAGUGGCAAAAAUAUAACAGCUUUAAUAAAUGAUGAAAUUAUAGAUUUAGACAUUCGUGAUAAAAUAUUGACAAUAACAUUAGAUAAUGCUGCUAAUAAUGAUAUAGCAAUACAUAGACUAAAACGAUAUUGGCAAGUAAAAGAAGAUCAUGCUAAAAUAUUUCAUGUGCGUUGUUGUGCACAUAUUUUAAAUUUAAUUGUAAAUGAUGGAUUAAAAAAUGUUGAUAGUACAUUGGAAAAAAUUAGAGGCAUUGCAUAUAGUAUUAAUAGUUCUCAAGCAAAACAUGAAUUAUUUUUUGAUUGUUGCAAAAUGUUAAAUAUGAAAAGAAAAAAUAUAAAUUUGGAUAUGGCCAUUAGAUGGAAUUCCACAUAUAAACUUUUACAAAAUAUUACAAAAUAUAGAAAAGUAGUCGAAUUAUAUGAAAUACAAUUAAUUAACAAUGAUUGUGAAACAGAUAUUUAUGCAUUAAAUGAUUAUGAUUGGCAUAUUGCGGAUCUUUUAAGAGAUCUUUUUGAAAUUUUUGAUACUUCAACAAACAUUUUUUGUGGUGUAUAUUAUCCAACUUCAAAUCGAGUUAUUACGCAAAUAACUAAUAUUUUUAUUGUACUUCAAAAAUAUUUAAGUUUUGAAAUAUUUAAUGAUACAAUAUUUGCAAUGAUAGAAAAAUUUAGAAAAUAUUGGGGAGAAAUACCUUUAAUUUUUUAUAUUGCUUUAAUUGUGGACCCUAGAUUGAAAUUUGAAGCUUUGGAUGAAUGGUUAACAAUUAUUUAUUUUAAUGACCAAAUAAAAAUUGAAGAAAUUAAAAAUGAAAUAAAUUCAUUAUUAUAUAAUUUAUAUAACUAUUAUAAAGAAAAAUAUGGUAAUGAUAUUAAUACUAUUAAAUUACCACCUACAAACUCCUCAUCUUUUUAUAAAGGAGCUCUAGAAAUGUUGAAAAGUCGAAAAAAGACAACAAAUAGUUCUCCAAAUAAUACAUCUGAUUUAGAUAAAUAUCUUAAUACUGAUAUAAUUUCAUUUGAAGAUCAAGAAGAUUUUGAUAUUUUAAUAUGGUGGAAAUCACAUCAACACAAAUAUCCUGUGCUUUCUAUAAUUGCUCGUGAUGUACUAACAGUUCCUGUGAGUACAGUUGCAUCAGAAGCUGCUUUUAGUGCAGGUGGAAGAGUAGUUAGUAAAAAACGAUGUAACUUAGCGCCAGAUGUUAUUGAAGCAGGGAUAUGUGUGAAAGAUUGGGAAAUAGCAGAUAAAAGGAUGUACGAUUCCAUUUGAGAAACAGAGAUGCUUGCCGAUAUGGAAUCUUUAAAAUUAUCAAGAUCUUCAUGGAUGCAUGAUAGUUCGCCAUCACCGCCAGAAAAUAAUGACUAAAUGUAUAUUAUAUUUUUAUUUUUAUUUUUUGUGGUUGAAAAAUACAGAUGAUUGACAAAUAAAUAGGUGCCAACCUAGUUGGGAUGUAUUUAUUUUGUAGUGAUGUAAACUUUUCCCACAUUUUUAAAUGUAAUUAUACAUUCAAUGAAUAAAAUUUUGAAAUGAAUAUUUUUUUACUUUUUAUUUUUGUAGUUUUUUUUUAAAGGGGCGGGCCUAAGGGCGGGCCUACGGGCCGGCCCGGCCCGCCCAUAAACGGGCUUGGGCCGGGCUUUAGCCCGUCGGGCCGAGCCGGGCCUAAAGUGGGCCGCGGGCUUUUUGGAGACCAUUAAUUACAAGCAUAUUUUAAAAAUCAUUUCUUAGAAAAAUAAAGUGUCGUUUCCAAAAACAUCCUUCAACAAUGGUUUUGAAAACAUAAUUUUUUAGAAUAAUAUUUUAAAAUUGUUUUACAAUGAUUUGUAAAACAAAAGUUUGAGAGUUUGAAAUGUUUUUGACAUAUUUUUAAUAUUUUUAAAUAUGUUUUAAAAAUAAUUUUUAUAUUUAGUACUUUAUUUAAAAAGACCGAAAUAAGAAUUAAAAAAAUGCUAUUUAAAAACAUCAUAUUUUUUAUUUUUAAGAAUAAAAAAUAGAAAAUAAAUUUUUGAUUCUCAAAGUUUUUUUUUUUUUGAGAACAUAAAACUGUUAUAAAAAAAUAAUUGUCAAAUAAGGUCUUAUUUUUUUACACUCAAGCCUCCCACCCACCUACAAUUCCAAAAAAACAUCAUUUUUUUUUUGUUUUAUUUUGACAAAAAUGUCCUCCUUAAUUUCUUGUAAAAAUAAUUAUUUCUUUUAAAACCUACAUGAAAUAUUUAAAAUAAUAAAAUACAUUUAUGUCAAUAAUGAGUUAUUUUUCAAAUAAAAAUAUAAGAAUAAUUAGAUUCAUAAAUUUGGGAUUAUUUCAUAUUUUUUAACUAAUUAAUUCUUAAAAAUAAAAAAAUCACUUAACCUUAUUUAAAUGGACUUUUGAAAAGCCAAUUAUUUUUCAAUUCAAUAAAAGCUUUUUUUUUUCUUUUUUUUUUUUUUUUAAAAAGCUUAAUAUAAAAGGUAGAAAAAUAUUGCUUUUUAUAGAAGCUAUGUUUUAACUUUUAUUUUAUCUAAUACAAAAAAAUUAUUUAUGUUUAAUAAAGCUUUUAAAAUAUCAAUAUUGUCAUUUAAAAAUGAUUACAUAAAAAGAAAAAUUGAAAUAAUAUUUUGAGUGAUUUUUUAUAUUUUUUAAAAAUUUUCAAACAUCUAUUUUUGUAAAAACAUGUUUUCAAAUAUUCAAAAACACUUUUAACUUUAUUAAAAUCACUCUAAAAUGACCUAUUGGACUUAAAAUUGACUUUAAGGAAUUAGAAAUGUUUUGAUGACGGUGAUAGCAAUGUUAUAAGUUAUAUUGGGUUUGUUUGAAUCGUUUGAUAGUGAUUUUAGAGUGUUAGAAACGUUUUUUAAUAUUUGAAAAUACUUUCUUAUAGAAAUUAGAUGUUUGACAAACUCAAAAAAUGUUUAAAAAAAUUAUUUUUUCAUGUUUGAUUUAUUAUGAAAAAUAUGAAAAAAAAAUCAAUUAAAACUUAUGUCUUCUCAGAUUAUUUAAUUAUUCUAAAAAAAUAUAAAAAAUAAGUAAAUUAUUUUGAAAAUUUCUUUUUUUUAAAUCAAUAACAAUUUUUUCUUACUCUUUUAUCCUUCUUCCAUUUUAGCUCAUUAUCAUGUCAUUUAAGCUUAAAAAUAUGUGUUCAAUUUAAACUUAAUAAUAAUUUGAAAUGGGUUUAAGUGAGUCCUGAAAAAAAAACCAAUAAAUAAAGUCAAUAAGUUUAAUCUCUGAUUAAAUUAUAAUUAAUGUAUUAAUUAAAAAACUAAUUUAUGAGAUUAUGAGAAAUAAAUGAGGGGAGAAGAUACAAGAACAAACUCGGUGAAUAAUAGUUAGGAUUUAGAAAAAAAAUAUUUAUUUUAACUUAUUAUUUAAAGUUAUAUUUAGCUUUAAAUUGCAAUAUUAUGCCAUUUUAUCAAAUAUUUUUAAUGAUUGAAAUUAACUUAUUAAUUGUUUUUGAACACAUUUUCAAUUUUUAUUUUUAAAAUAAGAGCUCUUACAUGAAAAGUAAAAUCUUAUGUUUUUAAAAAAUCAGUUUUAAAAUUUUUAAAUUUUUUAAAAACUAUCUUAUUUUUAAAAUAAGUCUCUAAAAACUCUUAAAGUGCGUUUAAGAGUGAUUGUAAAAAGCGUUUCUAGUAUAACAUUUAUGAUAAAAAUUUUCAAGUAUUAGAAAUAUUAAAAACGCUUCUUAAAAUCAUUACCAAAUAAGUUCUUAAAUUGUAUGUCAAAAUUGAUAUUAUUUUUGUUUCUAAAAAUAAAAUUGAAGAAGUCCAUCUAAAUAAUAUUUAAGUCAUAUCCAACUCAUAUUAAGUCAUAUCCAACUUAGUUGGUAUCGACUUAAUUAUUGAAGCCAUAUGUUAAUAUUCUUUUAAUGCAUCAACCUCCACUCAAUUAAUACAACCUCAUACGAGGCUUUCCAAGCCAAAGUCUAUUGUUGAGUCUUGAAUGUUAAUAAAUGGAACUAAUCCCAACAAUAAAGUCUUAUGCCACAUGCCAAUUUCAAUAAUUCGUGAAAAAUGACCAACUUUAUGUCAACAAAUCUUAUUUAUACAGGCUUCAACUCCUUCAAUAAUUACUCUCAUAAAUUAUAAAAAUUACCUUAUACUUUCAGAUCUGCCUUAAUUCAUCUCUAAGGGAUUUUUUUUUUUAUAAAAAAAAUAAAAAUAAAAAGCAAUAUCAACCCUACACUAGUUUCAAAGAUGAAUAAGUUCUUAUGAUUGGAACAUAGACAAAUUAAAAAUAAAUAAACAUAUCAUAUAAUGUUCGAAAAAAUAAACAAACAUCUAUUAUCGUAACAUAGACACACGUUAUCUAUCUUUAGUGUUGAGCAUGGUGAUGGUGGUAAAGUUGCAAAGCCUUUUUACUCUAGAGGAGUAAAAAAGGGCCUUGAUGGCGACGAAGACAAAACGUGGGGUGGAUGGUAGUUGAAUAUUGGUGAUGGUGGAAUUUAUUAGAGUACUAUUUGGAAUCUAUUUGGUAGUAAUUUUAAAAGGAAUUAAAAGCACGGUGAAUUGUUUUGUAGUAGUAAUUUUAAUGUUUGAAAAUGAUUUUUUUUUUCUUCUUGAAUUUAGAAACAUAUUUAGCAAUGAUUCUUGAAAACGGUUUUUGAUUCUUUAGAAUAGAACAAUGUUUUCUAACUAUAUGUUUCAGAGAAAAUAAUUUUGUUAAAAAUGCAUAGCAUUAGUAGAUUAGCAAUUAAAAAGAAGGAUUUUCCAAGAUAGGGCUGAAUUCAGAGAAAGAAAAUAUGCAUAGAAUUUGAUUAAAAUGUCUAUAAACAAGCAAGUUGAGUUUUAGGGCAAAAUAAUCCUUUUAUAAAAUAAAAAUGUAAGGUAUAGCCCCUUCGUAAAACUUAUGUUCAAACUGUCCGAUUCAUUGCCGUAUAAAAGUCAUGCCAUAAAAUAUAUUUUUCUUUUCAAAAUUUAAGUUGAAACCUCAAUUAUCAAUUGGAACUUCAUUUUUUUUUAACUAAAACCAUAAUUUGUAAGUGAGACCAUUGAGGCUUCAGUUGAAUUUUUUUUUUAAAGUUUAAAAUUUAAUUAAAAUAUUAAACUAUAAAUUAUUGUUGAAAUUAAAAAUAUAUACUUUAAUAAUAAAAAUUAUAUAUUUAAACUUAAAAGAUCUAAUAUAACUUCAAUAAAAAUAAAUUGAUAAAUAUAAUAAUACAUAAAUAUUUUAUUUAUCAAUAAAUUAAUAAACUUAAAAUAAUAAAGUUAUAUGACAUAUAAAUAAGAUAUAAAAUUAUAUAAUUAUUAAUUUAAGAUAUUUAAUUUGUUGUAUUUUUAAGAUAUUAAUUCAUUUGUAUUUUGACAAAUUUAUCUUUAUUAAAAUAAUAGUAUACUAUUAAGUUUUCAUAUAUAGAUUUUUUAUUAUUUUAAAACAUAUGUUUAGACUAUUAUUUGUAGACACACGAUAGAUUUCAAAAUUAGUUAAUGAAAUUAAUUAGAAAAAGUAUACUAGAAAAUGUAAUUUUUAGUAGUUUCAUCAAAGUCACAAAAAAUACCCACUAAAUAUUUAUAUAGUGGGAAAAAAAACCCCAUUCCCUAACUAUAGCAGUUGCUACAUGUGAUAUAACUUAAAUUAAUAAAUUAUAUUUAGCAUUUCUAUAUAUAUAUAUAUUUAGCAUCCAAGUCUCUCGUCCAGAUUACACGGAAGUGAAGUCAGAAAAUGGCACUCAAUUUCACUCCCUUGCUUUCUUUUACUUUCCUGCAAAUGGGUUAUCAUACAUCUCCCAAAUUCUCCAUGGCCUCCAUGCACCGCUCUGUGUCCAGGUGAGUGUGUUCUUCACUUCUUACAAAAGUUUACGGAAUGUUCAUACCAUCUAGUAGAAAAUGGCUAGUGCCUAUGUUCAUAGUUUCAUCCUAACCAGUAGUGUCUAACCCUUGUGAAAAGACGGAUCCGAAUUGUAAGUACCUAAUCCAAAUUUCUUCUGUUUAAUGUAGGGAGAUUAAGAAUACAAAGAAGAUUUCUAGCUCUCCUCGCAAGGUGCAAGUAACCCACUCAAUGCCACCACACAAGAUUGAGAUUUUCAAAUCCAUGGAGAAUUGGGUCGAGGAGAACGUUUUAAUUCACCUGAAGCCAGUUGAGAAAUGUUGGCAACCUCAGGAUUUUCUGCCUGAUCCUGCAUCUGAUGGAUUUCAUGAGCGAGUCAAGGAGCUACAGGACAGAGCUAAGGGGACCCCAGAUGACUACUUUGUGGUUUUGGUUGGACAUAUGAUCACUGAAGAAGCCCUUCCAACUUACCAAACACAAAUCAAUAUCACUGAUGGAAUUCGCGAUGAAACAGGGGCAAGUCCCAGCUCAUGGGCAACUUGGACAAGGGCAUGGACCGCUGAAGAGAACAGGCACGGUGACCUUCUUAAUAAGUAUCUCUAUCUGUCUGGAAGAGUAGACAUGAAACAAAUCGAGAAGACGAUUCAGUAUUUGAUUGGGGCUGGAAUGGUGAGAUUCUUGCUACAUGCUUUUUUUUUUUUUUUUUUUUUCUGUAGUCAAUCACAAUCUUCACUAGUUCUUGAACUCAAGUUCUUCUUCUCCAUCUUUUCAUAGGAUGCUCAGAAUGAUAACAGUCCCUACCUUGGCUGCAUCUAUACUUCAUUUCAAGAAAGGGCAACCUUCAUAUCCCAUGGCAGUACUGCCAGGCUCGCCAAUCAACAUGGGGACAAGAGCUUGGCUCAAAUAUGUGGCAUAAUAGCCUCAGAUGAGAAGCGCCAUGAAACUGCCUACACCAAGAUAGUGGAAAAGCUCUUUGAGAUUGAUCCCAAUGGAACUGUUUUGGCUUUUGCAGACAGGAUGAGGAAGAAAAUCACCAUGCCGGGCUUCUUGAUGUAUGAUGGAUGUGAUGAAAACCUUUUUGAGCACUUCUCCGCAGUUGCUCAGAGGCUUGGUGUGUAUACUGCCAAGGACUAUGUUGAUGUCUUAGAAUUCUUUGUGGAGAGAUGGAACGUGGAAAAGCUAACUGGGCUUUCUAGUGAGGGGCGAAAAGCUCAGGAUUACGUUUGUGGGUUAGCUCAAAGAUUGAGAAAGCUGGAGGAGAGAGCUCAAGAAAAAGCUAAGCAAGCACCCACCAUUCCUUUCAGUUGGAUUUUGGAUAGAGAAGUGAGGCUCUGAGUGCAAAAUGGAAGACAAAGAUUGGUCGUGUCCUCAAAGAUCUAUCCUGUAAUAUACAAGUGUAAGCCAUCUAUGUUUCUCUAUCUCAAUUUUAAUAAUCACGAUCUCAUCUCAUAUCACUUCUUAGAAUCCUACAAACCAGGGUUUUGGUUUAUAUCUCGUCAUUUGGACUGAAGCAGUGCUUUUUUUUUUUUUUAAUUCCUAUAAGAUAUUGGUAAAAACAUCCUUAGCAAAAAGGAAAGGGAAAAUCAUCUAAUCAUACACCAACUACAAAAAAUAUGAAAUUUUGAAACUUUACUUUUUUCUUUUUAAUUUUGGUGUAAAAUGGAAAAAAAUAUUGUGUAUUCAUGCACUCCAAUAGUGCUUUCAAAUUUGUUCCACAAUUACCCUCAAAGGUAAAGGACAAAGUACACACUAAUUUAAUACUAUUUGUUAACAAGUAUAUGAGUCAUUCAAUUUUAUUAUUUUUCUCACAUCAAUAUAUCUCCCUUACCACUUGUCACGUUUUCACUUUUUUCUUUUUUCUUUUUUUUUGUUCCUCUCUUGCCACCAUAAUCCAUUGUCACCUAUUAUAGUUUUUAUUUUUAUUUUUAUUUUUUUUCCUUUAUAUUCUUUUUAAUAUACUCGUGCAUUUUCUCAUAAAACUUUUUUAAUUUUAAUUUAUUUUUACUCUUUAAUUUGUCUAUAUUUAUUGAUUUUAAUUAUUUUUUUUUGACAUAUUAAACUUAAAAUGAUAACAUGUAAUAAAUAAUUAAUAUAAAAAAUUAAAUAAAAAAUAUAUAUAUAAUGGACAAAAAUGAAAUUAUCAUCCCACAAAUAAUAAUGAUUUUAAAUAUUAAUUAUAAUAAUACAUUUUAUAAAUUAAGGUUUAAAUUUAAAAAUUCUAUUUUAUUAUUUAGAAGUUUAUGAUAUAAGAUUUUUUAUAUUAAUAUUAAACAAAAGAUUUAUUUAUUUUGUAAAUUCUAUCACAUGUGAUUUCUUCCGAUUUUCUUCUUUUCCUUAUAUUUUUUCUCAAAAUUCUCACCAGCCAAACAUAGGAAACCUUUUUUUUUUUAAUUAAUAAAUUGUCCAUUUAUUCCAAAAAAUAAAAAUCUCUUUUCAAAGUGAAUUCUCAAAAAACAUUAUUUAACAUUCUAAAUAACAAAAAACUAUUUUUAAAAACAAAAGUUUAAAUCUCUUGACAUGUUUAAUUAUUUUCAUUUUUUUUUAAAAAAACACAAAAUUCUUAGAAAAUAAAUAAUUUAUUUACCAAAUUCCCAACUUCCAUCCUUCUCUUUGAUUCAAAGGAAAAAAAAAAGAAUUUAAUGGUUUUAUCAUAUUUAAUUAACCAUAAAAGGAUACAAAAACUCAAUUAUAAUUAAUAUUAGUGAAGACUUACAUUUUUAAAUUAUUUAAAUUUUAUAAAAAGGUGACAAAAAUCAAUAAAAUGAAUUUGAAAAAGCAUAUAGAAUUAUUUUUAAAUCUACUAUAUAUUUUAUUUCUAAUUUCUUCUUCUUUUUUCCUACAUUUUUCUUCAAAAUUUUCAAUAACCAAUCAUAGGUAAAGGAAAAUUGUUAGUUUUAAUUUAUUAAUAAAUUGUCAAUUUUAUUCGUCCUAAAUUCCUAAUGAGUGUAGAUUCUUUUUUGUAAAAAAUAUUUCCUAAAUUGAUAUAUCAUUGUAAUAUUAGAUUUACUUAUAAAAUAAAGAAGGUUAUUUGAUUAAAAGGGUCAUAUCCAAUUUUGGAAAUUUAACCCUCCACAUUUUUUGUCUUAUUUUGAUAAAAAUGUCUUCACUAUAUAUAUAUUGUAAAAACAAUAAUUUCUUUUAAAACCUACAUGUAAAUAUUUAAAAUGAUAAAGGACAUUUAUGUCAAUAAUGAGUUAUUUUUCAAGUAAAAACAUGAGAAUGAUUAGAUUUACAAAUUUGGGGAUUAUUUUUAUCCCUUUUAACCGAUUAAUUCUUUUAAAAAAAAUCACUUAAAUCUUGUUUAAAUUGAUUUUUGAAAAGCCAAUUCUUUUCUAAUUCAAUAAAAGCUUCUAAAUUUGUUUGGCUAAUUUGGUUUAAAAAUUUUAUGAUUUGAACAAAAAAAAAAUAAAGAAAAAAAAGCUUAAUAUAAAGUGUAGAAAAUAUUGCUUUUUAUAGAAGCUAUGUUUUAUCUAGGGAAAGUUGUGUUUGCAUCGGCCCAUUUGAAGGUAAUAUGGAAAGCAAACCCAAAGAAACUGGAAUAUGGACUUUGAUCGUUAAUGACAAAACUAUUAUUUUUCUUGUGCACUAUAUACUUUCGGUAAGCUAUUCCAAAAUUGCCCUUUAGUUUUCCCUACCAGCAGCCACCGGUCUCCAUUUUAGCAGCCACCGCGCAAUUUAAUAAACACUCAAAUGUGAACCGGAAAGUUAUGAAAUCUGAAACCUGAUCACAAAAAACACCCGAACCCGGCUGACACUAUUAUUGACCUUUCAUUGAUUUUCAGGUGUUGGGCUUUGUGGAGCCUAGUUUUGUUUGAUCCGGUUUGACGACCCGACCCGAAUAAUAUUGCAUGGCUUUUUUAAUGGGAGAUUUAUUGAGGCCUGUUGGGCCCGUUUAGCCCAUUGUGGAACCACCUUUUGUAAUUAGGGUUUUUUAGUAUGGUAGGGUUGCCGUGCUAUAUAUAUAUAUAGAGAAUAUUGUAGCCGCUAAGUUGUACUCUGUCUUCUUCCUUGAUAAUAGUGAUAUCCCUGCAACUCCGUGGACGUAGGCAAAUUGCCGAACCACGUAAAUACUGUCUUGUGCGUGUGAUUGUUUUUCUUUGGCGUGUGUUUUCUCUAAUUUUUUGUUUCUCACGGGUUGGGAAUUCGGUUUAAUUCCCUACAACUGGUAUCAGAGCCUAGGGUUAGGUUUGAGUGGGAGCAAUGGCAGAGGAAGCAGGAAAGGCGUCUGGAAUAGAAAAGUUUGAUGACACAAACUUUGCGUAUUGGAGGAUGCAGAUUGAAGAUUAUCUCUAUGGGAGGAAAUUGCAUCUGCCUCUUUUGGGGACAAAACUUGAGAGUAUGAAGGCUGAGGAAUGGGCGCUUCUUGACAGACAGGUUCUAGGAGUUAUUAGGUUAACUCUGUCUAGGUCUGUUGCACACAAUGUUGUAAAGGAGAAGACCACAGCAGAUCUGAUGAAGGCUUUGUCCGGUAUGUAUGAAAAGCCAUCCGCAAACAAUAAGGUGCAUCUGAUGAAGAAAUUGUUCAAUUUGAAGAUGGCAGAGAAUGCAUCAGUAGCACAACAUCUGAAUGAAUUUAAUACAAUCACAAAUCAAUUGUCGUCUGUAGAAAUUGAUUUUGAUGAUGAGAUUCGUGCUCUGAUCGUCUUGGCUUCUUUGCCAAACAGUUGGGAGGCAAUGAGGAUGGCAGUAAGCAAUUCUACAGGAAAGGAAAAGCUCAAGUACAAUGAUAUACGAGAUUUAAUUCUGGCUGAGGAGAUUCGCCGAAGAGAUGCAGGUGAAACCUCAGGAUCUGGUUCUGCCCUAAACCUUGAGACAAGAGGCAAAGGUAAUAACAAAAAUUCAAAUCAGGGUAGGUCAAAUUCCAGAAAUUCUAAUCGGAACAGAAGCAAAUCUAGAUCAGGCCAACAAGUACAAUGCUGGAAUUGUGGGAAAACAGGUCACUUUAAAAGGCAAUGCAAAAGCCCUAAGAAGAAGAAUGAAGAUGAUUCUGCUAAUGCUGUAACAGAAGAGGUACAGGAUGCAUUACUUCUUGCAGUAGAUAGUCCACUUGAUGAUUGGGUUUUGGAUUCAGGAGCUUCGUUUCAUACCACUCCACACCGAGAAAUCAUACAGAAUUAUGUUGCAGGUGAUUUUGGUAAGGUGUAUUUGGCUGAUGGUUCAGCCUUGGAUGUUGUGGGUCUGGGAGACGUCCGGAUAUCAUUGCCCAAUGGGUCUGUUUGGUUACUGGAGAAGGUUCGACUUAUUCCUGACCUGAAGAGGAAUCUGAUUUCUGUUGGACAACUUGAUGAUGAAGGACAUGCAAUACUAUUUGUUGGUGGUACUUGGAAGGUUACAAAGGGAGCUAGGGUAUUGGCUCGUGGAAAGAAGACUGGCACUCUGUAUAUGACCUCAUGUCCAAGAGACACAAUUGCAGUUGCUGAUGCAAGUACUGAUACAAGCCUAUGGCACCGCAGACUUGGUCACAUGAGUGAGAAAGGGAUGAAGAUGUUGCUGUCAAAAGGAAAACUACCAGAAUUGAAGUCCAUUGAUUUUGACAUGUGUGAAAGUUGCAUCUUAGGAAAGCAAAAAAAGGUGAGCUUCUUGAAAACUGGCAGGACACCGAAGGCUGAAAAAUUGGAACUAGUACACACUGAUUUGUGGGGGCCUUCUCCGGUUGCAUCCCUAGGAGGUUCAAGGUACUACAUCACCUUUAUUGAUGACUCAAGUAGAAAGGUAUGGGUUUAUUUUCUGAAAAAUAAAUCUGAUGUAUUUGUAACUUUUAAGAAGUGGAAGGUCAUGGUUGAGACAGAAACAGGUUUGAAAGUAAAAUGUUUGAGGUCAGAUAAUGGAGGAGAGUACAUAGAUGGAGGAUUCAGUGAGUAUUGUGUUGCACAGGGAAUUAGGAUGGAGAAGACCAUUCCUGGGACACCACAGCAGAAUGGUGUGGCUGAGCGCAUGAAUAGAACUCUCAAUGAGCGUGCUAAAAGUAUGAGGUUGCAUGCUGGACUACCAAAAACUUUUUGGGCUGAUGCUGUUAGCACUGCAGCUUACCUGAUAAAUCGAGGACCAUCAGUUCCCAUGGAGUUCAGACUUCCUGAGGAGGUUUGGAGCGGUAAAGAGGUGAAGUUUUCACAUUUAAAAGUUUUUGGUUGUGUUUCUUAUGUUCAUAUUGAUUCUGAUGCUCGUAGUAAACUUGAUGCAAAGUCAAAAAUAUGUUUUUUCAUUGGUUAUGGUGAUGAGAAAUUUGGCUAUAGGUUUUAGGAUGAACAAAACAGGAAAAUCAUCAGAAGUAGAAAUGUGAUAUUUAAUGAACAGGUUAUGUACAAGGAUAUGUCAACUGUAACGUCAGAUGUUACAGAGAUAGAUCAAAAGAAAUCUGAGUUUGUCAACUUAGAUGAAUUGACUGAAAGUGCUAUCCAAUAAGGGGGUGAAGAAGAUAAGGAGAAUGUGAAUUCACAGGUAGAUCUGAGUACACCUGUAGUUGAAGUUCGCAGAUCUUCUAGGAACACUAGACCUCCGCAGCGUUAUUCACCUGUUUUAAAUUAUCUCCUGUUGACUGAUGGUGGUGAGCCAGAGUGUUAUGAUGAAGCCUUGCAAGAUGAGAAUUCAAGCAAGUGGGAGUUAGCCAUGAAGGAUGAGAUGGAUUCCCUGUUGGGGAAUCAGACAUGGGAACUGACUGAAUUGCCAGUAGGAAAGAAGGCUUUGCACAACAAGUGGGUAUACAGAAUAAAGAAUGAGCAUGAUGGUAGCAAACGUUACAAGGCCAGAUUAGUUGUUAAAGGGUUCCAACAGAAGGAGGGCAUUGACUACACAGAGAUAUUUUCUCCAGUUGUGAAGAUGUCAACAAUUAGACUUGUACUUGGAAUGGUGGCCGCAGAAAACUUACAUCUUGAGCAGUUAGAUGUGAAGACAACAUUCCUUCAUGGUGACUUGGAGGAAGACCUUUACAUGAUUCAGCCAGAAGGGUUCAUUGUUCAAGGACAAGAGAAUCUAGUCUGCAAACUGAGAAAGAGCUUGUAUGGCCUUAAACAAGCUCCUAGACAGUGGUAUAAGAAGUUUGACAAUUUUAUGCAUAGAAUUGGGUUCAAGAGAUGUGAAGCUGAUCAUUGUUGCUAUGUUAAGUCCUUUGACAACUCUUACAUCAUAUUACUAUUGUAUGUGGAUGAUAUGCUUAUUGUNNGGUCUGACAUUGAGAANNNNNNNNNNNNNNNNNNNNNNNNNNNNNNNNNNNNNNNNNNNNNNNNNNNNNNNNNNNNNNNNNNNNNNNNNNNNNNNNNNNNNNNNNNNNNNNNNNNNUUUUCUUGCCAAAAAUUCGGCUUUUCAUUCAAAGUCGAAACAUAUACAAACAAAAUACCACUUUAUCCGUUAUCUUGUUGAGGAUAAACUGGUAAUACUUGAGAAGAUUUGUGGAUCUAAGAACCCUGCAGACAUGUUGACUAAGGGUGUCACUAUUGAGAAGUUGAAGCUAUGCGCAGCUUCAAUUGGUCUUCUAGCUUGAGGACAGGAGGAUGAGUUGUAGGGAUGAGGGAUCGUUUCUUGGAGGAUAACGGUUUGAUGUUGGUGAUUGGACUAGUCUCCAAGUGGGAGAUUUGUUGGGCUUUGUGGAGCCUAGUUUUGUUUGAUCCGGUUUGACGACCCGACCCGAAUAAUAUUGCAUGGCUUUUUUAAUGGGAGAUUUAUUGAGGCCUGUUGGGCCCGUUUAGCCCAUUGUGGAACCACCUUUUGUAAUUAGGGUUUUUUAGUAUGGUAGGGUUGCCGUGCUAUAUAUAUAUAGAGAAUAUUGUAGCCGCUAAGUUGUACUCUGUAUUCUUCCCUGAUAAUAGUGAUAUCCCUGCAACUCCGUGGACGUAGGCAAAUUGCCGAACCACGUAAAUACUGUCUUGUGCGUGUGAUUGUUUUUCUUUGGCGUGUGUUUUCUCUAAUUUUUUGUUUCUCACGGGUUGGGAAUUCGGUUUAAUUCCCUACAUCAGGGGCAUGAGGUAUGUGGGUAUCCGUGAAUCAUGUUUUUCUUCAGUGGGUAUGGAUUAUUUUCGAAGUGUUCUAUGAUCUUCUUGCUCUUAUCAUGGGUUACUUCGGAAACUUGAAUGUUAAUGGUGUUGGUUUACAAUAUUUUCGAAAUUGCCGAAUGAUAGUUUUACUACAUUCUUGUGGGGUUUUUCUAUUUGUUUCUUUUAUCUUUUAUUAAUUGUGUUGCAAUUUGUGGUUUCAUACAGGAGAGUGGCUUUUGCUUUGUGUGAACUGCAAAUUGUACAGGAACAUAUUAAGGAUUUUCUUUCUUUUUUGUUUUUAUUGGGAAUAGUUUUCUAGGAUGGUUAAGUAUGAAUUCUUUGAGAACAUCUGUACCAGAAAUCGUGAAGAAAAUCUUGAGUUGAUCGUAGUGUGUGAAUAAUGAUUAAGCAUGAUGGAUUAAGUGUUUCAAAUGUACCAUAUUGAUGACAGCAUUUUGCGUAGAUGGUGCCUUAAAUUCCUAGGUGUCGGGUAAUGCUAGCUGAUAGGAUUGUUGAAUUCACCUAUUCCUAGUAGCCUGUGUGGCUGGUUUAAAGAAGGAAAUGGAUUAUAUCAAUUUUUUGGUUGCAAAUGACUAUUUAUUUGUCUAUUUAUUUAUUCUUUUCUUAACUUUUUCCCCUUAUAAUCCAUUAUCACAGAAUGUUUUUGGACCUUGUUCAGUUUUUAUUUAACAAAAUUCCAAUUGAUUUCGUGUUGCAAAUGUUUUUAAGAUUAUUUUGUGUCUCUGAGGUUGUCAUUGUUUCUAAUUGUUUGCGAGGGGAGGAGACAUCCUCUUUUUGUCUCUUUUAUUUUAUUUUAUUUUAUUUCAUUUUAUUUUUAUUGUUUUGUAUUUAUAAUUUAAAUCAGAAAUAAAAAAAUUUAUUAUAUGUCUCCCUUUUUGUUGACAUUCAAAUCUUCCUAAGAACAUGGCUAUAGGCAUCAGAAUUACAUAGAAGCAAUUAAGGGUGUACUAGAAAUUACAUUUACUUUUCCUCGGUUUAUGUUUCAAAUUCAAUUCUUGUUUUUCCUAAAAAGUUAAUCCUUCCUCACACCAUAUAUCAAGUUGAGAACAUUUGCCUUUCUUGGUGUCUUUUAUUAGCUGAACAAUAUGAUUAGGUUCAAUACACAUUUAUGUGCAUGUAUUUAUACAUAUGCAUCUAUUUACGAAAUACCUAAGGACAAUGGUUUUGAAUAAAGACUUAUGAGAAGGUAUCACAAUAGAUACAGUGGAAUGGUCAAAAGGUGGAGCAAUAAUAUUGGUAAGCAAUUUAAUAAUGCUAACACAAGCCAUUAUGCUCUUUGUUGACAUUAAUUUAAUUAAAAAAACACUACAAGAAAAAUGGGAAAUAAUGACGCUUAUAAGAAGUGUCAUAAUUGUAUUAUUUACCUUGACACUUAUUAUAAGUGUCAUUAUUUGAUGUGGUAUUUUUCCUUAUAACUGUGUAUAUAAUGACGCUUAUAAGAAGUGUCAUAGUUUUAUUAUUUACCUUGACACUUAUUAUAAGCAUCAUUAUUUGAUGAGUAUGUAAUCACGCUUCUAAGAAGUGUCAUAGUUGUAUUGACUUUUAAAAUUUUUGUUUUUAAGUUAACUUAUACAAAUUUUGAUAUUAGAAUUUUAUUCUAUAAAUUAAUUAUGGUAAAUUGACACUAAUAUUAAUGACAUAAAGUUGCUACAUUAAGGUUUUUUUAAAAAAAAUUGGAUAUAAAUAAAAUAAAUCCUAAUAAUUUUUUUUUUAUUAUUUGAUAUUAAUUUUUUUUAUAGUUUGUAUCAAUACAAUCUAUUUUCAUAAACUAUUUUUCAUUUUUAUUAAAUUAGAAAUUAUCUUAUAUUUCAUUUAAAAAUAAUUUGUUAAUUUAUGUGUGGACCACAAAAAAGUGCCCUAUUUUGAGCACUUGUUCGGGCCUUGGACCACAUUUAUUGGGUUUAACCCAUUAUUUGAGAAGGUUUUAUAGUUAAUGAAUAUAAAUUUGAAAUUAUUUAACUAAAAUGAAAUAAAUUAAUAUUUAAAUUAAUUUAAUGAUGAUUAGACUCACAAUAAAACUAAAUGCAAUAAGAAUAUUUAUAAAAAUUUUCUAAUAUUUAUGGGAAAUAAGCUCAUUCUAUUAAAUUAGUUUUUUUUUUUUAAAAUAUCAAUAUUCAAAUUAAACCAACAUCAACCUAAAAUAUCAAAUAAUUAAACAAUAUAAAUUCAUUAUGAGUUCAAUAUAUAAAAAUUAUUAUUGGAAGAUGAAAUAAAGAAUACUAUUUUUAAUUUAUUGAAAAAGGACAUGCGUGGUAUUUUAGAAUUUGUUAUAAAGUCCAAAGAGAAAAGAAGGGACGAAAAAGACAUAUUUCAUACUUCAAUAAGCCUUUACCAUUUUCUUUACUGAAAACCCUAAAUUUUCACUCUCCAUUGAAAACCCUAACUUUUGGAAGACAAGAAAGAAGGGAGAGAGCCACCGUUUUUAGAGAGAAAGAAGAGAAGAGAGAAAAACACAGGUUUUUCUCAUCAUGCCCAGAUUUCAUCAAAGGUCCGAUCCCACUUCGUCCGUGGUCCGAUCGAGCUAAAAUUUGGAGGAGAGUUUCAUGACUCAUUUAUCUUCAAUAUGAACGGUGAAGAUCGGAUUUGGAGUUUCGGAAAGUCAUUAGAAAGAAAGAGGAGAAGAGAGAAAAACGCAGGUUUUUCUCAUCAUGCUCAGAUUUCAUCAAAUGUCUGAUCCCGCUUCGUCCGUGGUCCAAUCGAGUUGAAAUUUGGAGGAAAGGUUCGUGGCUCAUGUAUCUUCAAUAUGAACGAUGGAGAUCGGAUUUGGAGUUUUGAACAGUCAUUACAGAGAAAGAGGAGAAGAGAGAAAAACGCAAAUUUUUUUCAUCAUGCCCUAAUUUUAUCAAAGGUCUGAUGCAGCUUUGUCCAUGGUCUGAUCGAGCUGAAAUUUGAAGGAGAGGUUCACAGCUCAUUAAUCUUCAAUUUGAACGGUGAAGAUCGGAUUUAGAGUUUUGGAAAGUCAUCUUUCUUGUUUUGGUGGGCUUUUCUCUCCGGACUGUUUUGAUCAUUAGCUUUGAUCGAGGUCAAUUCGUAGUCCGAUUGAGUUGCAAUUUUGGGAGCACAUUCAGGACACAUUGAUCUUCAUUCUAACAGUGGAGAUUGGAUUUGGAGUUUGGAAAAAUGGUAUUUCAGUCCAAGAACAGUGGUUAUGUUUAGUGAGAUCUCUCCAUUAUUCUGGAUUUAAUUUUGGAUUUAUCUAGUGUUUAUCUUAUAGUGAUUUACUAUUUUUGAUAUAAAUCAAAUUUGUUUACUUUUCAUGUCACCUGCUUUGCUAACUAACAAAUUAGAGCAGUUUCUUCUUUUAUUUAAUCAACCAGAUGAAGAUCUUAAUUGGUUCAAAUUAUAGAUAUUCUCAAUCAAUUGAUAAAUUAUAGAUAUAUUGCAUCCACCAAGUGUUCGAUGCUUAGUCCAUGAGAAGCCAAGUGCUUAAAUCAAUUGUUUAGCUUAUUAUUUUUAUUAUUAGUUUUAUUAUUUCUUCCCUUAAAGGCAUUCUUGAAGAGCUUGGGAAGUUCAUGGGAGGUAAUAAAGUCACUGAACUUUUGAGUUAGUUUGAAGUGCUUGAUUCAAAUCCAUCACCAUGAUGACUUAGAUUCUUAUUUUAUUCUUGUAAAAAAAAAAAAAAAAACUUCAUUUUGACACUUUUUUAAUCAUAUAUUCUCAAUUAUAUGAUAAGUAAAAAUAGUAAUUCCAUUAAUAUUUUAUAUUUUAAUAUUUUGCAUAACCUACCAUGCAUGAAUUACCUCAUGUUUUAUUGAUUUCACAAGUUGGUUUGAGUUUUUGUGGUUUGAUUUCAUUUGGUUCAAGUUGUACCUUGUUAUUUUGGAGCUGGUUUUGGGAGUGAAAAAUGGUGAUUCGUUGAAGAGAAGAGAGAUUGGGAUUUUUCUUUUAGGAGAGUAGAAGUGUGAAGAAAGGGUGAGAAUUUUCUAGGUAAGAGGAAACAAGAGAACAAGGGUUGUUCAAUUAAAGAUUUUUGAUAGAGGGAGAGAAGAAAAUUGAGGGAAGAAGCUGUGAGAGAAGGAGAGUUGUUUUGGGUGCUAGGCAAAAGGCAAGAAGUGAGGGUUGUUCGGUUAGAUAUCUUUGAUAAAAAGAGUGAAGAAAAGGAGAGAUGGAGUUGUGAGAGAAAGAAAGAUAGAGAGGAAGACAUAUGAAGACUAUGUUAAUUUGUUAAUGGAAAGAUUGAGGGAAAUGUUGAAAGAGGAAAAAAAGAAGGAAAGAAAAUAUAAGAUUGUUUGGUUGUUCAUGGAAAGCUUGAGGGAAAUGGGAGAAAGAGGAAAAAGAGAAGGAAAAAAAAUGUAAGAUUGCUUGGUUGUCCAUGGGAAAAUUAUUAAAUUUAAGAUGAAUGCAUAUUUCCUACCUCUAUUCAAUGAAAAUUGAGAGGAAAAUCUUUAGACAUCUUUUCUACUUUUUUCCUUAAUAUUUUUUUCUUACAUUUUCCCAUAAUAUAUAAAAUUUCCCUUUGAAACUUUAUUUACGUUUUGUUCUUUGGAUUAUAUAUUUGAUUUUUUGUUUUUUAGGUAGAAGAAUGAUGAAUAAAAUAUAUUUUAUUGGAGAAAAUCAACUAAUAAUGCUCUUUACAGUUUAGUUCGUGGUAAAUAACUCAAAACCCCAUUUAGAAAUUUAUUUUUCUAUUGCUCUUGAAUCACCUAAACUAAAAUAAAAAAAGAAAAGAAAAGAAAGAACUAGUGUUUUUUCUAUUGUUUAAUUUUCUCAAAAUUUUCUACUUUUCAUUUUAUAUUGGUUCUUGUGUUUUUUUUUCCUUUAAGAUUUUUGUGAGAGUUUUAGUUUGAAUUGCACUUUUUGGUUUUUGCAUUUAUAAUUGAGAGAUUUUUUAUUCUCCUUGUAUUUGUUUAUAGGUUUCAAAGGAAAUUGGUUGGCCAAAAGACAAGAAAUCAUAAUGUUGAAGGAGGUAGUGAUGCCGAAAACCAUGAAGAUUACAUCAAAGUCAUUUGGAGGAUGAUCUUAUUUUUUUUAUAGAAUAUAGUUCUUAAUAGUUGUUGCACUAAUAUUUGUUCUUUUGUAGAAUUAGAAAUUGUUAUUGAAAUAUUUUGAUAUAAUUAACAAAUUUGUAUGUAAUUAUUGUAUGUAAGUAUGAAGUUACAUUAAUGGUUUGAAUUGUAUAUCAAUAUUUGAAACUAUUUUUAUUAGUAAAAUUUAGUUUAAUUUUGGGGCUUUUUUAAUUUUUAUUUAAUUGUAUAGGAAAUCAUUAUUUUAAUAAUAGGAUAUAAAAUAAUGUGUCAUGGAUAAAAUCUAUUAAAUAUGACACUUCUAUAAAUGUCAAGAUUGCUUAUUUCAUAAAAAUGAUAUCACUAGAAAAUGUUUAAAGUUGACGCUUCUUACGAGUGUCGUUGUUAACAUUAUCCAAAGAUGAUGCUUCUUUAAACGUCAUUGAAAGUAUUUAUCAAAGAUGGCGAUUCCUAAAAGCGUCAUUGUUGCCUAAGACAUACAAUGACAGGGCCGAAAAGGACGCUUUAGAGAAGCGUCAUCUUUUUCCUUUCUUGACGCUUAAAAAACGUCAUUAUUUCCCAUUUUUCUUGUAGUGAAAAAUGGGAAAGUUGUGUUUGGAGCCGCCCAUUUGAAGGUAAUAUGGAAAUCAAAGCCAAAGAUUGUGCAAUAUGGGAUUUGACCGUGAGCGGGAAAACUAUUAUUAUUCUUGUGCACUCUGUGCGUAGUUCCUUUUAUCUCCCUAGAGUACCCUUUUACAGACUCCAUGUCAGCAACAUUUAAUGUCUCAAAGUCAGCAGGAUAUAUCUAAAAUUGAAUAAAACACAAAAAUGUAAAAGUUAAUGAUGUUGGGUUACAUCUCCUCAUGCCUGGCCUGAGAACAUAAAAUUUUCCAAACACCCAAUCUUGUUUAUCUCAUUUUAGCAAAAGAAACCCUAAAAUGUCCAAUCUAUCUCCACUAUCUUAGCAACCAAACGGAGCACUUCAUGGUAAGAACACUAGUAACUAGCCCUACUAAAGGCAAUGGCAAUGCACUUGUAAAGAAUUGUUGUCUUCUUACUUUCUUGUAUCACCAUCAUUGUCAUCAUUAACAAAGCCUUAUCCAAAGACAAAUCAUGUGUUGUUUCCAUCCUAAGAACCCAUGUCGUCACUCUUUACUCUACAGUUAAAAAUAUAGAACUAUGAAUAAUCUCAUAGUGAAUUGAAAUCCCCAGAGAAUUGAACCAAUCCAUUGUAUUAGACAUAGGGUACAAAAUGAAUCCAUGGUGUCUUUGGGAGUGCUCUGAUGCGCAUACUUAUUUUUCUUGUACACUUAGGACUACAGUAAAUGAUCUAUUUUCUAUUGAUCAUGGUGAUGGUAGUGAUUCCUCUAUAUGCAGUAUUUGCUUGAGCACACAAAUGGUCAUGUUCAAUUUAUGUUUGACAUCCAAAACUAGCCCUUGUUAAUUCAAGUCCAUUCAGCAUUCUGCCCCACCUUCUAACUUACAACUCCUAAUUCUCUCUUCUCAUGGGCAGAUGUAAAAAUAAGAUCUAAAAUCAGUUUGUAAUAUGUUGAAUGCAUGAAAAGGCAUUAAAAAAUUCAUGCCAUUUCUCAAGGACUUUUCUCAUGUUUCAUCGUUAUGCAAUUUCACCAAUUGGCUACUAUAUAUUAGGACGUUUAACUAUGGCAAGGAACUUGUCUGAAUGAAUACUAUUUCAUCUCAGUAACAUUCCUUUAUAUUGGACUCACCCCUAGAUAGACAUGCAAUAUAUACUAUAAUUUCUCAACGUUUUCAAUCUCUGGAUUCACUGGUUUUGGUUGCUAACCAUCUGCUCAGAAUUUUGGCCCUGGAACCAAAUACAAGAAUGACAUAAUCAACCUAUUUUUUUUCACAACUGGCCCAUGUCCAGUGAACUAUAAGUCUGUGUGUCAACCCUUAAGGUUGUCCAUUAUAUUUUGCUAUCAAUUUAUAUAUAUUACUAUUCUUUUUCUACCUAAAGAUUUUACAAGAUACUGGGGAAAAACCUUGACUUCUUCAGGGGCUUUGCUCUUUUGAUUAUAUUGGGUGGAAUGCAUUCCUGAUCUUCAACCACCUUUUAUUUAUUUUAUUUUUUUUUAUUUUUUUUUAUGGAUGAAGUAACUUUGUGACAAAGAGUUACGGUUGCGGAAACCAAAGAAAGAUGGGAACCGCCACAACGGAAGCACCUAAUGGAGAAUUUGGUGACUUUCAGGCCAGUAAUGCAAGCAAUUGUCCUACCACCAUAAAACAAUAGCACCUGGGUCGUCUGCCCAAUCACAAUGACUUGGUUCUAUGUCUAAAUAUCACAUGACAAAAGAUGAGGUUACCAUCAUAGCAUUUGAAGUGAUUUGUGUAUAUACUCCAAUGAUUCAAUUGUUCCGUACCAUUAUGGAAGGAGAUUUGGGAAUGAAAAAAAUCAAUCUACUUUCAUUCGGUAUUAUGGCUUAAAUUCUUUGACUCUUUAAUAUUCAGUCAAAUUCUCAUUUUUGAUAAUUGAAUGCACCUUUAUAGUCCCAUAUUCACUAACUCCAAACAGGAACUUGGUACAGGUUUUGCAGUAUACAAAUCGCUUUCCUCCAUGAACAUCUCUCAUGGAAUUGCAUUCAACAUUCUCACUUUCAUGAUUAAGUGCCUCAUCAUAAAGAGAUGUUCCUGCAUUUAAGCUAACUAGCUAAUAAAUUAAUAAAGUCCUAAAUGGAUAAGAACAUGGGUCUAAAAACCCCAAUCUUAUAAAUCUAGGAAUACAAGAAUAUUUUUACUGUGAGAAACUUCUUUGUUCUUGAAAACUCUUUCUUAUUUGCUGUAAUCAAGUAGCAGUCUCACUGAAAACAUAUUGGAUGGGUACACAAAGAUGGUUCUCAAAGGACAGUCUGAUAAACAUUGUAGUAAGUAGUAAGCUAAUAUUUGAGUUCUAAGGCUUCAGCAAUGAUGAUUUUGUUGAGAAAAUUUUCAACCUUACUCACCUUACUCCUAUAGUCCUGAUUCUAAAGCCUUAAACUUUUAAAUUUUUGUCCAUACUUUUGGUGGAAUUAUUAAUGACUUCUCUAGUCUCAGAAAUUAAAAUAAUAUCAAUAGCAAACAAAAUACACCAUGACACUUCAUCCAAGAUAUGCCUAAUAAGUUCAUCCAAACUAAUGCAAAAAAUAAAGGCUUAAUAUCAACCCAUUUUUUUCUUUGAUAGGCAAAUAAUCAUUUUUUUUCAUUAUAAAAACAACAUCUAAACAGAAGGGUGUACUAGGGCAUACAUGGUAUACACAAAGGUGUCAGCGAGUGGCCUACUCUGCAUUCCUUAUGGCAACUCUACGACUCAUGCAACCUAUAAACUAUGUAGAGGUAAAUACUUUGCUAUAUUAAGCUAUUGAAGGAACAAUGCAGGCUAAUGACCCUUUUUUCCAGUCAUCAUUCAAGGAAAAAAAAAAAAAAGACUGCAAAUGGACUAUGCCUGGCCAUGGGAACUGAACAGAUUACCUAUCUUUUGAGCAACCCCAACCCUAAGACCAUUCAUAGUUGCCUCAAAAAAUUUAUAAAAUUUGUUAAUUAGGCUUCAUUUUAUAAGUGAAAUUUCUGGAUAUUGCUAAACUAGAAUGUGCAAUUAUCAAGUUCAUGGAAAUUUAUCAUAUAAGUUAAAAAGGAAGUCUUUCUUCCUAGAAGGUGUAUAUGAAUAUAGAAUCAUAGGAAUCAUAGAUGCAAACAGUAAAAUAGUUGAGAUUUAAUCAUCCUAAAAAAUAAUAUUUAGUUUCAAUAUGUUCUUAGACUAGUUUCUCUUCUGAUGUUCAUUAUAACACCUUUGGCCCUAAUAUGUUCUCAACACCCAAACGAAUGCUUAAAUAAAAAACUCACCUGUGAUUGAUUGAGGAAGCUCCACUUCGGUUUCUAGAAACCUUUAAAAAAUCAACCUUUGAUGAAGAAAUAUGAAGAUUUGCCUCGACUUUGGCUUCCUUGAAGGUUUUCGGAAGAAACCUAUCGGGUUUGGGUUGUCACCUCGUGAAGAGACACGCUAGGGUUAAGGUAGAAUCAGACGAAGUCGGCUUUCGGAAGAUAGGUAUCCAUCGCUUGCUCAAGACCUUAAUAAACAGAUCAGUUGUAUCAAAUGAGCUAUGAAAAUGGAAUUUUUUUUAGAUCUAGUUAGGGAAAAACGAGAGAAAGUGACUGAGAUAACUUUAAGUUUCAAAUGUUUCUUGGGUCGAGUGCUUUGUGGGUUUCAAACUUUAUAUAACUUCAAGUUUCACAUUUUAGUGUUUCUAAAAUUGCACACCGGCCUGCUGACAUGGAGACCGGUGGCUGCUGAUAGGGAAAACUAAAGGGCAAUUUUGGAAUAGCUUACCGAAACAGUAUAUAGUGCACAAAAUAUCUCUUAUUCUCUUUUAUUUCCUUUCAUUUUCUUUAUUCUUCAUCUCAUUUUUUUUCUUUCUUUCUCUCUAACCCGUGGCCACCUCUCACCGUUGCUCGUGGCUCCAUUGUUGGAGGUGCCAUUGCCGGCGAUAGUCCUCUUCGAUGCCGACGAUCAUUCCUCCCUCCUACCAUAUUCUUUAUUUUUUUUUUCUCUCUCUCCCUCUCUCUUCUUUCUUACCCAUCAUCAUCUACCACAAUCUCUCACCAUGGCCAUUAUCCUUCCAUCUUUAUCCGGUGACGGUUGUUAUUAUUGUGGUUACCCUCUCAUUGCAGCUUUAUACUCCACGUGACUUCAAGACCAUGGGUAAACCCUACCUUUUGAUUUUUAUGUCUUAUAUUUGGGUUAUUGGAUUUUGUUUGUGGGCUUGAAUUCGGGUUGAACUUAGUUUCAAUAUUAUUUGGGCCUUGGGCUUAUUGGUAUUUGGAUUGUAUUUUGGGUUGGGCCUACUUUGUUAAUUGGAUUUGAUUUAUGAUUUGAGAUUUGGGCUUAGUAUGUUGUUUCAGAAUUACCAUUUCAAUUGAAUUACAUUAGGGUUUUUCUUUUAUUUUUAUGGGGCUUGUAUAUUAUCUAGGCUCUGCUUAUUUCUUUUGCUUUUUCAUUUGGGUUAUUUUUGUUUUUGCAUUGAUCCAUUUUGUAAUUCCGUUGGUUGAGUACGAAUUUAUGACACGUGGUGCAUGGAAUUUCAUAGAAGAAAAUGAGAAUCGAAAAACUGUAAGAAGACAUUGAACUUAUUGUAAGCUUAUUGAGGUACACGUUUCAUUUCCUACUACUAUUUAAUUUUAAUUUUAUUGGUUUCUGUAAAUAUUUGUUUGUAUAUGUUUAUUUGUUGUAUACAAAAUUGGAUAUUUAACAAAUCAGAAAUUUUGUUUAAAUAAGAUGAAUAAUUUAAUAAAUAUGUUUUAAUAAAAUAAUAAUUUUAAAAUAUUAUUCUUAAUAAAAAUUCAGAAAAAUGCUUUUAGAAAAUCCAAAAAAAUUUGUUUUUAAUAGAAUUUGAAAAAUUGUUUUUAAUAAUAAUUGUCUAAAAAUUGCUUUUAAUAAAAUUGUCCAAAAAUUAUUUUCUAAAUAAAGUUGUCCCAAAAAUUAUUUUUUAAUAAAAUUGUCCAAAAAAUAUUUUUUUAAAAAUAAAUUCUUUUUCCUUAAUUAAAAUGGGAUUUAAAGUAAUUUUUAGAAAUAGAGGAUUUAAUUUUUUUUCUUUUUAAUUAAAAAUUCUUUUGCAAAUAAAUUAAUAUUUUUUUAAUAAUUUGUAUAAGUCAAUUUUCUUAAAUGAAAAUAAAUUGAAAUAUUUUUUUUAAAAAAAAAAUCUAAAAAUUCAUUCUUUUAUAGUAAAAACAAGUAAAAAUAAUUUUUGUGCCCAAAUUGAAAUUUUGUAAUAAAUUCUUUUAAUACAAUAAGUGUAAAUAAAUUUUUUUGAAAAUUGAAUACAAAUGAAAUUGAGAAAAUAAAUUGACUAUGUUUUGUAAAUAAAUAAAUUGAAAUCAUUAAUUCAAAAUUGUUUUUAAUAAAAUCCUUUGAAAUUUAUUGAAAACUAUUUUUUUAAAUAUUUUUUUAUUUAGUUCAAUAAAUUAUUUUGCAUAAUUCUCUUGUUAUUUAUUUUGUGUAUUCUUGUAAUUAGAUUUCAUCAUUAUUUUUUGUAUAUAUUGAUUUUCACCAUGACUUGUACAUUGAUUAUUUUGCUUGGUAUCCAUAAUUAAUUAAUUGUCAUAAUUCCCUUAAUUCGUUUAGUAGAGGCCGUAUGUAUACGAACUUAGAGGGGUGCUACGACUCACCACCGUACAUUCCCAAUAGCUAACCUGACUCCCGAACCCGACUUUGGUUUUUCAUAGACUGUUUUUUCCAAAUAAAGAGUCACACUUAGGGUUUUCUUUCUUAUUUUGUUUUUCCUUAAAAAAAUAAAACAAAAAUAAGUGGCGACUCCAAGUCUUUUUUAAAAAAAUCAAAAUUUCACCAAAUAAAUGAAAAACGAGUCUCACCAUUCGAGUGAGAACGCAUGUGAAAAACGCGGGUCCACAAAAUGACGACUCCAUUGGGGAUGUUUAGAGGGUCAAACUUGAACUCGAGUUGAGGGAAAUGUGGCAUUUGAUUGGUCGAUUAGUGGAUACCCAUCUCUAUGUGCUUUUAUAUGAUUGGAUGUUGAUUACAUGUUGAAAGCUUUGAUAUGUUUAUCGAUCCGUGAUGCAUGUUUAGUUAUUAUUGUUCAUUGGAUAUGUUCACAUGUUGAUUAUAUCGAUUGAUUAUCUUGCUUACUUUAGCAUAUGACUCUUCUUGUUGCAUGAUUAUCUUGCUUUCCUUGACAUGUAUAUUCUCAUUUUUGUAUAUCUAAUUCAUCUUGGCAAGAUUGAUUUUCUUUGUUGUAUAAUAUCUUGUUUGUCUCAACAUAUUGUCUAUUAUGCUAUAUACCUAUCUUGUUUAUCCUAUUUCUGCCUAGCUUGGGUGUAGAUAUGAGUGAUAUACCUAUUAUUUGCAUGACUGUUUGGUGCAAUGACUACUCUUCUUCUGUGUGAUGCAUGUGUUGCUUGUCUAUGCGGGACACACAUCUAUCCCCUUACCUCCAAUUCCCUAGUCUUGGUCGACCUUGUUUUCCUUGAUCUCAUAUUUGAUACGAGACUUGUUACUUUGUUUGCUCUUCGACCGAGUUAGUGAUUCAUAGUAGGGUUUAGUGUUGGACUAUAUUUAUGUUUGGGAGCAUUCUGGAGAAGACCAACACAUUGAUGCUGAUUGGAGUCCGAUCUUUGAAGACCUAUAUAGCCCAAAGCUAGGUUUCAUGGAUAUUUAUGUGACCAGUGUGUUUUUUUUUUCCACUUAGUUUGAUAUGAUUUUCGAAUGCAUCCACACCACUCACUGUGCACUUUAGUUGACUACUGAGUGCUAAGAGUUGUAAGAGUUUUCACCAUAGGAAACCUCCUGGGAUGUCGAAGUAGUGCAUGUGUGGAGGUGAUGACUACCUUGCAUGUAAAUGCUCCCAUCUCUUCUGAGGUGUGUAGGAGGUUGCGUAUCGCCAAAUGGUACAAUAGCUUCUGCUAGAGAUCCUUUAAAGUCCACUCAUUUUUCUUUUUAGAGCCGCUUUGACCUUGUAGGUUGAGCCUUAGAUCUUUUGAUUAGGAUUUCAUUUCCUACACAUGGGUGCAUCUGAGAGGCUUCGGGGCCACUUUAGUCACAGUUUGGAUCCAAUACUCCAUUUUUUUGGUCUCCAAUUAAGAGUGCUCAGAGAUUAGUGUGAGUUUGAGUAUCAGUUGGACCAUCCCUUGUUGUGUAGUGUUGACUCAUUCUAGUCUUUUGUUGUGUCUAGCAUGCUUCUUUCCUAGGGUUUUAGAUAGAUUUCAUCUCUCGAGUUAUCAUUUUUUCGAUUGAUUGUCACUAUGCUUGACAUUUUAGGAUAUGUUCAUUGAUUAUACCCACCCUUUUACAUUCUUCAUGUGUCAUGGGCUUAGUAUUUCAUUCUUUGGUUGAUUUGCCUAUUUAUAUUUUCAACCCGAUAUUUUCAUUACAGAAAGGUGAAAGGCAUGUUUUCACAUUCACACCAUUUUUUAGAGGUUCACCUUUAUCACCUUAUCAUUUUUCUUUAUGGAGCUUGGAUUGAAAGUGAAUGAAAUAAUAUUUUGUUAUAAAUGGAGUAUCGAUCUCAUGACAGUGUUGUUUUUCACACCUCAUUCAUUUUAUGGAUUAUUGAUAAAGAUUCUUUAGUCACAUUUGUAGCCAUCUCAUAGUGGACAUUUUUAGGACCUUAGAGUUUUUGUCAUAUUUCCAAUUUUAGAUUGCCAUCGCAGGACCAUAUAUCUCAUGAUGUGUUAUACUUUUGACUUGAGACAUCUAUUCACUUGCAUAUUGUGGUCUUGAGGCUUGACCUAUCAUGGAGGAUAUUGAGCUUAUUAGAUAGGAUAAGAGAUUUGACCUAGGGAGUUUGAGACUAUGACUUAUCUUUUUAUGAUCAGAGUAGUGUCUUACUCACUCUCGCACAUUGACUUUGCUUUGACUUGUAUCCAUCCAUUGUGAGCUUUACACAACAUUACCCUUGACACCAUUAUAUGACUUUUCUAUCCCUAAUUGUUCGAGCUUUGCAUAUUCCCUCUUUGAUCCGACCAGGUAGAGUGUGAAAAGUUUGAGUCUAGGGUUGAUCUUGCAUGGCGAAUGAUGACAUAUGAUCUUUAGGUGGCUUACGACGUGAGGAUUGGUCAAUUACCUGAUGGGAUUGACACUUAUUCUGCCAUGAAUAUAGAGAUUGAUCUUGUAUGAUGAGAAUUAGCUUGUGAUGAGCAGUUGUACCUGAUGAGAUCGUCAUUUACUUUUCUUUGAGAUGAUUACCUUUGAGAUUAUUAUGGAGCAUUUGGAGUAUGGUUUGGCGCAUGAUUCCAGAAGGUUGACAUGGUUAUAUCAAAUGGACAUCGAUUUUUAGGAUCAAUCAUUUGACGGUUUGAGGGCACAAUGUUUGAGACAGUGGUCGCAUGAUGAGUGACCUUCAUUUUGGUUAGCUCACAUCUUAUUACGUUUAUUAACAUUCUAACCAUUGCUAGCCCUUUGAGCCUCACAUGAGUAUUAUAGCAUUUUCUUUCUUAUAGCCUUGCUCACAUUUUACACUGGGAUAGGGGCCCUCUGAUGUAUAUAUGCUUUAUUCGGGAGUCUCAUGAGCCAUGGACUUAUUGACUCAUCUUCUUCAUUAUUUUUUUGUUGUCCUAACAUCAUUUUUCAUCAUACCUCUUUGUUUAUAUCCUUUGUUCUAUCAUUUGUUUUUUUCAUCACGUUUCUUUCUAUGCCAUUAGUGAUGAUCUUUCACAUUUCAAUGCAUGGAGGACAGUCAUAUCCCUCUCCACUCCUAUCUCAUGGACAUUGGUUCAGAGAUCCUUAGUUGAGAAGGUCAUCUUGUUAGAAAGAGUUCUCCUACAUCAUUAUUUGAGAGUAUAUCCAUUUCAUUAUGUAUUCUCAGUGGUGCUCGUUUGUUGAUAUUUAGAGUAUGUGUAAGUAAAAAAUAAAAAAUAAGUGCAUAUAUGUAUGUAUACAGUGUCAUCCUUCAUUGAGGUUGCUUUAUUGAUUUAGUUGCUUAUGAAAGUUCAUAUGUGAACUUUCAAGAGACUUUCAUCUUCUUGUGUCUAUCUCGUUAUGUAUCUUAUGUGUGAGAGACAAAUGACAUUUUCCUAGGGACUUUGAAUUAUUGUCUUCUUCAUUAGUCCAUACGUUGAUGAUUUGACUGUUUUUCAUGACUUGAUUUGAGUAUAUCAGUGCUCACUCAUUUUCGUUCGAUCUAUUUGUUCUUCUCGUGGUAUUUGAUUCAUCUUGCCUACAUUGAUCUUCAUUCAUAUCGAUUUACAUUCUAUGUUUGAUAUUUUCGACACAUCAUUCUUGUACAUCCCAUCAGCAGUUCGAUAUUAUUCAUUUCCUUUCUUUCAUUAGUGAUAUAUUCAUCUGAGAUUCUUUCUUCAUCACCGAUAUAUUCAUAUUGGACGUCUUUAGGUCCAUGAUUUAUGAGACUCUCUGUACAUAUUGCAUUCUACACACGAGGGUAUGGAUUUUGAUUAUUGGGUAUUUGAGCUUUGUUUCCUUUCCUUUUUUUACUCUAUUACCUUAGCCUAUGUUAUGUCUUGGGUCUUAAGACCACCUUGAGGCCAUGAUAUCAUGCAUUGUGUUUUAAUAGCUCUCACAUGGGUGAUAUCUAAGAUUAGUUAGAAAGCAUUUUGAUUGUGAUGGACUAGGAGUUAUGGUAUGACCCUACACUUGGGGCAUAGUCACUUCAGAGAGUUUUUAUCGGGUAUGCAAUCAUUCUGCUUGAUACAUUGCAUUAUGGUGCACACCUUUCUUAGUUAAGGGUUUUUUUUUUCAGAUGACUAUUACACAAGGGCGUACCCCUCUCAGUUGAUGAUGGUUUUUGCUACAUAGCCGUUCCUAGGAGGUGAUCAUUUUCUUCUUUACAUUGGAGUAUGAGAUAUGACUGGGUGAUUUGAUUGGGUUUGUUUAUACGAGAGCAUAACCCUCUCAUUGGUAUUGAUGGAUUUUUGAGUGAUUGGAUCAUGGUGCACACUUGUGAGAGUUAUAUUGGUUCUUAAGCAUUUCGGAGAUCGCCUUACACUAGGACAUAACCCUCUUAUUAGCGAUUGAUCUUAGAAAUACCAGUUCACAUCGGGUCAUGAACAUACUAAAGUGCAUUUUUGUUAAGGCAUACCACUUUGUUUGAUCUUUUUCACAUUGGGACAUGAUCUUUCUUUAGAUGAGGUUAGAUAUUUUCUUCACGUUACCACGAUGACUUUGAGAAGUGGAGAUUCAUUUUGAUUAGAUGAUGUAUGAUUGGUUGUACUUCUUUCAUUGAUGUUUUCUUUAGAGAUGCUUACACUAGGGCAUAACCCACUCAUCGGUGAUGGAUUUUGUGAGAUGAUAGUUUAUGCCAGACACAUACUUCCUAAAGAUUAUCUUGCACUUAGGGCUUACUCAUUUUGAGAGGAUGUAUUCAAACUAGGGUGUAGCUACCUUGCUGAUUUUGAGAUUGAGACUCGACCUUCUAUUUAUAAUUGCUAUUUUUCAUGGAUUAUAGAGUUGUUGACACCCUGGGUUCAGUCUUCUCAGCGUACCUAGUUUGAUUUGGAUAUCCACUUACCUUUGUUACACAUUCAACAUUUCGCAUUUGACGUUGUUACACCCACAUCCAUCAUUUCAAAGCCUAAUAGUUAUGGAGACUACUUAUCUCAUUAUUGAGCAUAACCUUAUCCCAUUCUCUUGAUUAGGUGAGAAUGCAAACCAAUCUUGAAUUUUCUGGUCGAGUUUUCACACGCCUUUGGACAUUAAGUUCAACAUCUUCCAUGAUGGCAUGACCUAUUAGAUUGUUGAUGUAUUUGUGAUUAUGUUUUCAUAUCGACAAUUGAUAUGUUGUGUCUUACUUUAUUUAUUGUAAACCCUCCAUUUUGUCUUCCUAGCACAUGUCCUAUUAGGUAUUUGUUAAUACUUUACAGCAAUUCCCUAGUGACCCAUUACUACUCGUAUAGCCUAUAUUUUCUAAGCCACCUUGGGGACUUUGGUUGAGGGAUUUGCCUAACCCUAUUAUGACUCUUGGCAACCCUAUUUAGACUUAGGAUCACUUAGGCACCUUAGACCCACUUAUGCACCUUAGGCCCACUCAGGCACCAUAGGCCCAUUUAGGCACCUUAGGCUCACUCAGGCACCUUAGGCCCACUUAUGCACUAUAGGCCCACUUAUGCACCAUAGGCCUACUUAUGCACCAUAGACCCACUGAGGCACCAUAGGCCCACUUAGGCACCUUAGGCCCACUUAGGCACCCUAGUGUCACGGACUUAGUCGUUUACUAAGCUCGUACGACACUUAGACUAGUCAAGACGCUUGAUCUUGCUAAGUCAGCCUUACUCAUAAUGUUUAGCUUGCUAGGCUAAGAUGCUCACGACUCGUAAGUUGUAGAAGGCGUAGUAGGCAAUUCUUAAAGAAUAGAAGCUCUUAUUACUCAAGGAAGCCUUUACAAGUGCUUUAAGGACUCACUUGCUUGGUUAGGAAGUGAUUUUGGGUGGUGCCUUGGCCAAAUGAGGCCCUCACCUAUUUAUAGGCACCAAUGGAACUCUCUGGAACCUUAAAGGGUUCCUUACAAAUCAAGACGAUUCUAGAAUACCCUACACAAUUCUAUAUACAACCCUAUGUACAAGAGAUCUCUAGAAAGCCUUGGACUGCUCUCAUGCCUUCCACCAUAGUGUAGAGAUGUGUCGACAUCUCUAGGCAUCUCUAGAACCUUCCACACUCUUCCCACCAAUGGCUUAGUGUAGAUGGUUUCAGGAGUCUCCAGAAGCUUCCCUCCUCCUAUAUAAGCCCAUGGGGAGGGUCAUUUGAAGCAUCUUGUGACACUUUCCCCAACCUAUGUCGUCGAUGUCCUCGUCGUUGCCUCUUCUUGAAACCUCUUGAUGUGUUUCCAGAACCUUCUCAAGGAAUCCGUGUGUUCCCAGCUUGUCUGCCUCUUAGGUAGUCCUUUCCAUUGGACUAGAUACUCUAUCACAGGAGGGACUCCUUGUCUCCUAGUGACCCGUUCAGCCAGGAUAUUCUUCACCUCCUUCUCUCGUGAGGCUAUAGAUGGAUGCAAACCCAUGCACUUUCGAUGCUUAGAGUGUUGCUUCCUCUUACCCAUUGAGUUCACCUUUCCCUUAGUGACCUCGUCCAUGUGUGUACGGGUUACCCCAACUCGCUCCCAUUUUGCCUCAUUUACUUGCACCCUUGAUAGUAAGGAGGUCUUAGGCGUACUAGGCUUUGGGUUGAAUUGGAGGGCACCUAGUAGCUGCAUCAAGCCCAUAUGUGCUUUGUCCUCUUGUUCCCUCUCCUCGAUCAUGGCACUAAACGCCUUCCUCUUUGGACAAUCAUGUUCCCAAUAUGGACCAUCAUAUAGGAAGCAUUUGAUUUUAGGCGUAAACUCCUUCCUUUCCACAUUACCCCUUCCUUCUCGGAUGUUAGGCAUCUUGCCCGAUCCCAUUCUAGGAGCAUUGUGGUCCCUUGAGACCUCGUCUCCCCCACCUGUGGCAUGGCUAUCCUCCAAAGACUCAACCUUGGAGGAGUAUCCCCUUUUGUAAUCAGUUAAAGACUCUACUAUUUCCAUAGCAGUGGCUAAGUCUUGAAUGCCUCGGCGCCUUAAUUCAUGCUCGGCCUACCCUUGCAGGUUAUCCAUGAAGUUGAAUAGCAACUCCUCCUCAGUCAUGUUAGGAAUCUCAAGCAUGAGUGAAGAGAAUUCCUUGACAUACUCACGUAUCGAGCCUGUGUGCUUGAGAUGCCUCAUGUUUUUCCUAGCCAGGUAAGCCACGUCUUCGAGGUAGAACUGCCUCUUAAUCUCCCUCUUAAAGUCUUUCCACGUCUCUAUGGUGCAAAUGUCUUUCUCCAUAUCGACAAACCUCCGAUGCCACCAUAGAGUAGCUGUGUCAGUAAGGUAGAGGGUUGCAGUUCUUACCUUAGUCGCCUCAUCAGUCAAUGCGAUAGCCUCGAAGUAUCGCUCCAUAUGCCAUAAGAAGCUAUCCAACUCCUUGGAAUCCCGUUUGCCAUCAAACCCUUGUGGCUUCGGCACCUCCAUCCUAGAUGCCUUUUAUGUGGCCAUGACCCAUGUCGACACAGUAGCCUUGUAGAUAGCCAACUCUUGCCUAACCUCCUAGUCUUGGGACUCUAUUCGAGUGGCCGAGGCCUCUAUCCUUGACUCCAUGCUAGCAAGCAUGCUCAAAACCUUUCCUUGGAAGGACACAAACUCCUCAUGCGACACUGGUUAAACCUGUGAGACUAGCACUCUCUCACGAAGGUCUUGGAUCUGCUCCCUUAGAUCCUCUAAGCCCUUCUCCAUGCUUUGCUCGAUCAAGUCUAACUCCUCCCGAGUGUCCGCCAUGGCUAGCUCCACCUUGACUAACCUUGCCUCUAUGUUGGCAACUACAUCACGAGAUUUAUCCUUCUUGCCCCUGCCCUGUGCAGUAGGCUCGGUUUCCUUUCCACGGGUUUGUUCACUAGUCUUAUCCACAUUGGAGCCCAACAUGCUUCCUUUACUAUGCCCACUUCGUAACCACUUGUCACGGACUUAGUCGUUUACUAAGCUCGUGCGACACUUAGACAAGUUAAGACGCUUGAUCUUGCUAAGUCAACCUUACUCCCAAUGUUUAGCUUGCUAGGCUAAGAUGCUUACGAUUCGGAAGUUAUAGAAGGCGUAGUAGGCAAUUCUUAAAUAAUAGAAGCUCUUAUUACUCAAGGAAGCCUUUACAAGUGCUUUGAGGACUCACUUGUUUGGUUAGGAAGUGAUUUUGGUGGUGCUUUGGCCAAAUGAGGCAUUCGCCUAUUUAUAGGCACCAAUGGAACUCUCUCGAACCUUAGAGGGUUCCUUACAAAUCAAGAAGAUUCUAGAAUACCCUACACAAUUCUAUGUACAACCCUAUGUACAAGAGAUCUCUAGAAUUCUUUAGAAAGCCUUGGACUCCUCUCAUGCCUUCCACCAUAGUGUAGAGAUGUGUGGACAUCUCUAGGCAUCUCUAGAACCUUCCACACUUUUCCCACCAAUGGCUUAGUGUAGAUGGUUUCAAGAGUCUCCAGAAGCUUCUCUCAUCCUAUAUAAGCCCAUGAAGAGGGUCAUUUGAAGCAUCUUGUGACACUAGGCUCACUUAGGCACCUUAGUGUCACGGACUUAGUCGUUUCCUAAGCUCGUGCGGCACUUAGGCAAAUCAAGACACUUGAUCUUGCUAAAUCAGCCUUACCCCCGACACUUAGCUUGCUAGGCUAAGAUGCUCAUGACUCGGAAGCUUGAGAAGUUGUAGUAGGCAACUCCUUAAAGAAUGGAAGCUCUUAUUACUCAAGGAAGCCUUUACAAGUGCUUGGAAGCUCACUUGCUUGGUUAGGAAGUGAUUUGGGUGGUGCCUUGGCCAAAUGAGGCCCUCACCUAUUUAUAGGCACCAAGGGAACUCUCUAGAACCUUGGAGGGUCCCCUUACAAAUCAAGAAUAUUCUAGAACAUCCUACCCUAUUCUAUGUACAACCUUAUGUACAAGAAUAUACAAGAGAUUCCUAGAACUCUCUAGAAAGCCUUGGACUCCUCCCAUGCCUUCCACCAUAGUGUAGAGAUGUGUGGACAUCUCUAGGCAUUUCUAGAACCUUCCACACUCUUCCCACCAAUGGCUUAGUGUAGAUGGCUCCAGGAGUCUCCAGAAGCUUCCCUCCUCCUAUAUAAGCCCAUGGGGAGGGUCAUUUGAAGCAUCCUGUGACAUUAGGCCCACUUUGGCACCAUAGGCCCACUUUGGCACCAUAGGCCCACUUUGGCACCAUAGACCCACUUAGAUACACUUGGCCCAUUAGGCACCACCUUAGGCCCACUUGGGUUCACCUUGACCCGCUUAGAUUUACCUAAACACCUUCCAUAUUUCACACAUUUACCCUAGGUUACUUAGGCACUUUUUCAUAAUAGGUCACUUAGACACUUCUUUUGGCAUAGUUCACUUAGACAUGUUCUUGAUUUUGGUUACUUAUUUUUUCGAGAUAAGAUGAGUAUUGGCUUGACUUUUUAUUGCAUGAAAUGAAUUUUUAAUUUUUGAUGGUUUGAGUUUGACGUUUAAAUUAUUAUAAUUCGUUGCACUAAUUUAAUUUCUUGAUUUUUUUUAAUUGAAUACGUCUAAUAUUUAUUUUUUAUACCUUUAUCAAUUUAUUAGUCUAUUUACUUAUUUAUUCAUUCCUUAAUUCCACAAAUUGAUAUCUUGGAUUUUGUGGCUAUAUGAUUUGACAUUUUUUUUUAUUAUUUUAUUUGAUUCCAUUUUAAUCUUGACUUCCAAUUACAUGAUUUCUUAUUUCAAUUUUUAUUUUGGAAUUUUUUAUGGGACGGGGAGCUAUCAAGGAGAGGCUAAAUAAAGAGACUUGGAAGAUAUCCUGGAAGUCUUUAGAAGGAAGGUAUGGAGUAGCAUUUUGGAAAGAAAAAUCAGGCUGAAAGAUUCGAUAUGUUUUUAGGGAAUGAACAAAGGCUGAAUGGAGGAUAAAAAAGGAGAUUGAGAUUGUUAGAAAAAAGAAAGUUGCAGGUAUCAUGGAGAUUGCGCUGGAAUGGAAGAGAAAAAAACCUCAUGAUUGGCAAGAUUUUGUUGGAAUUAUUACUCUACUUUUCAAGAAUUCAACAGGAAGUUUUAUAAAGGAGAACAAUGUCGGUGAGGGCUGCUGGGUUCUCAUGGCUCGUCUUGCACCCGAAGCCAAGGUCAUUCGAGAUGGAAAAUAGAGUGAGGAGGAUGCAUCCGUUCUUAUUCCCAGUGAUAUAAUCAGUAUUAAACUUGGAGAUAUUCUUCCUGUAAAUGCUCGUCUUCUUGAUGGUGAUCCAUUGAAAAUUGACUAGUCUGCACUUACAGUGCUCAAACCCUAUGGUGGGUCAAUCCGGGUUUAGCAAAAUUGAUCCAUUUUAAAGGUUUGAUUGGUGGAUUAGCGGCAAAAACUAGUUUUCAUUUGUGGGUUUUGUUUGAAAUGGUCUAUUUUCAUAGUUCAAUUUCGGGUUGCAACUCCGUUGACCAGUCGGGAAUCAUGGAAAGUUAUUUGAAUUAUGGCGAGGCUUGUUCUAAAUUAAGGUAGAAUAAUCAUGCAUGCAGGAAUAGGAAGAUUCCAAAUUCUCCUAAUUCAGUGAAAAUUCCAGACUACAGUCGAUCUCGAUCGGUUGUGAUAGAUUUGGGGAUGUUGAUUGUGGUGGUUGGUGCAUGUGGGUUUUUUGUUAUUCCCCUAUGUGAAGGUUAGAGCUAAUGAAUUUGUUAAGCUUGUUGGAGCAAUCAUAUAUUUGAUGAAGAAGAAAGUCUUUUUGGUUCUUAAUGAUGUUCUUCACUUCAUUGACAAGGAUCUGGUUUAGCAGCAUGCCUUCAGGACAUGUGACUCAAGCCUCAAUCUCUUGCAGUCACGUGAUUUUUUUUGUCAUGUAGUCUGGAAAGAUCUUCGCCCAUGAAGAUGAUCAUUCCUUAUGUUGUGAGCGUGGAGAUACAUUUAAUUCCAUCUUAAUUCAACUUUCAGCAGACACUUCUUUCAGAAGGCUUUCAUGGAGGAAAAAUGGGAGAACUCGUAUAAGAAUGGAGAGAGAAAGAGGCUCUCUUAACUCUCCAAGUCUCAACACCACACCACCAUAAUUUUAGUUUGAAGAAGACACAAUCGGACUUCGGUUUAGAAGGGGGUUGUCGGUCCAUCAAGAGGGUGACAUGAAAGAGCUUGAGGCGGCAUUAAUCAAAUCAAGAUUCGUGGCAAGACUAUGGCUGCUAUACUGAGUCGGAUGUUUUCCAUAUGGGUUUGUUCUUUUUCAUGAAUUUGUUGUUGGUUUAGCGUCUCCAAUUUUCAAUUUGGUAGAGGCUGCUCAAGAGUCCCUAUCUGAAAUCGUUCCAGUUGGUCAAUCACAUGUUGCUAUUCCAUGCUCAAAUAUAGAUAACAACAACCAGUUGUUUCUGCGAGAUGUGUCAAUUUGUAACAAGGGUUGCUCUUCUAAAGGACCUAUGGUUUAUGGUUUUAUAGAUAUUUUCAACGGCACUGGAGACUCAUGGCACUGGGAUUUUGAAAUGGAUGGAACUACUUACAGAACGUUGUAAUCUGUAUAGUAGAAUAUAAAACAGAAAACCAAUGUGCAUGGCAACGGUUUCUAUUUUCGGGUCUGAUUGCACUAUUGCCGGUGGGUGGUAAGUUUGGCAAUAUCAUUUGGACCAUGAACCCAAAAGAACCAUCAGCCUAUAGAGAAAUGAAUGAGAAUGAUUUUGUGAAGGCCUUAAACCAUGCUUUGAAUUAUGGAUAUGGUCCUCAUCCUCGGUCAAACUUAUUGGGUAAUAAUGGAGACAUAUUUUCUUGGUUUAGAAGAGAUUUGAUAGUUUCAGCUAAUGAGUGCUUUGAGUUUCCACCGGAUGUGGUUAAAUUGAUAUCUGGAAUAAUGAUGUUUCCAUUGUCCUUAAGGCAUGCUAAUAAUUAUGCAGCCACACAUGGAAGGAUGAAGCCACCUUCCAAACACUAGCCUCACCAAAAAAAGAAUAGAUCUCCACGUAUUCUCUAGGAAAAUGACAUGUUGCUAAUGGGGGACCUUUUCAUAUUUUUUUUAUUUAAAAGAAAGACACAGUCCACUUUUGGGGAAUCCGAGACAUGGGCUGCAAUUGGUGGAGAUACAAGCACACAUUAAUAAGACCAUAUCAUCAUGAGUCAAGAGGGGACUUGCACCAUUCACUACAAGAAAAAAGGUCAUUGUUGACAUAUAUUAUCUUGACUUAAGGUGAUAUGUGUCAAUGUUGCUUAUUUUAAUGAACAACUAUGACAUAUACAACUUGUUUAAACCAAUAAUGACAUAUAUAAAAUUUGUUGAAUUCUUUCAUGACUUAUAUAAUAGAAUCUUGACAGAUAAUUUAUAAGUCAAUGUAUUCAAGGUACUUAAAUAAAAGCAAUAAUGAUAAUAAUUUGUUUGAUAUGUGUAUAUCUAAAUUACUUACUAAGUAUUAUAAAUUGAAGUGACAACAAUCAAUUUUGAUUAAGGAAGUUAAUAUUUUAUAAAUUUUUUUAGUAAUGUUAAUAUCAAUUUUCAUUAUGAGUUUAAUAUAUAAAAAUUAUUAUUAGAAGAUGAAAUAAAGAAUACUAUUUUUAAUUUAUUGAAAAAGGACAUGUGCGGUAUUUUGGAUUUUGUUAUAAAAUCCUAUAAAAAGAUAAAGGAAGGGACGGAAAGACAUAUUUCAUACUUCAACAAGCCUUUACCAUUUUCUUUACUGAAAACCCUAAAUUUUCACUCUCCAUUGAAAACCCUAACUUUUGGAAGACAAGAAAGAAGGGAGAAAGAAGGGAGAGAGCCACCGUUCUUAGAGAGAAAGAAGAGAAGAGAAAAAUGCAGGUUUUUUUUCAUCUUGCCCAGAUUUCAUCAAAGGUCUGAUCCCACUUCGUCCGUGGUCCGAUUGAGCUAAAAUUUGGAGGAAAGUUUCAUGACUCAUUCAUCUUCAAUCUGAACGGUGAGGAUCGGAUUUGGAGUUUUGGAAAGUCAUUAGAAAGAAAGAGGAGAAGAGAGAAAAACGCAGGUUUUUCUCAUCAUACCUAGAUUUCAUCAAAUGUCCGAUCCCGCUUCGUCCGUGGUCGGAUCAAGUUGAAAUUUGGAGGAGAGGUUCGUGGCUCAUGUAUCUUCAAUAUGAACGGUGGAGAUUGGAUUUGGAGUUUCGGACAGUCAUUAGAGAGAAAGAGGAGAAGAGAGAAAAACGCAGGUUUUUUACAUCAUGCCCAGAUUUCAUCAAAGUUACGAUGCCACUUUGUCCAUGGUCUGAUCGAGCUGAAAUUUGGAGGAGAGGUUUACAGCUCAUUAAUCUUAAAUUUGAACGGUGAAGAUCGGAUUUAGAGUUUUGGAAAGUCAUCUUUCGGCCAAAAAUAGAACCUUUGUUUUGGUGGGCUUUUCUCUCCGAACUAUUUUGAUCAUUAGCUUUAAUCGAGGUCAAUUCGUGGUCCGAUUGAGUUGCAAUUUUAGGAGCACUUUUAGGACGCAUUGAUCUUCAUUCUAACAGUGGAGAUUGGAUUUGGAGUUUGGAAAAAUGGUAUUUCAGUCCGAGAACCUUGACAAAAGUGAAAGAAACAUUGACAUAUGUCAUAGUAACAAAGAUUUGAUCAUUGGUAGAAAUAGAAACAACCUUGACAUAUGUAAAUGUCAAGGUAGAUUUAAACUUUUCUUGACACUGGCAUAGAUGACAUAUAUAAAUAGUAACAUACCUUGACAGAUAUACCUUACCUUGAUGGUGAAAAAAUGUUAACGAAAGGCUUUUUUCUUGUAGUGAUUGAAUUUUUCUGAAGCUAAAACCCAACAACACGCACAGAUUUUGGAGAAGAUAGCCAUGCCAGGAAGAGUGGCAGCAAUUAGAAACCUACAGCUUCAGUACAUCUCUUAAGGCUACUACAAUUGAAGAGUUUUGUGGAUCCCGCAUUUUGACUCAUGCGUUUUCCACUUGAUGGCGAGCUCGAUUUUUAUUUUGAAAAUCUGAUUCAUUUAUUUUUGAAAAAAAUUGACUUGGAGUCGCCACUUAUUUUUGUUUUAUUUUUGGAGGGUAAACAAAAUAAGAAAGAAAAACCUUAAGUGAGACUCCUUAUUUGGAAAAGGUGAUCUGCGAAAAACCGGAUCAUGUUCGGGGGUCAGGUUACUUAUCAGGAAGGUAUGGUAAAGACCGUAGCACCCCUCUAAGUCCCUAAAGUCGGGUCUCUACUAAUAAAAUGAAGCAAUCAUGACAAUUGAUGAGGGAAUCAAUGAAUACUCAGAGUGAUCAUGCACGUACGAGAGUUUGAAUAUGCAUAGACAAUGACCGAAGUGAAAGUAGGUGCGUACCUGGGCAGUGAUCCAUAAAGCGCUAUCAAGAAGUGAGGUUAGUGCGCAAUUAAGGAAUAAUUUCGAGCAUGUCAUAGAGCAGAAUAAAAUCAAUCAUGCAUGGCAAUUAAAUCAAUCAAUCCUCCAAUUGAUCAUAAAAUCACGUAUGUGGGGCCCCCACCAAAGCCCGAUCAAUCUUGCAUGAAUUAAUCUCACAAAUUUCAUUAUUCUGAAAUUAUGAAAAUGACAUUUACGCUUAUAUAAAACUGUUCGAGUGAAAACAGGAUUUUUGAAAUUUAUUUGAAAAUUGAAGUCCCGAAGAUUAUCUGAUAAUUGGAGCCUUGGGAAUUGAAUUUAAGAAUGAGAAUUUUGGAUUUUAAAUUUGAAGGAAAUUAGAAUUUUGGGAAUCGGAAAUUAAGUUCAGGAAUUGGAAUUUUGAAAAAAUGUUGAAAAAUGAAAAUUUAAAAUAAACAAAUAAAUGGAACAACAAUAAUAAGGACGAAAAUAAUGAUUAAGUAAAUGAAUGAAAAUAUCGGAAUUUUUGAAAUUGGAAAUUAAAUUCGAAAGUCGGAAAAUUGGAAUUGUUUGAAGAAGGAAUUUUUGAAAUAGAAUAAUAAUACUGACGAAAAUGAUGAUUAAAUAAAUUGAUGUGAGAAUUAAAAUUUCGGAAAUUGGAAUUAAAAUUUAUUGAGGAAUUAAUGUUUUAAAGAAGAUAAGUCAUGCAAAUUGAAAACAAAAGGGCUAACUUGAGGUGGGUAUGGGCUUGGAAUGGGCAUAGGCUAACUUAAGGUAGGUGAACAAAUCAACUUGAAGUGAGCAUGGGCUUGGAAUGGGCAUGGGCCAAUGAGGGUGGCUAGCAUAGGGGGCAUGGGGCCUUUCAUCAACAUGCUUGGGUGGGGCUCCAACUCAAGCCCAAACCCGUCACCAAGAGCAUAGGUCUGGGCUCCAACUUAAGCCCAAGGCACCAUCACCAUAAAAGCUUGGGGCUGGGCCCCAACUUAAGCCCAAGGCACCAUCACCAUCAAAGCUUGGGCCUAGGUGUAGACCCUCAAUUUUGUUCCUUUAGCACAUGUCUUUAAAUUCAUUUUUAAUGCUCCAUAGUAACUCCUUGGUGGCCCAUUACCACUCGUACAACUUACUUUUUUCUGAGUCACCUCGGAGACUUCGGUCGAGGGAUUAUCUGACCCUUUAUUGUGAGCCUUGGCAACCCUAAUUUAGACUUAGGCUUUUGUUAUUCUUUUUAGGAUAACUUUUAGAUACACCUGACCCAUUAGACACCACCCUAGGCCCACCUAGAUUCACCUUGACUCGCACUGAGACACCUCCUCAUUUACACACAUGUCACUUAGGUCACUUAGACACCUUUUUCAGAACAGGUCCAUUUAGACAUUUCAUUGAGGCUCGGCAUUUAUUUAUUUAUUUAUUUUAUUUAUUUUAUUUUAUUUUAUUUUAUUUAUUUUUUUAAUAUUAUUAUUAUUAUGGCAUGCAUUUGGUAAUUACAUUUAUUUUGUCUAUUUAUUUUUACUUUUACUUUUAUUAUUUACUUAUUCAUGUAUUUAAUUGUCUUUAUAUAUUUCAUUUUAUUUAUUUGUAUUUAUUUAUUUAUUUACUUAAUGAAAAAUUGUUUGAAUUGUUAGAUUUAAAAUACGCAUAUAGCCCCUUUAUCAAAUGACAGAAUUGUACAAUCUAAUAUUUGAUUUUCUCUUUCAUUCUCUUUUAAUCAUAUUUCAUUUUAUUACCAAUUUCACGACUUUCAUUAAUUUCUCAUCUUUUCCUUUAAUUUUAAUUUUAUUUUAUUCUGUUUUUGCAUGAGGAGAAAAAUUGCAUGGGAUUUCUUCGGGAAGAUUAUGAGCAAGGCAAAGACGUACAUGCAGCAAUGAGGAUUUGAGAAGCCAUCUACACAAAAGAAACACAAGGAUUACACUUGUAUGAGAGCUGUAAACUACGGGUUACUGCUAUUGAUCAAUACCAACUAAGCAGAAUUUCUUGUUUCAUGAGGAAAAUCAUGUCUGGAUCAGAUCAUUCCUCUGGUUUUGACCAGCUAAGGUUGAUGGUCAAGAAGGUCUUGGCCAAGCCUCAACGUGAGGGUGAGGGUGUUGUUGUUAGGAGGAGCAUUGGAAAGAGUGAAUUGAAAAAACCUGGAUCCUUUUCUCAUGUUGGAUAAGUUCGCAGUCGCACCACUUGCUGGUUUUCCGGAUCAUCCACACAGAGGCUUUGAGACUGUUACAUACAUGCUGCAGGGAGCUUUCACUCAUCAAGAUUUUGUAGAGCAUAAGGGCACAAUCCGAAUAGGAAAUGUGCAGUGGAUGACUGUAGGCAGAGGCAUAAUCCACUCUGAAAUGCCCGUAAGUGAAGGAACCCAAAAGGGAUUACAGUUUUGGAUCAAUCUAACAUCCAAAGAAAAAAUGAUUGAACCAAAUUACCAAGAAUUGCCAAGUGAAGACAUCAAAAGAGCAGAGAAAGAUGGCGUUAAAGUCUAGGUCACAACUGAGGAAGAGCAGCCCGCAAGGUGGGAGGACCCACAUACAUUCACAGAGAAUAAUCAAAAGGAGCCACGUAGGUAGGGUUGCCGGGGGAAUAAAAAAUUUGGACUGCUCACACCUUAGGAGCCUCUACAGAUGGAACGCACCACAACUUGGAAAAAGGAGGCUGCAGUACUUUGGAGGGUGAUCAAGAUUUUAAUUUAAAAAGCCAGAACUUUCCGCUCUCUCUCUCUAAACCUUCUCGCCUCUGUUCAUUCCGCCGACGGCCAUAGCAAUGUACUCUCUGCUCAGAUUCGCCGUUUAAGGAUGUUCGGUUCUUUGACGAUAUUCGGAUCUUUGACGCUGCGUUUUCUGAUUCCCUAUUGAGAGUUGUAAUUCGGGUCCUCAUUUGACACAUCAACCGUGGAGUUGUUUUACUUUCUUUCCGGAAAUCCAAGAAAAUCAAGUAUUCAAUGCUUCGGGAAUGUUUAAGAAAAAACAAAUAGUGCCUGAUAAGCUAUUGGUGAUUUCGCUGUAGACCUAGAUCGUAGAUUUCUAGGGAAGUCUGAGAAAAUCCAGUUCAACCCGGUCACUCCAAUCAACGGCUGAUGAUGCAGUUACUAGGAUUUGGACACUUACCAAAUAAGACACGACUGCAUCCUCGAGGGAAUCUCCCAAUGAGCCACCAUGUAUGCACUUUCCAUAUCCAUGUGCAUUAAAAAGGGAAAUAGAAUAUCCAAUAGAAGGAAGGUGCUGCCAUAUAAAUAAGGGUCAGAGAGAACACGCAAGGGACUUUUCUUUUUUUUGGUGGAGAGAUCAAGACAUAAAGCAGAUUUCUUCCAGAGAGGACGGAGACAGAUUUUUUUUUAGAGAGAUCCACAGCAGAGGAGAUAUUAUUUUGCUGAAACAAAAGAAGGAUUUUUGGCAGGAGAAGGAGAAAGGUGAGAAGAUUUUUUCUGGGAGAGCAGAGAGAUCCACACGGAGAGGGAAGCCACCUCAACGCAUCAAAGGCAGAUUUUUUUUUGAAUACAAGUGAGUUUUUGAAAUAGUUUUGAUUAUUUUUGUUCGUAAUUCAUAAGUCUAUGCUAUUUUUGUUUGAAUCCAUAUGAUAGUCAAAAUGUGUUUGUGGGUUUAAUUUAUUUAGUUUUGUCUUAAUUCACUCCUUAGUUUAAUUUUGUUAUUGAUUCUGAUUUCUUAGUUUAAUUAAUUGACCCUUUUUAGGUAUAAUUUAGGUUUCGAUUUGGUUUAUUAAUUUAUUCUAUUCAUAAUGUUAAUUCAAUUGUCUGAUUAAACCUUUAGAAAGAUUGCGUAUUGUUUUUCCGAUUUCGAUUAUUUUGAUUUGAUUCCUAUUUAAUUUUGAUUGAUUGCAUCAGAUUGGAAACAUUUGAGUUUUAUUUAUUCAUACAUUUGCUACUCUUUUAAUUACUUGUAUUUCAUUUAUUUAUUUAUUGAUGAAGUUGAUCCCAUAUUUGAAAGUUCAUAUUUUUAGUAUUCUUUGAUUUAAUGUGAUUCAUUUUAAUUAGUUUAGAUACUUUUAUAAUUUUAGUUCGUUAAUAAAAUUGAUUCUAUAUUAAAAGUUCAUGUCUUUAGUUUACUUUUGAUUGAGUUUGGUUCAUCAAUUUAGUUCAAAUACAUUUAUUGUUUUAGUUCAUUGAUAAAAUUGAUUUUAUGUUUGAAAGUUUGCGUUUUUAGGUUGCUUUAAUUUAAUUUGAUUCAUUAUAUUUAGUUUAGAUAUUUGUUAUAGUUUAGCUUGUUAAUAAAAUUGAUCCCAUGUUUGAAAGUUUCAGUUUUUAGUUUGCUUUGAUUUAAUAAUUUAUAUUCAUUAUUUUUAGGUGCUUAAUUCAUUAGUAAAAUUGAUCCCAUGUUUGAAAGUUCAUAUUUUUAGUAUUCUUUGAUUUAAUUUCAUUCAUUUUAAUUAGUUUAUGUGUUUUUAUAGUUUUAUUAGCUUAUUGAUAAAAUUGAUUCUUUAUUUAGUUCAUGUUUUUAGUGUACUUUGAUUUAAUUUAAUUCAUCUAUUUAGUUUAGACACUUUCACAAUUUUUGGUUCAUCAAUAAAAUUAAUUCUAUGCUUGAAAGUACAUAUUUUUAGUUUGCUUUGGUUCAUUAGUAAAAUUAAUUCUAUGUUUGAAAGUUCAUGUUUUUAGUUUAAUUUAGUCAAACUCUUUAUAAUUAGUUUAGGUACUUCUAUAAUUUUAGUUCCUUACCCAAAUUGAUCCAUUUUUAGUUUUUAUUUCAAAAUCAUCCUUAUCUUAGCUUAUAUGCUUUUAAAAUCCUAGCGGUUAGUUCAUGAAUUGAUACUUUGUUAGUUUGUCUAAUUUAGAAUGUCUUGCCUGUUAGUGAUCCUUCAUUUAAUUUGAUUUUUUUUUUUCUGAGGCCAUUGGAAAAUCAUGAAGAUUGGCCUCUACCAUCACCAUUAUCAUUUUUAUUACUUACUAAAAAAAAAUUUUACUUUGAGUUUUCAUUUUUGUUUUGUUUGGUAUUUUAUUUUUUUCCAAAUUAAUUCCUUUUAUUUUAAAAUAAAAUACUUUUCUCAAAAAAAUCAUUUUAAAAAUCUAUUUCAAAAACUCAUUAGAGUCCUCAGGAUCAAAAUCUCCUUUUUUUUUUUAUUAUUUAAAAAUAAUAUGCAACCAUAUCUUGUUCGGUUUGCAUCCUUCUCGGUUUUCAACAAAAAUUUUGGUUUUGAACGAAGACACGAAUCAAAGCUUGUGGUCCCACAUAAAUGAGAUAAUUCUGAGCUAAAUUCGUGUAUAUCAAUUGGGGAAUUAGUGAAACCCCUACAUUAGAAAAUCUUUUCAAAAAUUAUUUUUGUUGCCACUUUUGUCACUUGUUGAAAUUAUGUCUAUCUUUUUUUAGAAAUUGUAUACAAGAUGAGUGUGAUAAUUAUUGUCUUCAUAUACUUUGAUAAUUUCUGCUAUGAUAAUUAGAUAACGAGCAUGCUAGGAUUUCUAUAUUUUAUUAUUUAUUAUCUAACCCUUUACAAGUUGAGGAAGCACGUUACAAAUUAUCUAUGCUAUCCAGGUAUGUCCACUAUCAUCUACUUUCUGAAUUCUGUGAAUAUGCUGGUCAUUGUGAAAUAAUGCUUAUGUCUAAUAAUGCUUGAGCAUUCUGUUAUACAUGUUUCAUUGUUUGAUUAUUCCUAAUAAAAUACACGUUGGAUGAUAUAUUGUUUAAAUUAACCAUUUAUGUUUUAUGAUAGCGUUUGAAGAGUGGUUCAGGUACGCACCCUAACUCUCCUUUAUUAUAAUUUGAUUGUGUUUGGCAUGCCACUCUUUAAAAUCACCUAACCUAUUUAGGUAUCUAUAAUUAACUGAUUAAUUGCCACACUUCCCUUGACUUUAUCAGUAGAGACCUUUAGAGGGCUUAGAGGGGUGCUACCUUUUAAAGGUACCUUUCCAAUAGGUAACCUGAUCCCCGGACUUAAACUCAGGUUUUUCAAAGACAUGCUUUUUCCAAAAAUUAUGGAGUCACAUUUAGGGUUUUUCUUUCUUGUUUUAUUUUCCCUUUAAAAUAAAAAUAAAAUAAGUGGCGGCUCCAACUUUUUUUUAAAAUUAAUUUUUCACAAAUAAAAAAGCGAGUCUCGCCGAUCGAGUGGGGACACACGUGAAAAAUGCGGGUCCACAAAUUGGCGACUCCACUGGGGAUUCUUGAGGAUCAAGCUUGAACACUAGUUGAGGAAAAUGUGGCGUUUAAUUGGUCGAUUAGUGGAUACCUCUCUUUUUAGGCAAGGUGAUUUGAUUUGCUUGCUUGUUUGGUUUGCUAUCUUAACAUGUUUGAUUUGCCUUGGAUGAUCACUUGAUUGUUUUGCUCACUUAGCAUGAUUCACUCUCACAUAUGUUAGAUAGGACUUUGUUUGUUUGAUAUUUAUUUGAUUCGCAUGACUGUUUGAUGUGAUCACUUAACUGUUUGCUCACUUUAGCAUGAUUCACUCUCACAUAUGCUAGAUAGGACUUUGAUUGUUUGAUAUUUAUCUGCUACGCAUGGCUGCUUGUUGCAUGAAAACCCUUUCUCUUGCAUGUUCAUAUGAUUGCUUGUCUUCAUUCACUAUCUCACUUUAGAUCUUAGGUUUUUCGGAUGCACCCACAUCCUUCAUUGUGCACUUUAGAUUAUCCCUGAGUGUUGAGAGAUGGGAGAGCCUUCACCAUUAAGAAACCCCCUGGGAAAGCGAGAAAGUGCAUGUGUGGAGGUGAUGACCACCUUGCAUGGAAGCACCCCGUCUCCUUGGAGGCGUGCAGAGGGUUGCGUACCGCCGGAGGGUACGAUCGCUUCUGCUAGGGAUCUUUGACCCACCCAUUUUAUCUUAUAGAGCCACUUUAACCUUGUAGGUUAGCCUAGACCCAAUUAAGAUUUCAUUCCUACACGUGGGUGCAUCUGUGGACCUUCAGAGCUGCCUUGGUCACAAUUGGAUUUGGUUAUCCCUUCCUUAGUCUCCUUUUGGUGUAAUCAGAGGAGGGUAUCAGAUUGAGUAUAUUUGGGCUUUGCUUCUACGCCUUUGAUUCAUACAGAGUCACAUUCGAGUUGCACCUUAUUCAGUGUUUCCAUAUUUGUAGGAGGGUUUACCGUGACCGAUCUGGAUUCACCUUUGUGGAUUAGAGUUGGAGGUAGAUUGAGCAGAGUAUCAGACCAGUCAGAUCAGAGAUCAGAUCAGAGGGAUAUGGACUCAUAGGUAGUUACUGUUGACCAGUUUGCCGUAGCCAUGGCUUCUAUCCAGGAGGUUAUAGCUAACCUUGGUCAGAGGAUAGAUGGACAGCAGACCCAGCAGGUCUUAGUUCAGGAGAGUACCCAGUUCGAUACCAUAGUACCGCCACCACCUCUGCCUAGUCAGUCAGUACCACAGGCUAUACCUUUCACUCUGUAUAGUCAAAUCGAGGUUGCCCCGCCUCCUAUCACAUCGCCAAUCCCGGCUUCAGAGGACCCACAUGCUCGUAUGGAUAAACUUGAGCAGAAGUUGAGACAGAUGAGGACUUCAGAGGGAGCUAUUACUUGGGAGGAUUUUGAUGGAGCACCAGUGGCCAGUCUAUCGGCCAAAUUCAGGAUGCUUGAGAUUGAGAGAUACACAGGCAUAGGAUGCCCUCGCAUCCAUUUGAGACUCUAUAGUACUGUUAUGAGGGCCCAUGGACUGGAUGAUGCCCGGAUGGUUAUGCUCUUCCCUAUGUCAUUGAGUGGAGCUGCACAGCGUUGGUUCGCUUCAUUGGAGGUAUCACGCCGUAGGACUUGGGAUGACUUAGCCCAGGAGUUUUUGAGACAGUUUGCAUUUAACACUGUCAUUGAUGUUUCGAGGAGAGAGUUGGAGGCUUUGAGACAGAGGCCGGAGGAGUCAGUCACUUCAUUUAUCUCCCGCUGAAGGGAGAAGAUUUCACAGAUUAUUGAUCGUCCUUCCGAGAAGGAUCAGAUUAGCAUGAUCAUGAGGAGCUUGCAGCCUAGAUUUGCUAGACACUUGAUGGGAUUUCCUCAUACGGAUUUUGGAUCUUUGGUACAAGCUUUGUAUGGUAUAGAGGAGGGCAUUGCUAGAGGAUUGUGGUCCGAGUCUUCUUCUAUUGAUCCUAAGGGGAAGAGGCCUUUAGGAGGACAGAGAUCAGGAGAUGUUGGUGCUAUCAGUUCAGCAGGGAUAGACCUUCUAGACGCUAUCAGACAGUUGGGCAGACUCCUGGGUACUACUAUCCACCUUCACCCCAUGUGUAGUAUAGGCCACCUGUUCCCUCCAGACCUAUGACUCCUACCUAUCUACAUCCAGUCUCACAACCUGUUUUCGCUGCACACGUCGUAGAGAGGCCUCCUGCCCCAUAUAUUUGACCCCGAGCUCCGCAGACCACUACUUAUGUGCAGAGACCACCACGCCAGUUUGCUCAGUUGGGUAUGCCUUUGAGUCGAGCUUUUCAGAAGCUCGCAGAAGGUGGAUUAUUGACUCCAUUAGCAUCCAGGCCUUUACCCCAGCCCAUACCACCUCGCUUUAGGAUGGACUUACGUUGUUCCUACCAUCAGGGACCAGGGCAUGACACGGACCAUUGCACUGCUUUGAGACAUGCUAUUCAGGAUUUGAUAGAUCAGGGUUUGGUCAACUUGGGGCAGCCAAGUGUGACCACUAACCCUCUUCCUGCUCAUUCUACACACGCAGUGCAUCCAUCUUCAGGAGAUAUUCAUCACAUGGACCUUAUAGAGGAUGACAGUAUACACUUGUUAAGUUGGGAUGAUGGAUUACCCGAGCCGAUUGUUUUGCAUGACAACUAUGAGGUUGAUGGGGUUUCAGUGGUCCCUCAAACUCCUGCACCAUUCAGUUUGAUCCCGGACGAGGCACCAUUCCAGUUGACUCAUUCUACACCCUUAGUUAUCGGAUGUCAGGAUGCUUUUGUCCCGUUCACUUUAUGGCCAGAGGAUGAUGAUUCAGCAGGGAGAGAGAUACAGAUUGUGACUCGUAGUGGGAGGAUAGCUCAGCCACCACCACCAGCAGUCAGACCAUUUGAGGGUACAACCUCUCAUGAGGAGGUUAGGAGAGAGGAUGAUGAGGUUUUGAGACAGCUACAGAGCACUCAGGCUCGCAUUUUCAUCUGGAGUUUAUUAGCAUCAUCCAGUACUCAUAGAGAUGCUUUGAUUCGAGCCUUGAGUCAUAUCAGAGUAGAGACUACCACCACUCUAGAGGGAUUGAUUCAUAUGAUGACGGCUGGCAGGGCCACUUGCAUUGUAUUUUCAGAUGAUGACUUGCCACCUGAUGGUUUAGACCACGUGCGCCCUUUAUACAUCACAGUGGGAUGUUCAGGCCAUAGAGUCCCGUCUGUCCUACUGGACAACGGCUCAGCCCUGAAUGUUUGCCCUUUAGCCACUGCUAUAGCCCUUGGUUUCGCGCCUUCAGAUUUUGGUCCUUCUACACAGACAGUCAGGGCGUAUGAUAGCACCAAGAGAGAGGUUAUGGGUACCUUGGUGAUUGAUUUGCAGAUUGGUCCAACCACAUUUUCCACUUUGUUCCAGGUUUUGAGGAUUCCUACAUCCUUUAACCUGCUACUGGGCCGACCAUGGAUUCAUGUAGCUGGAGCUAUUCCUUCUUCUCUUCAUUAGAAGGUGAAGUUCAUUCAUGAUGGGCAGGUUAUCACAGUACAGUCUACCAGGGAUAUGUUAGCCUCUUCCGAGCCAGUACUUCAGAUUAGUCAUAGUGAGGAUGACCUAUUUUUGACUGGAUUUACUUUUGAUGAGAUACAGACUCUUGAGAUUGAGGAUUUUCAUAGAGACUUUGUGGCUAUGUCGUUUGAUCAGCACAGUAGCACAGUGGUCCUUGAUAUGAUGAGGGGUAUGACCUUUCUACCUGGCAUGGGGUUAGGACGACGUCAGCAGGGACCGAGCGAGUUCAUAGCUGCCAUUGACCAUGAUACGACAUUUGGACUUGGAUUCAUCCCUACUGAGGUCGAUUACCGUCACAUGGCGCGGCUGCGCAAGGAGAGGGUGAGAGCCCGUUUAUCCCACACACCAUUUGAUUAUCCUAUUCGACCCUAUAGGAUGAGUUUGGCUGACUACUUUGUUAGAGGAUCAGAGACAAGACCUCGUCUAGAGGAGAUUGAUAGUGUGGUUCAUACAGAUAGAGAGACCGAGCUUCAGCAUCUAUUUCACCAGCUACAGUUGAGUGAUGGGGCUACCGACACUUCUUUCCCUGUGGCGAUUACUCCCACGUCUCCAGAUUGAGCUAGCAUGUUGUCUCUAUGCUUUCCAGAGGAGAUCACGAGUGAUGGGGUGAUUGUUGAUCCUACUGAGGUGAUUGAUGGAGUUGUUCCCCAUGAUGAGUACGGUGAUGAGAUGGACAUGAUGACCGUGAGCCAGAUUAUCGGCAUUGUUCAGCUUCAGCCUGUUUCAGCAUUUGAUAUGUUUGGGGUAUCUACUAUUGAGGUUUUUGAGGGGACUCAGACUCUUCCUGUUCCAGAGCUUCCAGAGGAUGAUGGUAGUUUGUUUGAGGGCAUUGUUAGCCUAGUUGAGGGAGCGUCCGACCUUGUGGACCCACCUCUUUCUUUUGAUGUUUUAUCGGGAUUUGUCUCCCGCUCUGACGAUGUUUCUGUUGCUUCAUUUAUGGAUUUGAGUAUUUUUGAGUAUUCGCCUGUCUCUUGUGAUAGUAUCUCUACAUCUGCACCUCACUCACCCAUCACACAGAUAUUUGAUAUAGAUGAUGAGAUUGCACAGCCCAGUUUGGAUAGGGACUCUUUUGAUGAUGACUCUGAUCCCAUAGAUGAGAGAGUUUUAUCUGCUGCAGGGGACGUUGAGACUGUUGAUUUUGGCACAGAGGAUCAGCCUAGAGAGCUGAAGAUUGGUUCACCCCUAUCUACAGAUGAGAGAGAUAGACUCAUCCAUUUACUCAGGUCAUACUUGGAUGUCUUUGCAUGGUCUUAUGAGGACAUGCCAGGUCUUGAUCCCUCUAUAGUCCAGCACCAUUUACCUACCCUACCACAUGCUAGACCAGUUAAGCAGAAAUUGAGACGGUUGCAUCCACGUUGGAGUCUACAGGUAAAAGAGGAGAUUCAGAAACAACUCAGUGUUGGGUUCAUAUCAGUAGUUGAGUAUCCAGAGUGGUUGGCUAAUGUUGUCCCUGUUCCUAAAAAGGACGGAAAAGUUAAGGUUUGUGUUGACUUCAGAGAUCUCAAUAAAGCCAGCCCUAAAGAUGACUUUCCCCUUCCACACAUUGAUUUGUUGGUUGAUGGCAACGCAGGCCAUUCGAUGUUGUCUUUCAUGGAUGGGUUUUCAGGAUAUAAUCAGAUUUUGAUGGCUCCAGAGGAUAUGGAGAAGACAACCUUUAUUACUGAGUGGGGUACCUACUGUUACAGAGUUAUGCCAUUUGGGUUGAAGAACGCAGGAGCCACUUAUCAGAGAGCCGCUACCACUUUGUUUCAUGACAUGAUGCAUAGGGAUGUCGAGGUUUACGUGGAUGAUAUGAUUGUGAAAUCCCGAGGUAGAGCAGAUCACCUAGAUGCUUUAGAGAGAUUCUUUGAGAGGAUCUGGAGGUUUAGAUUGAGGUUGAAUCCCAAGAAGUGCACCUUUGGAGUGACUUUUGGGAAAUUAUUGGGGCAUAUGGUCAGUGAGAGAGGCAUAGAGGUCGACCCAGAUAAAAUCAAAGCCAUACUUGACAUGCCUGCACCAAAGACUGAGAAAGAGAUCAGGAGUUUUCUAGGCAGAUUACAGUACAUCAAUCGAUUCAUAGCCAGAUUGACAGACAUAUGUGAGCCUAUCUUUCGUCUUUUGAGGAAGAACCAGCCAACAGUUUGGAAUGAUGACUGUCAGUUUGCAUUUGAGAAGAUCAAGGAGUAUUUGCUUUCCCCUCCUGUUUUAGUACCUCCUACGCCAGGACGUCCACUUCUUCUAUAUUUGUCAGUUUCAGACAUGGCCUUGGGAUGUAUGUUAGCUCAGAUUGAUGACUUAGGAAAGGAGCGAGCUAUUUACUACCUAAGUAAGAGGAUGUUGGAGUAUGAGAUGAAAUAUGUUAUGAUUGAGCGCCUAUGCUUAGCACUAGUUUGGGCUACCAGGAGAUUGAGGCAUUACACGAUAGAGUACUCAGUACAUUUGAUAUCCCACCUGGACCCGUUGAGAUACUUGUUUGAUAGACCUGCUGUGGACCCGCAUUUUUCACGUGCGCCCCAACUCGAUCGGCGAGACUCGCUUUUUUAUUUGUGAAAAAUUAAUUUUAAAAAAGUUGGAGUCGCCACCUAUUUUAUUUUUAUUUUAAAGGGAAAAUAAAACAAGAAAGAAAAACCCUAAAAAGUGACCCCAUAGUUUUGGAAAAAGCAUGUCUUCGAGAAACCCGAGUCUAAGUCCGGGGAUCAGGUUACUUAUUGGGAAGGUACCUCUAGGAGGUAGCACCCCUCUAAGCCCUAAAGAGGUCUCUACUGACUAAGUUAAGGGAAGCGUGACAAUUAAAUGGUUGAUCAUGGAUACCUAAGUAGGCUAGGUGAUUUCAAAAAAAGUUGCAUGCUAAACAAGAUCAAAUCACAAUAAAGGAGAGUUAGGGUGCGUACCUGAACCGCUCUUCAAGCGCUAUCAUAAAACAUAAACGGUUAAUUUAAACAAUAUAUCAUCGAACAUGUAUUUUAUUGGAAAUAAUCAAACAAUGAAACAUGCAUAUCAGGACACUCAAGCAUUAUUAGACAUAAGUAUUAUUUCACAAUGACAAGCAUAUUCACAAAAUUCAGAAAGUAGAUGAUAGAGGACAUACCUGGAUAGCAUAGAUAAUUUGUAACGUGCUUCCUCAAGUUGUAAGGGGUUAGAUAAUAAAUAAUAAAACAUAGAAAUCCUAGCAUGCUCGUUAUCUAGUUAUCAUAGCAGAAAUUAUCAAAGUAUAUGAAAACAAUAAUUAUCACACUCAUCUUGUAUACAAUUUCUAAAAAAAAGAUAGACAUGAUUUCAACAAGUGUCAAAUGUGGCAACAAAAAUAAAUUUUGAAAAGAUUUUCUUAUGUAGGGGUUUCACCAAUUCCCCAAAUUGAUAUACACGAAUUUAGCUCAGAAUUAUCCCAUUUAUGUGGGACCACAAGCUUUGAUUUGUGUCUUUGUUCAAAACCAAAAUUUUUGUUGAAAACCGAGAAGGAUGCAAACCGAACAAGAUAUGGUUGCAUAUUAUUUUUAAAUAAAUAAAUAAAAGAAAAGGAGAUUUUGAUCCUGAGGACUCUAAUGAGUUUUUUUUGAAAUAGAUUUUUAAAAUGAUUUUUUGAGAAAAGUAUUUUAUUUUAAAAUAAAAGGGAUUAAUUUGGGAAAAAAUAAAAUAUAAGAAAUAAAAUACCAAACAAAACAAAAAUGAAACCUGAAAGUAAAAUUUUUUUUAGUAAUUAACAAAAAUGAUAAUGGUGAUGGUAGAGGCCAAUCUUCAUGAUUUUCCAAUGGCCUCAGAAAGAAAAUCAGAUUAAAUGAAGGAUCACUAACAGGCAAGACAUUCUAAAUUAAACAAACUAAUAAAGUAUCAUUUCAUGAACUAACCGCUAGGAUUUUAAAAGCAUAUAAGCUAAGAUAAGGGCGAUCAGGAACUAACAUUAAUGAUUUUGAAAUAAAAACUAAAAAGGGAUCAAUUCGGGUAAGGAACUAAAAUUAUAGAAGUACCUAAACUAAUUAUAACGAGUUUGACUAAAUUAAACUAAAAACAUGAACUUUCAAACAUAGAAUUAAUUCUACUAAUGAACCAAGGCAAACUAAAAAUAUAUACUUUCAAGCAUGGAAUUAAUUUUAUUGAUGGAUCAAAAAUUGUGAGAGUGUCUAAACUAAAUAGAUGAAUUAAAUUAAAUCAAAGUACACUAAACACAUGAACUUUUAAAUAAAAAAUCAAUUUUAUCAAUAAACUAAUAAAACUGUAAAAACACAUAAACUAAUUAAAAUGAACGAAACUGAAUCAAAGAAUACUAAAAAUAUGAACUUUCAAACAUGGGAUCAAUUUUACUAAUGGAUUAAAACUAUAACAAAUAUCUAAACUAAAUAUAAUGAAUCAAAUUAAAUUAAAACAUCCUAAAAACGCAAACUUUCAAACAUAGAAUCAAUUUUAUCAAUGAAUUAAAACUAUAAAUGUAUUUGAACUAAAUAGAUGAAUCAAACUAAAUCAGAGUAAACUAAAAAAAAAAAAAAAAAGAACUUUCUAACAUGAAAUCAAUUUUAUCAACAAAUAAAUGGAUGAAUAACAAGUAACUAAAAGAAUAGCAAAUACAUGAAUAACUGAAUGAAUAAAAUUCAAACGCUUUCAAUCUGAAGCAAUCAAUCAAAUUUAAAUAAGGAUCAAAUCAAAAUAAUCGAAAUUGAAAAAAACAAUAUGCAAUCUUUCUAAAGGUUUAAUCAGACAAUCGAAUUAAAAUUAUGAAUAGAAUAAAUUAAUAAACCAAAUCAAAACCUAAACCCUACCUAAGAAAAUUAAUUAAUUAAACUAAUAAGUCAAAAUCAACAAUGAAACUAAUCUAAGGAAUUAACAUCACAAACACGCUUAAAUUAAGAGAACAGACAGUAACUAAAUUAGAUUGAAAUUAAACUCUAUCUAAAAAAAAGAAAAAAAUGAAUUAAUCUAAUAAAUCCAAAUCAACAAUCAAAAUUAAACUAAAAAUAAAUAAAUUAAGACAAAACGAAUUAGAUUAAAAUCACAAACACAUUUAAACUAUCAUAUGGAUCAAAAUAAACUAGCAUAGGAUUAAAAAAACUACUAUCACAAAGAAAAGAUAUCUAAUCUGGGAGAAAUAAAAAAAAAUAAAAAAUUGAGCGAGUUAAAGUUUGAAAGAAUUUAUCACAAAGAAUUAAUUAAACUAAUAUGCAAAAUCUAAACCAAAAAAAGUGUUCUGUUGAAAGCAAAAAAAAAAAACUAACCUGUUUUGUUUCAGAAAAGAAAAAUACUUUCUUGAUGGUCAAAGUGGCAGCCCCUUAAUGUUUGAAGUCCUUUACCACUCCCAAAGAUUCUGGGCGUGUCUUAGCUUGAAAAGAAGUUUGCUCGUGUGUGGAUCUCUGCCCAAAAACAAUUUUUCUUCAGCCAAAAAAUCCUCUCUUUGCUCCAGAAAAAUAAUCUCCUCCACGUGUGGAUCUGUCCGCCAUAUUUUAUAUGAUAGCCCGCCUUUGUAUGGAAUAUUUUGUUUCUUUUUUGGGAGAUGUAUUUCGGAAAUCCCACUUUCUAAAUUUCCCCGGGCACUUACCAUUUCAAUUGACUUAAUAAAAGAAACCUGUUAACCCCAUGAGUUGUCUGGCGGGUCCCAUGGUUAUAGCAUCUUCUCUCUUCCAAUUAGACGCAGCCCGCCUAUGUGGGGAAUAUUUUGUUUCCCUUUUUUAAUGCUUGUGGAUAUAUGGAAAGUGCGUGCAUGGUGACUCACUUGGAGAUUCUACCGCCCCGUGUCCAGUUUGGUAAGUGUCCCAAUCCUCCUCAAUAUUCUCCUCAAAUAAUAUAUGCCCAUAUGUUGCUGGACGUUAUGUUUGACCGCCACCAGAAAUUGACAACAAUUGUCAAAUCAUUAUUAUCCACUUGAUAGAACCGACCUUCAGGAAUGAACAGUGCAUCUCUUGCAGCAUUAGUAGCAUCAGCAAUAGCAAUUCCAAUAUCUGCCUUCUUUGGAGCAGGGGCAUCAUUGACACCAUCUCCAGUCAUUCCAUAGAUGUUUGUGAGUCUUUCCUUGCACGUCCUCGGCUCUCAGUCGGAUCUUCCUGUAGGCAUGAUCCUCAUCGUUCUGAAUAUCAGCCAGGGAAAUCUCAAACACUCUGUGCUUGAGCCCUUCAGAGGCGAUCUUGGUUCCCAAAGUUCUGCUAACAAGGGUUUUGCUAACAUUUCUGACGCUGAAGAUCGAAGGCGCCUUAAUGUCAUACCAGUCCUUCUUAGCAAAAGGGUCGGCUGCCUUCUUCUUUCCUCCCUUUUUCCCCUUGGAAAUCCUCUUGUUUUUCCCGACGACCAUUGUGAGCUAGCUAGGUCUAAGGUUAGGAUUUGGGAGCGGGGAGGCUGAGAGUAAGGGAGGAGAUGAAAACCCUAAUAUGUAUAUCGGUUUCUGUCUCAAUGCUUCUUAUUUGUGCUUUGAUUCUUGAUAUUUCAUGCUGUACAGCAACAAGCUCCUGCCUUAAAGCCCCAUGAGUAGCAGCCAGUCUAUGGUUAUCUCCUGCAAGUCGUUCUAUUUCUACUACUUGAGCAAGCAUUUAGUUCUCUGCAAUGUCAGGAUGAGGAGCUGUCUCCAAAGAGCGAUGGCCAACAGUAUGCCCCGAUCCAGGAAACGGACCAUGCCGCAUCAUCCCAGGAGCUUGGGCAGCUCGUCCUUCAAAAGAUGGUUGUCGGUGUCCUCCUUGCAGCAUGUUGGCAUCCUUGGAGUGGCUGCGUGUAAAGAUGUCUAAGGGUGGCGGUUGUUUGUUCUUUUGCUUCAUGGAGCCCGCGUGUUACCCCAGACCCAUAUCACCAGGCUGCGUGUUGUCUUCCCAAUGGAGCCCACAUGCCUCUCCACGUGUCGAUGCCUUCCAAAUAAUAAUGCAACCCUUGGAGCAUUACAGUCGUGUAUGUGGAUCAUUCUUCAGUGGCAGUUCGCAUGUGUCAUUCUUCCUAAGUGGCAGUCUUUGUGUCAUCCCUCCCAUGUGCGACAAUGCGUGGAGAUUUCUUCCUAGCAGUACCUUGGUGCCUUGGAUCCUUCUCGAGAAAUUCCGGUGUUCCUCAUGCAAAACAGAAUAAAAUAAAAGUAAAAAAUUAAAAGGAAAGAAAAAGAAACCAAUGGAAAUAAUAGAAUAAAACAUGAUUUUAAAAUCAAAGGAAGAGAACUAGGAGAGACUAGAUUAUAUAAUUUCGUCCUUCAACAAAGGGGGUCGUAUGCAUCUUUUAAAUCUAAACAAUUCCAACAAUUUUCUAUUAAGUAAGUAAAUAAAUAAAAUAAGAAUAAAAAAAAUAAAAAAAAUAAAAAAAAAAAUAAAAAUAGUAAUAAUAAUAAUAAUAAUGACAAAGAUAAUAAUAAACAAAUAAAGAGUAAAAAUGAAAAUGAAUAAACAAAAUAUAUAUAAUUAUCGAAUGCAUGCAAUAAUAAUAAUAAUAAUAAUAAUAAUAAUAACAAUAAUAAAAGUUAUAUAUAUGCAUAUAUAAAAGUUAAGCCCAAUGAACUGUCUAAAUGGACCUAUUCUGAAAAGGUGUCUAAGUGACAUAAGGUGAAUGUAUGAAAGUUAGAAGAUGUCUAGGUGGAUCUAAGGGGAUCAAGGUGAAUCCAGGUGGGCCUAGGGUGGUGCCUAAUGGGCCAAGUGUAUCUAAGUGAAGCCUAGUCUAAAUCAAGACUGCCAAGGAUCACAAUAAAGGGUCAAAUAAAUCUCUCAACCAAAGUCUCCAAGGUGACUCAGAAAAAUGUAAGUAGUAUGAGUAGCAAUGGGCCACCAAGGAACUACUGUGGAGCAUUGAAGACGAAUUUCGAAGACAUGUGCUAAAGAGAUAAAAUUGAGGGUUUACACCUGCAUUGACUGGUAGAUUGAUGAGAUGGCUUGUACUUUUGACAGAGUUCGAUAUUCAGUAUGUUUCUCAGAAGUCUAUUAAGAGAAGUAUUGUCGCCGAUCACUUAGCCUCACUACCGACAUUUGAGGAUAGACCAGUUGAUGAUGAUUUUCCAGAUGAGGAGUUUGUUGCUAUGACCAGCUUAUUAGGAUGGUGCUUGUACUUUGAUGGUGCAGCCAAUCAGUUAGGGUAUGGGAUAGGUGUUUUGUUAGUGUCCCCUCAGGGCGAUCAUAUUCCGAGAUCUGUUCGUUUGGCAUUUCGUGAUCGACAUCCUAUCACGAAUAACAUAGUUGAGUAUGAGGCUUGCAUCCUGGGUUUAGAGACUGCAUUAGAGCUUGGCAUUAGACAGAUGGAGGUGUUUGGUGACUCCAAUCUGGUACUCAGGCAGAUUCAGGGGGAUUGGAAGACUAGGGACAUGAAGCUUAAACCAUAUCAUGCAUAUUUAGAGUUGUUGGUUGCGAGAUUUGACGACUUGAGAUAUGUUCAUCUGCCUAGAGCGCAGAACCGAUUUGCUGACGCCUUAGCUACUUUAGCUUCCUCCGUGGACACUCCGAUUGAUGUAGUCAUACGUCCAUUACUGAUUGAGUUGAGGUCUGCACCCGCCUAUUGUUGUUUGAUUGGAGAGAUAGAGGACCAGGAUGAUCUACCUUGGUAUCAUGACAUUUAUCAGUUUCUCAGAUCUGGCACAUACCCUGAGGUAGCCAUUGCCAAGGAUCGGAGAGCACUGAGGCAUUUGGCUACUAGAUUUGUGAUUUGCGGAGAUACCUUGUACAGACGAUCAGCUAAUGGUAUGCUUCUGUUGUGUUUAGAUCGAGCCUCUGCAGAUCGAGUGAUGAGAGAGGUUCAUUCAGGAGUUUGUGGUCCGCAUAUGGGAGGACACAUGCUAGCUCGUAAGAUUAUGAGGACAGGUUAUUUCUGGCUGAAUAUGGAGACAGAUUGUUGUCAGUUUGUUCAGAAAUGCCCAGAGUGUCAGAUUCAUGGUGAUCUCAUUCAUGCACCGCCAUCAGAGUUACACGCUUUGACCUCACCAUGGCCAUUUUUAGUAUGGGGUAUUGAUAUUAUUGGGAAGGUUUCACCAAAAUCUUCCAGUGGUCAUGAGUUCAUCCUAGUUGCCAUAGAUUAUUUCACCAAGUGGGUGGAAGCCGCAUCAUAUGCGAGGUUGACAUCUGCUAGGGUUGCCAGUUUUAUCAGAUCACACAUCAUUUGCCGCUAUGGGAUUCCUCAUGAGCUAAUUUCAGACAGAGGGGUGCACUUCCGAGCUGAGGUAGACACUUUGUUGUAGGAGUAUGGCAUCCGACAUCAUAGAUCUUCAGCAUAUAGGCCACAAACUAAUGGGGCAGUAGAGGCUGCAAACAAGAAUAUUAAGAGGAUUUUAAGGAAAAUGGUUGAGACUUCUCGAGAUUGGUCAGAGAAGCUUCCUUUUGCGUUGUGGGCAAAUCGUACCUCUUUUCGUACUUCUACAGGAGCUACACCUUACUCUCUAGUGUAUGGUAUGGAGGCUGUUUUGCCAGUCGAGACAGAGAUGGGCUCAUUGAGAGUAGCCCUUGAGCAGCAGAUUUCUGAGACAGAGUGGGCUCAGGCUCGAUUUGAUCAGCUUAACCUUUUAGAUGAGAGGAGAUUGAGAGCAGCAGAUCAUGUUCAGGCCUAUCAGAGAAAGAUGGCUCGUGCCUUCAAGAAACGGGUUAAGCCUAGACCAUUGCAAAAAGGGGACUUAGUUUUGAGGCUUCUCAGAGGUUUGAUUGGAGACCCUAGAGGAAAGUUUAGACCUAGUUGGAGUGGGCCUUAUGUUAUCCGAGAGUUGACUCCAGAAGGGGCUGCAUGGUUGACAGACUUAGAUGGAAACCAAUUUUCAGAGCCUACCAACGUGGAUCAGCUAAAGAAGUAUUAUGUUUGAGACCGUGGUCGCAGGAUGGGUGGCCAUCAUUUCGGUUAGCCUUACACCUUAUCACCUUUAUUGAUAUAUUAAACCAUUGCUAGCCCAUUGAGCCUCACGUGGUAUAUUAUAGCAUUAUUUCUUUCUUAUAGCUUUGAUUACCAUUUCUACACCCAGGUUGGGGCCCUUUGAUGUAUAUGCAUGCUUUGCUAGGAAAGUCUCAUGAGCUUUAGACUUAUAGGUCUAUCUUCUCAUUUUGUUACCAUACUCUUAUCACCCUAUUUGUUCUAUUUUAUUAUCACCACAUAUUCAUUCUCUUUCUUGUCUUUAUCAUUAUUCGCUUCAUCUUAUCUAUUCUCUUCCUUGGGUUGAUGAUUCUUCACGUCUUAGUGCAAAAAGGGCAGUCAUAUCACUCUAUUUGUUCCAUCAUUUGACAUUGAUUCGGAGAUCUUAGUUUGAGAGGUUGUCUCAUGGGUUAGGGUUCAUGUAUUCAUCAGUGAUUUGAGAGAGUUUAUUCAUUUCUUGUAUCUUUUCCAUUGGAGUUUGACUUAUUGAUGAUCAGAGCAUGCGCAAAAAAAAAAAAAAAAAAAAAAAAAAAAAGCGCAAUGACAUGUUUGUGUAUGGUAUCUUGCUCCAUUGGGUACUUAUAUCACCUUUUAAGGUCUGUUUACUGGGUAUGUUUGACAUUGUGGGUUCUUGUGAGAUGUUUAUAUGAGUUUUCACUCCUUGUGCCACUCUUGUUACACAUUUGGAGUGUCGAGGGUUCAUGUGAGAGUUCUAUGAGAUCCUAUGCUGCUUGGAUCAUGAUUGAUAUAUAUUAGGUAUGAGAGAUGAGUGAUCUUUUUACUAGGAUCUCCGAAUCAUUGUCUUAUACCCACCAUUCCAUCAUUGGUGAUAUGACUUUCCUUUAUUGUACUAACAUGGGUUGAUCAUCACUCAUUCCACUUUCUCAUUGCUUUCUUUUUCAUCCCAUUAUCUCUUUCCAGAUCUUUGUUCCACCUUUUAUUCAUUCCCUACAUAUUGAUACCCAUUACUGAUUUGAUACUUUCUUCACAUCAUUCACAUAUUUCAUUGAUGGUUUGACCAUUCAUCCUUUCUCUCAUUUCGCUAUCGACAUUUCCUUUGGUUACUUUUAAGUCCAUGACUCAUGAGAUUUUCCUAUGUGUUACAUCUUGUACACGAGGGUACGGGUUUGAUCAUUGGGUAUUUGAGCCUAGUUUCCCUUCAUUUCUUUCACCCUAUCACCUUGGCCUACGUUACGUCCCGUGUCUUAAGACCACCCUGAGGCCACGAGUUCAGACGUUAUCUUUGACAGUCUUCACUUGGACAGGCUUUUGUAGAUUGGUUGAAGUAUGGUCGUUACUAUGUUCUCUUUUAUGGAAGAUACUUUUGGAAGCAUUUGGUUUCUCUCUUGCUUGGCAUAUUGAUGUUUGAUGGAUUUUUUGGGUUUGGAAACAGUUCAUUGAGGAUAUUGGAUUCAUCCUUUGGUUGUGCAUUAGAUAUCCAUACUGGGGCAUAUUCCCCUUUCAUUUGGUUGAGAUGAGCCCCUAGUGGAGCACUUUCUUUGAGUCUGGGUAUUUUCACCGAUCAGAGACCCCUAGUGGGGUAUGUUGAGACUAUAUCAGUUCUAGUGGAGCAUCGUUGAGCCCCUAGUGGUUCCAUUCGCGGAGUAUUUAUGAGAUAGACUAGUGGAUUAUUACUGAGUUGGAGGCAGUUUUCAGUGCAGUGUAUAGAUCCGGCAUACUGGGGCAUAUUUUCCUAUUUUGAGGCUAUCAGAUUCCUAUCAAAUUUAGUUAGGGAUUCAUCAGAGACAUGUUUCUACUCUUGAGAUUACCACAUUCCUCAUCAUUUUGGCUAUUCAUUUGAGAUUAGAUUUAGAGUGUCUCCCUUGAGGCAUUGGUCGAUACAUCAUUUUGACUUUUUAGCGGAUUAUUGUUGAGCUGAGGAUAGUUGAUUGAUGAUGUUGGAUUCAUCCUUUGGUUGUGCAUCAUAUAUUCACACUGGGGCAUAUUCCCCCUUCCUCCGAGAUUCUUAUCUGUUAUUGUAUACGAUACGAGGAUGGAUGAUCAUUGUUAGUUUGUUUACCUCACGACUUCGACAUUAGAUUAUCCAUACUUGGGCAUAUUCCCCUCUCCUUGAUGAGAUUGUGUUUGGACAGCGGUACGAGGAUGGAUGAUCAUUGUUAGUUUGUUUACCUCACGACUUCGACUUUAGAUUAUCCACACUGGGGCAUAUUCCCCUCUCCUUGAUGAGAUUGUGUUUGGACAGCGGUACGAGGAUGGAUGAUCAUUGUUAGUUUGUUUGCCUCGCGACUUCGACAUCCGAUACCCAUACUGGGGCAUAUUCCCCUCUCCAUUACGAGAUUUAUUUAGGCAGUGAUAUGAGGAUGAAUGAUUGGUGUUGGUUGUUUAGCUUAUGACUUUGACAUCGGAUAUCCAUACUGGGGCAUAUUCCCCUCUCCUUGAUGAGAUUUUGUUUGGGUAGUGGUAUGAGGAUGGAUGAUUAGUGUCAGUUGUUUACCUCAUGACUUUGAUAUCGGAUCUUAUACUGGGGCAUAUUUCCUCAUUUUUCUUUCUGAGUAUCCUUGAGAUUGAGACAGUGGCCAGUUUGGUUUUAGAUUGAGUACUAGCCCAGAGCUUCCGACGAUCGACUGUAUCAGGGCCUCCCGACAUGGAUUUGUUGAGAUAGAGAUGGGUCGCAUCAGGUUUCACCCAAGGAGCGUGGGUGGAUCUUUUAGCCAGAUGUUCAUGAGACAGAUUUGUUUUCGUCAUUGUUAUCUUGUCGAUUGGGUUAUCCGAACAAGCACCAUUUUGUGCACUUUGAGAUUUGCUUUUAGAUGAGCCACGAUAUACAUGCUUUGAGAUUUACCUUUUGAGAUUCAUCGACAGAGCAGCUUUUCAAACAUAGAGGGUUCCUUCAGUUUAGACUUUUCAGAGGUUUGUCAUGAUGCAUCAGUUUCUGACCUAUUGAUUUCAGCGGAUGAUUGAUUUACUGGUUGUUUCAGCAGUGUGAGCAUCCUGGAUACUGGGGCAUAUUUCCCUUCUUGGUUUCAGUAAUCCGACCCUUGACAUUUUGAGUAUAUGGCUUUGAGCCAAUUUAUUUCAUGUCCACUUUCGAGUUGGUCUUCUCUAUUAUUCCCUUCUAGGCCCUGAGCCUCGUAGUUCUGAGUUAUUCAUUCCUUCUAGACCCCGAGUCUUAUAGCCCUGAGCAUUCUUCUUCCCUUGGGCCUUGAGCCUAGUAGCCCUGAGCUAUCCUUUUUUUAGGCCCUGAGCCUUGUAGCCAUGAGCUAUCCAUUCCUUCUAGACCCUGAGUCUUAUAGCCCUGAGCUAUCCUUUUUCCUUUAGGCCCUGAGCCUCGUGGCCCUGAGCUAUCAUUUCCCAUAGACCCAAAGUCUUUCCAGCUCUUAGCUGAGUUUUCAUCACUUGGUCGCCCAUGAGUGGUUUGACCUGGAGUUUGCGUAUCGCAUUCUCCUUCUAGCCGAUCAGUCAUAGAGCCUAGAGCUCAUAGCCCUGAGCUAUUCAUCGACCCAGAGUCAUUUUUCAUCUUGACCUAGAGUUAUUCAUAGCACCCCGAGCCCUGAGCUCACGACCCGGAGUCAUUUGCUUCAUUCACAUCCCGGAGAUGUUUCGUUUUCAUCAUUCUAGCCACUUGUGAGUGGCCUUGACUCGGCACCAUGAGCCGGAAAGUAUCCUGAUCGGCUACCUAUUUAGAGCCCAGAGCUCUCGACCUAGAGUCAUUCUUAUCUAUUUAGAGCCCAGAGCUCUCGACCCAGAGUCAUUUUCCAUUUUGACCCAGAGUCAUUCUAUCUAUUUAAAGCCCAAAGCUCUUGACCCAGAGUCAUUUUCCAUUUGGACCCAGAGUCAUUCCUUUCUAUUUAGAGCCCGGAGCUCUCGACCUAGAGUCACUUUCCAUUUCGACCCAGAAUCAUUCUUUCCUAUUUUAGAGCUUGGAGCUCACGACCCAGAGUCACUUUCCUUUUCAACCCAGAGUCAUUUCCUUUCCAUUUAGAGCCUAAGGCUCUCGACCCAGAGUCACUUUCCAUUUCGACCCAGAGUCAUUCUUUCCUAUUUUAGAGCUUGGAGCUCUCGACCCAGAGUCACUUUCCAUUUUGACCCAGAGUCAUUCUUUCCUAUUUUAGAGCUUGGAGCUCUCGACCCAGAGUAACUUUCCAUUUUGACCCAGAGUCAUUCUUUCCUAUUUAGAGCCUGGAGCCCUCGACCCAGAGUUGUUUUCCAUUUAUGACCCAGAGUCAUUUUUUUUCCAUUUAGAGCCUAGGGCUCUCGACCUAGAGUCGUUCAUCCUAUUUUAGACCCAGAGUCGUUCAUCUUGUCCAUGACCUAUAUUCACUCAUCUCAUUCAUGACUUUGAGUCACCCUUUCACCUCUUUCCAUCUCAUUGCGACCCCACCUUUUGACCUUACCUUUUCAUGUGCUAGGACAAAAUCUCUGGUCUUUCUUUAAUUCUUCGAUAUAGUUCACUUCAUUUCGCUCAUUACUCAUGUUUCUACUCACAUUCUCUACACUCGUGAUCUAUACCGAAGAGGGGCAUAUUUGUAGACCCUCAAUUUUGUUCCUUUAGCACAUGUCUUUAAAUUCAUUUUUAAUGCUCCAUAGUAACUCCUUGGUGGCCCAUUACCACUCGUACAACUUACCUUUUUCUGAGUUACCUCGGAGACUUCGGUCAAGGGAUUAUCUGACCCUUUAUUGUGAGCCUUGGCAACCCUAAUUUAGACUUAGGCUUUUGUUAUUCUUUUUAGGAUAACUUUUAGAUACACCUGACCCAUUAGACACCACCCUAGGCCCACCUAGAUUCACCUUGACUCGCACCGAGACACCUCCUCAUUUACACACAUGUCACUUAGGUCACUUAGACACCUUUUUCAGAAUAGGUCCAUUUAGACAUUUCAUUGAGGCUCAACAUUUCUUUUUUAUUUAUUUAUUUAUUUAUUUAUUUUAUUUAUUUUAUUUAUUUUAUUUUAUUUUAUUUUAUUUAUUUUUUUAAUAUUAUUAUUAUUAUGGCAUGCAUUUGGUAAUUACAUUUAUUUUGUCUAUUCAUUUUUACUUUUACUUUUUAUUAUUUACUUAUUCAUGUAUUUAAUUGUCUUUAUAUAUUUCAUUUUAUUUAUUUGUAUUUAUUUAUUUAUUUACUUAAUGAAAAAUUGUUUGAAUUGUUAGAUUUAAAAUACGCAUAUAGCCCCUUUAUCAAAUGACAGAAUUGUACAAUCUAAUAUUUGAUUUUCUCUUUCAUUCUCUUUUAAUCAUAUUUCAUUUUAUUACCAAUUUCAUGACUUUCAUUAAUUUCUCAUCUUUUCCUUUAAUUUUAAUUUUAUUUUAUUCUGUUUUUGCAUGAGGAGAAAAAUUGCAUGGGAUUUCUUCGGGAAGAUUAUGAGCAAAGCAAAGACGUACAUGCAGCAAUGAGGAUUUGAGAAGCCAUCUACACAAAAGAAACACAAGGAUUACACUUGUAUGAGAGCUGUAAACUACGGGUUACUGCUAUUGAUCAAUACCAACCAAGCAGAAUUUCUUGUUUCAUGAGGAAAAUCAUGUCUGGAUCAGAUCAUUCCUCUGGUUUUGACCAGCUAAGGUUGAUGGUCAAGAAGGUCUUGGCCAAGCCUCAACGUGAGGGUGAGGGUGUUGUUGUUAGGAGGAGCAUUGGAAAGAGUGAAUUGAAAAAACCUGGAUCCUUUUCUCAUGUUGGAUAAGUUCACAGUCGCACCAUUGCUGGUUUUCCGGAUCAUCCACACAGAGGCUUUGAGACUGUUACAUACAUGCUGCAGGGAGCUUUCACUCAUCAAGAUUUUGUAGAGCAUAAGGGCACAAUCCGAACAGGAAAUGUGCAGUGGAUGACUGUAGGCAGAGGCAUAAUCCACUCUGAAAUGCCCGUAAGUGAAGGAACCCAAAAGGGAUUGCAGUUUUGGAUCAAUCUAACAUCCAAAGAAAAAAUGAUUGAACCAAAUUACCAAGAAUUGCCAAGUGAAGACAUCAAAAGAGCAGAGAAAGAUGGCGUUAAAGUCUAGGUCACAACUGAGGAAGAGCAGCCCGCAAGGUGGGAGGACCCACAUACAUUCACAGAGAAUAAUCAAAAGGAGCCACGUAGGUAGGGUUGCCGGGGGAAUAAAAAAUUUGGACUGCUCACACCUUAGGAGCCUCUACAGAUGGAACGCACCACAACUUGGAAAAAGGAGGCUGCAGUACUUUGGAGGGUGAUCAAGAUUUUAAUUUAAAAAGCCAGAACUUUCCGCUCUCUCUCUCUAAACCUUCUCGCCUCUGUUCAUUCCGCCGACGGCCAUAGCAAUGUACUCUCUGCUCAGAUUCGCCGUUUAAGGAUGUUCGAUUCUUUGACGAUAUUCGGAUCUUUGACGCUGCGUUUUCUGAUUCCCUAUUGAGAGUUGUAAUUCGGGUCCUCAUUUGACACAUCAACCGUGGAGUUGUUUUACUUUCUUUCCGGAAAUCCAAGAAAAUCAAGUAUUCAAUGCUUCGGGAAUGUUUAAGAAAAAACAAAUAGUGCCUGAUAAGCUAUUGGUGAUUUCGCUGUAGACCUAGAUCGUAGAUUUCUAGGGAAGUCUGAGAAAAUCCAGUUCAACCCGGUCACUCCAAUCAACGGCUGAUGAUGCAGUUACUAGGAUUUGGACACUUACAAAAUAAGACACGGCUGCAUCCUCGAGAGAAUCUCCCAAUGAGCCACCAUGUAUGCACUUUCCAUAUCCAUGUGCAUUAAAAAGGGAAAUAGAAUAUCCAAUAGAAGGAAGGUGCUGCCAUAUAAAUAAGGGUCAGAGAGAACACGCAAGGGACUUUUUUUUUUUUUGGUGGAGAGAUCAAGACAUAAAGCAGAUUUCUUCCAGAGAGGACGGAGACAUAUUUUUUUUUAGAGAGAUCCACAGCAGAGGAGAUAUUAUUUUGCUGAAACAAAAGAAGGAUUUUUGGCAGGAGAAGGAGAAAGGUGAGAAGAUUUUUUCUGGGAGAGCAGAGAGAUCCACACGGAGAGGGAAGCCACCUCAACGCAUCAAAGGCAGAUUUUUUUUUUAAUACAAGUGAGUUUUUGAAAUAGUUUUGAUUAUUUUUGUUCGUAAUUCAUAAGUCUAUGCUAUUUUUGUUUGAAUCCAUAUGAUAGUCAAAAUGUGUUUGUGGGUUUAAUUUAUUUAGUUUUGUCUUAAUUUACUCCUUAGUUUAAUUUUGUUAUUGAUUCUGAUUUCUUAGUUUAAUUAAUUGACCUUUUUUAGGUAUAAUUUAGGUUUCGAUUUGGUUUAUUAAUUUAUUCUAUUCAUAAUGUUAAUUCAAUUGUCUGAUUAAACCUUUAGAAAGAUUGCGUAUUGUUUUUCCGAUUUCGAUUAUUUUGAUUUGAUCCCUAUUUAAUUUUGAUUGAUUGCAUCAGAUUGGAAACAUUUGAGUUUUAUUAUUCAUACAUUUGCUACUCUUUUAAUUACUUGUAUUUCAUUUAUUUAUUUAUUGAUGAAGUUGAUCCCAUAUUUGAAAGUUCAUAUUUUUAGUAUUCUUUGAUUUAAUGUGAUUCAUUUUAAUUAGUUUAGAUACUUUUAUAAUUUUAGUUCGUUAAUAAAAUUGAUUCUAUAUUAAAAGUUCAUGUCGUUAGUUUACUUUUGAUUGAGUUUGGUUCAUCAAUUUAGUUCAAAUACAUUUAUAGUUUUAGUUCAUUGAUAAAAUUGAUUUUAUGUUUGAAAGUUUGCGUUUUUAGGUUGCUUUAAUUUAAUUUGAUUCAUUAUAUUUAGUUUAUAUAUUUGUUAUAGUUUAGUUUGUUAAUAAAAUUGAUCCCAUGUUUGAAAGUUUCAGUUUUUAGUUUGCUUUGAUUUAAUAAUUUAUAUUCAUUAUUUUUAGGUGCUUAAUUCAUUAGUAAAAUUGAUCCCAUGUUUGAAAGUUCAUAUUUUUAGUAUUCUUUGAUUUAAUUUCAUUCAUUUUAAUUAGUUUAUGUGUUUUUAUAGUUUUAUUAGCUUAUUGAUAAAAUUGAUUCUUUAUUUAAAAGUUCAUGUUUUUAGUGUACUUUGAUUUAAUUUAAUUCAUCUAUUUAGUUUAGACACUUUCACAAUUUUUGGUUCAUCAAUAAAAUUAAUUCUAUGCUUGAAAGUACAUAUUUUUAGUUUGCUUUGGUUCAUUAGUAAAAUUAAUUCUAUGUUUGAAAGUUCAUGUUUUUAGUUUAAUUUAGUCAAACUCUUUAUAAUUAGUUUAGGUACUUCUAUAAUUUUAGUUCCUUACCCGAAUUGAUCCCUUUUUAGUUUUUAUUUCAAAAUCAUCCUUAUCUUAGCUUAUAUGCUUUUAAAAUCCUAGCGGUUAGUUCAUGAAUUGAUACUUUGUUAGUUUGUCUAAUUUAGAAUGUCUUGCCUGUUAGUGAUCCUUCAUUUAAUUUGAUUUUUUUUUUUCUGAGGCCAUUGGAAAAUCAUGAAGAUUGGCCUCUACCAUCACCAUUAUCAUUUUUAUUACUUACUAAAAAAAAAUUUUACUUUGAGGUUUCAUUUUUGUUUUGUUUGGUAUUUUAUUUUUUUCCAAAUUAAUUCCUUUUAUUUUAAAAUAAAUUACUUUUCUCAAAAAAAUCAUUUUAAAAAUCUAUUUCAAAAACUCAUUAGAGUCCUCAGGAUCAAAAUCUCCUUUUUUUUUUUAUUAUUUAAAAAUAAUAUGCAACCAUAUCUUGUUCGGUUUGCAUCCUUCUCGGUUUUCAACAAAAAUUUUGGUUUUGAACGAAGACACGAAUCAAAGCUUGUGGUCCCACAUAAAUGGGAUAAUUUUGAGCUAAAUUCGUGUAUAUCAAUUGGGGAAUUAGUGAAACCCCUACAUUAGAAAAUCUUUUCAAAAAUUAUUUUUGUUGCCACUUUUGUCACUUGUUGAAAUUAUGUCUAUCUUUUUCUAGAAAUUGUAUACAAGAUGAGUGUGAUAAUUAUUGUCUUCAUAUACUUUGAUAAUUUCUGCUAUGAUAAUUAGAUAACGAGCAUGCUAGGAUUUCUAUAUUUUAUUAUUUAUUAUCUAACCCCUUACAAGUUGAGGAAGCACGUUACAAAUUAUCUAUGCUAUCCAGGUAUGUCCACUAUCAUCUACUUUCUGAAUUCUGUGAAUAUGCUGGUCAUUGUGAAAUAAUGCUUAUGUCUAAUAAUGCUUGAGCAUUCUGUUAUACAUGUUUCAUUGUUUGAUUAUUCCUAAUAAAAUACAUGUUGGAUGAUAUAUUGUUUAAAUUAACCAUUUAUGUUUUAUGAUAGCGCUUGAAGAGUGGUUCAGGUACGCACCCUAACUCUCCUUUAUUAUAAUUUGAUUGUGUUUGGCAUGCCACUCUUUAAAAUCACCUAACCUAUUUAGGUAUCUAUAAUUAACUGAUUAAUUGUCACACUUCCCUUGACUUUAUCAGUAGAGACCUUUAGAGGGCUUAGAGGGGUGCUACUUUUUAAAGGUACCUUCCCAAUAGGUAACCUAAUCCCCGGACUUAAACUCAGGUUUUUCAAAGACAUGCUUUUUCCAAAAAUUAUGGAGUCACAUUUAGGGUUUUUCUUUCUUGUUUUAUUUUCCCUUUAAAAUAAAAAUAAGAUAAGUGGCGGCUCCAACUUUUUUUUAAAAUUAAUUUUUCACAAAUAAAAAAGCGAGUCUCGCCGAUCGAGUGGGGACGCACGUGAAAAAUGCGGGUCCACACUAGGCUCUAACUUAAGCCUAAGUUCAAGGCCAAUAGAGGCAAGCCCAAAACGUAUUUCUAUCACAAACCUGGGCUUGGGCUCAAACCUCCACCUAUGGGCAAGCCUAAAAGGCUCCAAAUUCCCUCACAGCCCACCACUCCAACCGGAUCCUUCCUUCAACCCCACUCCUUGGAGACCCUCUUAUGUUGAUGGAAAGUGCACUGAAGAUGCCUCACGUAUGGGGAGAGACACGGUUUUUUCGGGUAUGUAAGUAAUGGGCAUGCAUGAGAGAGCAUGGAGAGUGGAAUGGAUGCAUGGCGUGGUGUAGAGAGAGAAAAGGUGGUGAGGGACAUGUGGUGUGGUGUAGAGAGAGAAAAUGUGGUGAGGGACAUGUGGUGUGGUGUAGAGAGAGAAAAUGUGGUAGGAAGAAAAUGAGGGAGUUGGGUAUUGAAGGUGAGAGAUGGACGGGUGAGGAAUGGGUGGUGAGUGAAAGUGUCCAUGGGGGGUGGCCAUGCAUGUUGGAUAGGGUAUGUGAGCAUGGAAGGUUUGCAUGGACAUGAGGGCUAGGGUAUACAAACGUGGAGAGUUUGCAUGGGUAUGAGGGUGGUGAUGUGCAUGGGUAAGUAUGGAGGUUUGAAAGGAUGGGUAUGUGUUGAUGAAUGGAAACCAUGGGGGGUAGCCAUGCAUGCAUGAUUCCCAUGCAUGUAGGUGGGUGGCUUUGGGAUUCCUAUGGAGAUGAGCAUGGCAUGGGUAUGGUGGGCAACCGGGUAUGAAAAUGGAUGGUAAGAUUAGCUUCUGUAAGUGGGUGUGAUGAAUGGAUGGGGAAGAAUAAUGGGGAGUGGGUUUAAUGGGCUUGGAAUUAAUGGACUGGGUGGCCGGAUUUAGUGAGAGAAAUGAGGCAACCGUCUGGGUACAGAGAGGUGAUGGUGUGGGGUCUAUAAAGGUGGUGGACUUGGGAAGAUCUCCACCAGCUAAUGCAGCUGGAUGGAACUACAUGAAUGCUGUGUUGGAAAAUUACAGCCUAGGAGUGACGUGCUAUGGCUAUACCAAGAGUAGAUGAAGAUAACAAAAAAACAAAGCACAAAAAAGUGGAUUCAAGCAACGAGCCCAUACAAGCCAUGCUUCAUAUCUUAAUCAACAAGCUUAGAUGGGGGUGGGAGAAAUCAAAUGAGUAUCAUAUAAAAGGGUAAAACACGGUUACAAAAUAUCUCAUGAAGGAAUCAAAAUAGGAGCAAACUAAUCUACAGCAAAACCAUUAGCAAAACAUGAACAUGGUCAGUCCUAGUCCACAAACAUCAUCUAAGAAACACCAGAAAAAAAAAACAUAAGAGGAUACCAGUAGAAGCUAAUGGGGAAUCCACAAUAAAGGUACCUGAAAACGCUUCUCUUCAGUGGAUUUCUCCCUAUUCUUGCUCUAGAAGCUCUCUAGAAAAUUCACAAAACUCCCUUCCUUCUUUUCCAGCGAGCCCCCCUCUUUCUCUCCAAAACGUCCUGCUCCUAGUUGCUGCCCCCUAUUCUCCAAUGCCCCCUCUAAAAAAAAUCCCCUUUCCCCAAAAGUCCUUUCUUUUUAUUUCUCCUAUCUUCCCUCGCAAGCCAUCAGCUACUCCACUAUUCACCGCUCAGCAACCUCAGAAGCUUCAACCACCACCAUGGCGAGGGUCACCUGCCUUGUCACGUGCUCCAUGCGGCUGCUCCUCCAAGAAGCCCGGUCCCCCCUUCAAAUGUCAUCCUCCAGGCGCUUCCCAAGUGGCAGGAAGGCUAAAUAUAAUUGCAUAUAUAUAUAUAUAAAACAAAGCCAAAGAGGGGGUCUACAAAUAUGCCCCUCUUCGGUAGAGUUCACGAGUGCAAAGAACAUGAACAUUGAAGUGAAAAGGAAGUGUGAAUAGUGAGUGGAAUGAAGUGAACUCUAUCGAAGAAUCAAGGAGACCCCCAUAGGGACACUAAUGAAACACGAACUCACUCAGGUUAACAGAUGAACAACGAGGCUCUGAUCCUAAAAAAAAAUGAUGUCUCAAAAUGCCUCUGCAGCCACACUAAGGAUCCAAGCUCUCUCUAAGACGUCUCCAAAAGUGGCUCAAAGAUCGAUGUCAAAGAUGAGUAACGGUCGAACCACCCUGGAGUACAAGAAAGAAUGUGCCCGAAGGAGAUUGCCUUAUGUGAACUAUACGAGAAUGCCAAGUGUAGGGUGCUCAACAAUAUGAUUGAAAUAAUGUGUCGUGAACUCAAAGGACUAUGUCAUGUGCAAUGAUGAAACGAUAAGCAUAAGGUAACAAGGUGAGGAGAACGAGAAUAAGUGCAAAUCCAUGAAGGUGAGACGUGCAAUGCCAGUGAAUAUGAAUGCUAGGAGUUGUGACCCUGAAUGUCAUACUGAAACAAAGACCUGGACGUCGAACUGACCUGAUAGGAAGAAUAAAUGACCGAUCUAUAUGGGUGCGGUCCCGACUCAAACUAAACACAAACUAAUAGGAAAAUGGCCGAUCGAUAUGGGUGCGGCCCCGACUCAAACUGAACUAGCAUGACAAGGAGAUGGCCGAUCGAUAUAGGUGCGGCCCCGACUCAAACUGACACGAUAAUGACCGAUCGAUAUAGGUGCGGUCCUAGAAACUGAACUGACAGGAAGAUGGCCGAUCGAUAUAGGUGCGGCCCCGACUCAAACUGACACGACGAAUGACCGAUCGAUAUAGGUGUGGUCCCGACUUGAACUAAAUUGAUAGGAAGAUGGCCGAUCGAUAUAGGUGCGGCCCCGACUCAAACUGACACGACGAAUGACCGAUCGAUAUAGGUGCGGUCCCGACUCGAACUGAACUGAUAAGAAGAUGGCCGAUCGAUUUAGGUGCGACCCCGAAUCAAACUGAACUGAUAGGAUGAUGAUGAGAAGAUGAUCGAGUGACUCAAAGCCAGAUGAUACUAAGAUGACGAUGCAAGCAAACCCGGCAAGAGGGGACAUGCCCCAGUAUGACAACUCAUGAGGAUCAACGACUAGGUCAAAAGAUAACGAAGCCCAUGAGAGGUUCGAUGAUCCUAGAGAAGGAGGGUAUGCCCCAGUAUGCAACUCAAGGGAGUCAACAACUAGAUCAGAAAGUGAAUGAAACCUAUGGAAGGUCUGAUGCUCUCGGAGAAUGAGGAUAUGCCCCAGUAUGACAACUCGCAAGGGUCAAUAACUAAAUCAAAAGCUGAAUGAAGAGUGUAGAAAGCCCGGUGCUCUCGGAUGUAGGGUAUGCCCUAGUAUGUGACAGUGAAUAGAUUGAGAUAUACAAUGUCUCAAAACUACUGUACUCUGAAAUAUGCUCAUCCAUCAUGUAAUGAAAAUGUCCAACCUCAGAUAGGUAAUGCCAAACAAGAUCAUGCAUCGUGACACCAUGCUGACUAAACAGAAAUAACUGACGAAUAAAAACAAUGAUGACCAGUGCUCAAAAUGCGAACAACAAGCAAAUCAACACUCAAUCAUGCCAAUUGUCAAAGUGAAAACAUCGUCACUAAUAAAUCAACAAUCUAUCAGGCCUUGCCAUCAUGGAAGAUGUUAAAUCUAAAGUCCGAAAGAUGUAUGAAAACACAACCAAAGUGAUCGAGGACUAAUCUACAUCUCCUCCUAAUCGAGAGAGAGGUGAGGUCAUGUGUCAUAGUGGGAUGUGUAGGAUAAAAAAAAGUGAUGAUCAGGCUCUGGUACGAUAGAAGGCGUGAAAGUAUCCAGGGUGAAAUGUCUGAGUAUGAAAUGAAAGGUAGGCAAGUAUCCGAGAUCACCCAAGUAUGCCGAGAAGACUAGACCCAAGGCGUCAAUAGCCCCAUAAUCCAUCGAAAGCGGCAAUCACAAACAAAAAGUCAAAUCUCGAUGUCGAAACAUCCAACUAGGUGGCUAUGCCCCAGUAUGCAAUGAGGACAAUAUGAAAUAGUCCAAUGAUCCAUAUCAUCUAGUAGAUGCUCCAAUGUAAAGAACCAAUCUGAUCUCUCUCCAAAAGAUGGACAUGCCCUAGUGUACAGGAUCCAAUAGGGUGGCCAUGCUCCAAUGAAAAAUGCUCUCCCUCCCGGCUAUGCCCCAGUGUAAAUCAGUGCAUCCAAGUCAACAACUGUUGAAAAGGACCACGCAUAGUGCAUAUCAAUAAAUCAAUCGAUCUCCACUCCUGACGCCAAAAAUGGAAACAUCUCAACAUAAUCCAUAUGAAUCAGAAUCCCCGAGCUCUAUGAGUACGAAUGAACUGGCUAUGCCCCAGUAUAAACCAUCUGAAGUGACUAGGCUCCAAGAUAAAUCAAAGUCCAUCACCGAUGAGAGGGCUAUGCCUCAAAAUAAAUCGUCAUCUCAAAAAUCAACCAUCAAUGAGUAGAGUGUGUCCCAAUGCAGAGUAUCGAGUAGAGUGACUGUAUCUCCAAUAAAAGUGCUCUCUGAAGUGGCUAUGCCCCCAGUGUAGGGUCAUCCCACAACUACUAAUCCAUCAUAACCCAAGUGAAGAAGUAAACUGACUAUGCCUCAGUGCAAAGCAACAUCCCAAAAGAAAACGUCAUCGAUGAGCGGGGUAUGCCCCAGUGUAGAUAACGACGCCUCUGAAAAUCCAUCAUCGAUAAAAGGGGUAUGCCCCAGUGUAAAGGAUCUGAUAAGGUGACUAUGCUCCAAUGAAAAAUGCCCCCCAUGGCGGCUAUGCCCCAGAGUAAAGCAAUGCAUCCGAGUCAACAAAUCAAUCAAUCUCUACUUUUGGUGCUAAAAAUGGAAACCUCUUAACAUAAUCCAUAUGAAUCAGAAUCCCCGAGCUCUAUGAGUAUGAAUGAACUGGCUAUGCCCCAGUAUAAACCAUCUGAAGUGACUAUGCUCCAAUGAAAAAUCAAAGCCCGUCACCAAUGAGAAGGUCACGCCUCAAAGUAAAUCGUCAUCUCAAAAAACAACUAUCAAUGAGUGGAACGUGUUCCAAUGCAGAGCAUCGAGUAGAGUGAUUGUAUCUCCAAUAAAAGCGCUCUCUGAAAUGGCUAUGCCCCAAUGUAGGGUCAUCCCGCAACUCCUAAUCCAUCAUAACCCAAGUGAAGAAGCAAACUGACUAUGCCUCAGUGCAAAGCAUCAUCCCGAAAGAAAACGUCAUCGAUGAGCGGGGUAUGCCCCAGUGUAGAUAACGGCGCCUCUGAAAAUCCAUCACUGAUAAUAGGGGUAUGCCCCAGUGUAAAUCAUCAUCUCAACUCCCCAUCCAUCAUGCACCGAGAAAUAAUCUCCAACUAAUCUCAAGUAUUGCCCAUGUGUGAGCCGUCAAGCACAAUGUGAAGUAAUGGCCUCAGGGUGGUCUUCAGACUCGGGACGUAACGUAGGCUAAGGUAAUAAGGUGAAAGAGAUGAAAGGAAACUAGGCUCAAAGAUCCCAACGAUAUAAUCCCCAUACCCCUCAUGCAUGAGAUGCAAUGCGUAGAAAACGUCAUGAGUCCCGGACCUAGGGGUCCCCACACGAAAAGUGAUGAUAAAUGAAUGGUCACAUGGAAUGAACAAGUAUGAUGUGUGUGUACCAAUCCCAAGUCAAACAUUAAGCAGGAUGAAAAAAAGAAAGAAAUCAGAAGAGCUAGGGUGGAAUGGAGGAACAAAACAAAGAUACAAGAAAACAAAGAGAUAGAAAAAUGAGUGAUGGUCAACCUGCAUCAAAGUAUAGAAAGUAGUCACAUCCGAAAUAGAUGGAAUGAUGGAUGGAGCAAGGAUCCAGAGAUACUAAAGAGAGGUCGCUCGUCUCUCUCACAAAAAUGAAUGGGCGAAUCAUACUCUCACCCAAAAUAUACCAAGAUGGAAUCUCAGAAAGAAGCUCUCAUACGAACUCUCUCUAACACAUGAACCUAAUGAAGCAAACUAGCACAUCCAUACACAUGCCCAAUGGAGAAUAAUAAAAUGAACAAUGCGCUAUCUUUUUUUUUUUUUUUUUUUGCGCAUACUCUGAUCAAUAAUGAUUGAUCUCCCAUGAAAUACAUAGCCAAAUGAAUAAACUCUCCCCAUGUACUGAUGUAACACGAAUCCUCACUAACAAGACUUCUCAAAAUAAGAUCUCUGAACCAUUGCCCAUAAGGCGAACGGGAGAGGAACGUGACAAUCCUCCAUGCAGUGACGUGUGAGAAACCAUCACUCAAGGUGAAACAAGGAUAAUGUCGAGUAAGUAAUAAUGAAAGAAAAGACAGAGAACGGAUAUCGCAAGUGGUGAUAUGUGAUAUAAGAAAAAUAGUGAUGAAAUGAUGUCCAGGUGGAAAAUAUCAUAGUGAAGAGUGAAGAAUGAGGCUCAAAUAUGUAUGUCAGGUCUGGAACUCAUGACGUAUCCAAACAUAGCAUGCAAGCACUACAGGGUCCCUAACCCGAUGUAAUAGGUAAAUGAGGUGAUGAAAGAAAAGGCUAUGUGCUCGUGUGAGGCUCAAAGGGCUAGCAACGGGUAACUCUAUAUGUGAGGGUGAUAAAGUAAAUAGGCUCAUGAAAUGAUGGCCACCCAUCCUUUGACCAAAACCUCGAACAUUGUGUUCUCGAGAUCUCACAUGGCCAAUACUAAAGACUGGCAUCCAUCCAACAUAGUCAUGGCGACUCCUCCGAAAUCGUGCAAAAGCUCCCAUUGAUGCUCUAUGAUAACCAUCAAUGUCCUCUGAAAAUCGACUCACUCUAUCAUCACAAGCCACUCAUUAUCGUCUCAUAAAAUCACCAUCUCUAAUCAUCCCGACUCUCUGAAGUCAUAUGCAAUGGCUCAAAUCUGGAUGCUCCAUGAUAAUCCCUCUAUCUCAACAAUAUCAUCAAACAGUCAAGCCACUCUCUCAUCACGAUCCAUCUAUCAUCGUGCAAAGCUCGCCUCGGGUCAAACCAUCUCAAACACUACCUAGUCAGAUCCAUGAAAUGAUGGAAAGGAUAGGCAAUGAUACUGUAAUAUGCUAAGGUGAACAAUGGAUGGUAAAGUCAUACAGUAGUACCAAAGGGUGGUGUCAUGUCAGGCUCAAAAUGGGUAAGUCGAAAAGUCCACAGAGUCAGGGUAUGGAUAUGGAUAUGGUACUGCUUUGAACGGAAGGUGAAAUGGGUCACAGUCUCGAACUCCCUAGGUCGAUCUCCUAAUCCUAGGUCAAUAGGCUCAAUAUCCUCCAUGAUAGGUCAGGCCAGAGUGGUCGUGAUGUGCAAAUGAAUAAAUGUCCUAAGUCAAAAGUACAACACAUCAUUUGAUAUAUGGUCCUGUGAUGGCAAUCUAAAAUUGGAAAUAUGACAGAAACUCUAAGGUCAUAAAGGUGUCCAUUAUGAGAUGGCUGCAAAUGUGACUAGAGAAUCUCCAUCAAUAAUCCGAGGUAAAGAGAGGUGUGAAAAACACGCUAUCACGAGAUCAAUACUCCAUCUAUAACCACAUAUCCUUGAAUCAACCUUCGACUCGAGCUCCAUAAGAGAAAAAUAAUAAGGUGAUCAAGGCGACUCUCUCGAAAAAAGUGUGAAUGUGAAAAUGCGCCUUUCACCCUUCUGUAAUGAAAAUUCGAGCAUCGGGUUGAAAAUUGAAUUAAGUAUCCAACGAAAAAAUGAGGUACUGAGCCCGUGAUAGGUGUACAAUGCAAAAACAAGAUGAUCAUGAUCGAUGAACAUAUCCUGAAGCAUCAAGUAAGUGUCAACAAAGUGAAAGGAUGUGUCGAGCCAGGAAAGAAAAACGAAAGCCCUAAGGAAAAACAUGACAAACCCAUCGAGUGAAAAACGUAAUCCAAGGUCACACAAUAGAGGUGAUCCGACCAAUACUCAAACUCACACUGGUCUCUGAGCACUCCCAACUGGAGACUAAAAAGAGGGAGUGUCAAAUCCAAACUAUGACCUCAGAGGCUCUGAAAGCCCUCAGAUGCACCCACGUGUAGGGAAGGGAGUCCUAAUCAAAGGAUCUAUAGCUCAACCUACAAGGUCAAGGUGGCUCUAAGAGGAAAAAGAUAGACUUUAAAAGAUCCCUAGCAGAAACGAUUGUACCCUCCGACGGUACGCAACCCUCUGCACGCCUCCAAAGAGACGGGGAGCUUCCAUGCAAGGUGGUCAUCACCUCCACACAUGCACUACCUCGACAUCCUAGGGGGUUUCCUAUAGUGAAAGCUCUCAAAACUCUUAACGCUCAAUGGUCGACUAAAGUGCACAGUGAACAGUGUGGGUGCAUCCGAAAAUCCUAUAAAACUAAAAGAAAACACACUGGACACACAAAUAUCCUGAAAUCUAGCUCUGGGCUAUACAAGUCUUCAAAGUUCGGACUCCAAUCAGCAUCAAUAUAUCGACCACCUCCAGAAUGCUCCCAAACAUAGAUAUAGCCCAUCGCUAGACCCUACUCCUAAUCACUAGCUCAGUCGAAGAGCAAACAGAGCAAACAAGUCUCAUAUCAAAUACGAGAGCCAGGAAAACAAUGUCGACCGAGACUAGGGUCUUAGGAAUAAGGGGAUAAGUGUGUGUCCCACAUAGACAGGCAACACAUGUAAUCAAGCAGAAGAAGGGCAAUCAUGCGACAUGCAGUCAGACAGAGUACAGGAUAUAUCACUCAUGUCCACACACAAACUAUGAUAGUCAAAAUGAAUAGUGAUACAGACAUCAUGCUCAAAGACAAUCAACAAAAUAUAUGACCCAGAGAAUCGACAUGUCAAAUCAAAACAACAACGAAUCCAUACAUGCAAGGCGAUCAGAAUAAUCAUGGCAAAUGUCAGAAUCACUAUGCUAAGCGAAAUAAGAUAGGCAAUCAAUACAAUCAGCAUGUCAAUAUCUCAAACGAAUAUGACAAUGAAGCAUAGAGAUAAUAGCUAUCUCAGAAACCUCUAUCAAGACGAAUCAAUCAUCAUAAUCAGCAUGUCAAAUAUCUCAAACAAAUAUAUCAAUGAAGCAUGAAGAAAUUGGCUAUAUCAUAAUCCCCAACCAAAAUAAUCAACCAAUAUGAUCAACAUGUCAAUGUCCCAAAGUGAAAACUCGGGAACUCUCAAUGUGCAAUCAAGAGAUAGGUAUCCACUGACCGACUCAUCAAACGCCACAUUUGCUUCAUCCUAAGUUCAAGCUUGACCCUCUAAAAGAUCCCCAGCGGAGUCGCCAUUUUGUGGACCCCGUGCCUCUCGGUUCAUGAGAAGGUCUCAGUUGAUGACAACAUGAACUCACAGUUCUAUGAUUCCGGUAUGAAGCAAACUGUGCUGGAGAAUGCUUUAGGGUUGUAGAUGGGAGAGAUACUUACAGGCAUGGAAUUUUUGGAAAGGGGGCUGCCACUUUGAAGAUCCACACCACGCACUCCACAGGAGUUUUGGGAGCAUCAUAGCUAUUUCAAAAAACUUCUUUUUCCUUGCUGCCAGUUUUCGUGCAACCACUAGCCCUUUAGUGUUAAAAUUCAUUACAGAAAAUUUAGAAUAUUUUUAAAAAAUUUUCAAAGCUUGUAUGACUUGUCUCACCCCUUGAACUUGAAUUUAAAGUUUUGUUUGAGUUAGAAAACAAUUCCAGAACAAAAAAAUAUAAAUGAGUCUUUAGGGGGCUCCCUUUUCACCCAAUUCUAGAUAUCCGAGACCUUUUUGCAAAAAUAAAAUACCAAACGACUUUUUAAAUUUGAUUAAAUAUUUUUCCUCAAUUUUAGGCUUCUUGAAAUUGAUAUUAGACAUAUAAAAUAUUAAAAAAUAUUCCUUUUUGAGGGAGAUAUGAUUUUUCAAAAUUGUACCUACUCUACACGCUGAAUUCUGGACAUCUAAUUAGCUUGAGUGUUUUAAAAAUAUUUUUGAAUACUAUCCAACCCUAGAUUCAUUUUUUAUGUGAUAUAGAGACUUGAAAUAUGUAUGUGAUUUUUUUGUAUGAUUUUAUGUGAUCAUUUAUUAUUUUUAAAAAAUUCUUUUAUGCAUGUUAGUUUUUCUUAUCUAAUCUGGACUUUAUGAAACCUUUAGGUGUUUUUGCUGCAUAUUUGUCAUUUGAAUGAGAGUUUGGCCUUCGGUAAGUUGAUCUAGAUGUGUAGGAGUUGUUUCCUAAAUUUUUUUCGUAAUUAAAUUCCACUCUAAGCCAUUUUUUAGAAAUUGUUUUUUUGAUGCUCCAUUUUCUAAUUGCAUGCUGAUGAUCUUGUACAUUGUUUGAAUUGGUUAUUUAUUUUUGGAGUCAUUUGACUUACCUUGGCUCAAUUUUAGCUUUGGUACUGUAUAUUAGACAUAAUAGAGAUGUUAUAUAAUUUAUACUUGUCCUAACCAUUUCUAACUUUUUUUGAGAAAUCUUAUAAAUUAUGCAUGCUAUCCAGGUACGCUCUCUAUCACUUACUUUUUGAAAUUUUAUGAACAUGCAUGUUGUUGUGAAUUUCAUUUAUGCUUGAUGUGAUCCUUAGGUGCUUCGAAGUAUACUUGAUUUGCUAGGAUAAAACACAUAUUGUGUGCUAUAUUUCCAAACUAACCAUUGAUGUUUUAUGAUAGCGUUUAAGAAGUAGUCCAAGUACGCACCUUAAAUCUUCUUUAUGAUUUGUGAUUGGUUUUUCUUGUUUGGCAUGCUAUUUUUGAAAUCACCUAAUCUACCUAGGUAUCCAUAAUCAAUCAAAUUAAUUGUCAUAUUUCUCUCAACUUAGUCAGUAGAGACCUUUGUAGGGCUUAGCGGGGUGUUGCCUCUUAGAGGUACCUUCCCAAUAGGUAACCUGAUCCUCGGACCAAGACUUGGGGUUUUUUCAAAGACAAGUUUUUCCAAAAACCAUGGAGUCAUUUUUUUAGGGUUUUAUUUCUUGUUUUAUUUUCCCUUUAAAAUAAAAUAAAAUAAAUGGUGACUCUGACUUUCCCAAAAACUAAUUUUUUUCACCAAAUAAAAGCGAGUCUCGUCGAUUGAGUAGGAACACACGUGAAAAAUGCGGGUCCACAUUUACAUUUCAGACUUGGAGUCUUGGUCAGCAUUUGUUUGGUCCGUUAUUUUAGUUUUGCUUUGUCAACAUAGUUUUUGUGAUGUAUGGUCUUGUUUAAGCAUUUAUUCAUUGAUGUUAGACUUUUUCAUUGCAUCAUCAUUGAGCAUAUCCUAGAGUGUCUUGUAUGAUGACAUUCUGUGUCUUAUGUUGGUUACUAUUUUACAUUAGGGCAUACCCCUAUCCUUGAGUUUAUUAGGUUUUUUGUAGAUUUUCUCACUAUUUGAUCUAUUUCUUGAUCUUUGUGAGUCGUCAUAUUAGGGCAUACCCAUUUUAGUUUUUUUUUUUUUUUUGGAGCAUACCCCAUUUUCAUUGAGUUCAUUAUCCUAGUCACUUUUUUAGGGUUCUUUUAGGUGUUUCUGGUUGUAGACCACAUUCCUUGUUUCUUGUUUUGGCUUUAGGUGUUUUCUUUUGUAAAUCGCUUACUCUCCCUACCAUUGGUUUGUUUAGGGCACUCCCAAUUUUCUUUAGUUUGUUUAGGGCAUCCCUCUUUUAUCAGUUUGUUUAGGGCAUUCCCCUAUUGUCAAUUUGUUUAAGGCAUCCCCAUUUUUUCAAUGAUUCUCACCACCAUGGAUUAGACAUCCAUAGGCAUUUCAAUUAUCUUACCACCAUGGAUUGGACAUCCAUGGGCAUUUUAGUGAUUCUCACCACCAUAUAUCAUACAUCUAUGAGAAUUUUAGAUUCACUACCAUAGAUUAUCAUCUAUGGACCUCAAUCAAUUUUCACCAUCAUAGAUUUUCAUUGAUGGGCCUUAAUCAGUUUUCACCACCAUAGAUCAGACAUCUAUGGGCAUUUCAGAUUCGCCAUCAUAGAUUAUCAUCUAUGGGCCUCAAUCAGUUUUCACUACCAUAGAUUAGACAUCUAUGGGCAUUUUAGAUUCACCACUAUAGAUUGUGUAUCUAUGGGCAUUUGUUACAGUUAUCUCACUAUCAUACAUUUUCAUUUAUGAGCAUUUGUUUCAGUUAUCUCACCACCAUAGAUUGGACAUCUAUGGGCAUUUCAGUUGAUUCACCACCAUGGAUUUUCAUCCUUAGGCCUUUGAGAUUAUCACCAUCAUAAAUUUUUAUCUGUGGGUCUUUGAGAGUUUCACCACCAUAGAUUGACAUCUAUUGGCAUUUCAGUUGUAUCACCACCGUAAGACUUCACUUGUAGGCUUUCUGAUUUAGCAUUUAGAGUUAGCUUUUUGGUUUGGCUUCCAGAGCCAUUCUUUUCUUAGUUUAGCGUUUAAAGUCAAUUUUGUCACUCAGAACUACAACUCUUAAUAUUCAUGAUCACUAGCAUUACAUCUUUGUUCUCACAAUUUCACAUUUCAUCUUACUUCUCUUUGUUGCAUAUGUGUUUCUCACUUCAUUAUGAUAUUCUAGAGUCUCUUCUCAUCUUUUGUGCAAGAUAUAGCUUUAUGAGCUAGUAGCAUGUGUCUUGAUUGUAUUGUUAGAUACUUUACACCUUAUGUCCUCGUAUGGUUUUUCCCUUUGUACUUAUUCCUAUGCUCUUUGGUGGUUUAACUGCUACUUGACUUCAAUAUCGAUUUUCGAGUCACUUUGGAGACUUUUCAGGGGUAGUCUGGAUCCAUAGUGUAACUUUAGGGGCACCUUAAGAGUUUCCAUUCUUGCCAUUUCAUUUUUAUAGGAUUUUAGAGCCUCUUUGUUCUUGUUUUGGGUUAAGAGAGCUCAUGUCAUAUUAGGAUAGAUUUGGUGGUCUUUCUUUUUCUUCGGUAGAGCCCACUUCGUUUUGCUUGUCCUUCUUCCUUUCAUUUUCCCUCUACCCACAUUUACUUUCAUCUUCUCUUUUUUCCUUCUUUUUCCUUUCAUUUUCUUUAUUCUUUAUCUCAUUUUUUAUUUUAUUUUUUUCCCUCUAACCCAUGGUCGUAACUUGCCACUGCCGGUGGCCAUUGUCCUUCCAUCUUUAUUCGAUGAUGGCUGCUAUUAUUGUGGUUACCCUCUCAUUGCAGUUUUCUUCUCCACGUGACUUCAAGACCAUGGGUAAACCCUACCCUUUGAUCUUUAUGGCUUAUAUUUAGGCUAUUGGAUUUUGUUUGUGGGCUUGAAUUUAGGUUGAACUUAGUUUCAAUAUUAUUUGGGCCUUGGGCUUAUUGGUAUUUGGAUUGCGUUUUGGUUUGAGCCUACUUUGUCAAUUGGAUUUGAUUUAUGAUUUGAGAUUUGGGCUUAGUAUGUUGUUUCAGAAUUGCCAUUUCAAUUUAAUUGCAUUUGGGUUUUCCUUUUAUUUUUAUGGGGCUUGUAUAUUAUCUGGGCUCUGCUUAUUUCUUUUGCUUCUUCAUUUGAGUUAUUUUUGUUUUUGUAUAGAUUCAUUCUAUAAUUCUGUUGGCUAAGUACAAAUUUAUAACACAUGGUGCAUGGAAUUUCAUGGAAGAAAGUGAGAAUCGAAAAACUGUAAGAAGACAUUAAACUUGUUGUAAGCUUAUUGGGGUACACGUUUCAUUUCCCACUACUAUUUGAUUUUAAUUUUAUUAGUUUUUGUAAAUAUUUGUUUGUAUAUGUUUAUUUGUUGUGUACAAAAUUGGAUAUCGAACAAAUCAGAAAUUUUGUUUAAAUAAGAUGAAUAAUUCAGUAAAUAUGUUUUAAUAAAAUAAUAAAUUUAAAAUAUUCUUCUUAAUAAAAGAAAGUUUUUUUAUUAAUAAAAAUUCAAAAAAAUAUUGUUUUUAAUGGAAUUUGAAAAAUAAUAAUAAUAAUAAUUGUACAAAAAUUGCUUUUAAUAAAAUUGUCCAAAAAAUGUUUUUUUUUUAAAAAAAAUAAAUUCUUUUUCCUUAAUUAAAAUAAGAUUAAAAGUAAUUUUUAGAAAUAGAGGAUUUAAUUUUUUUUCUUUUUAAUUAAAAAUUCUUUUGCAAAUAAAGUUUUUUUUUUUUUUAAUAAUAUGUAUAAGUCACUUUUAUUAAAUGAAAAUAAAUUGAAAUGUUUUUUUAAAAAAUAAAAUUUUAAAAAUUCAUUCUUUUCUAGUAAAAACAAGUAAAAAUAAUUUUUGUACCCAAAUUGAAAUUUUGUAAUAAAUUCUUUUGAUACAAUAAGUGUAAAUAACUCAUUAACUCUUUUUUAUAAAUAAAUAAAUUAAAAUCAUUAAUUCAAAAUUAUUUUUAAUAAAAUCAUUUGAAAUUUCUUGAAAACUAUUUUUUUAAUAUCUUUUUUUAUUUAGUUCAAUAAAUCAUUUUUCAUAAUUCUCUUGUUAUUUAUUUUGUAUAUUCUUGUAAUUAAAUUUCAUCAUAAUUUUUGUACAUAUUGAUUUUCAACAUGACUUGUACAUUGAUUAUUUUUCUUGGUAUCCAUAAUUAAUUAAUUGUCAUAAUUCCCUUAAUUCGUUUAGCAGAGGUCGUACGUAUACAAACUUAGAGGGGUGUUACGGUUCACUAUCGUACCUUUCCAAUGGGUAGCCUGACCCCCAAACUCGCCUUUGGUUUUCCACAGAUUGUCUUUUCCAAAUAAGAAGUCACACUUAAAGUUUUUUUUCUUAUUUUGUUUUCCCUUAAAAAAAAAAAAACAAAACAAAAAUAAGUGGGACUUCAAAUCUUUUUCAAAAAAUCAAAUUUUCAACAAAUAAAUGAAAAGUGAGUCUCGCCAUUCGAGUGAGAACGCACAUGAAAAGCGCAGGUUCACACUAUUUCAUAAAAAAAUAUUUUUGAAAUAAUAUUUUUGAGUGAUUUUUUAUAUUUUUAAAAGUCUUUCAAACAUCUAAUUUUGUAAAGAAGUGUUUUCAAAUAUUCAAAAGCACUUUUAACUUUAUUAAAAUGACUCUAAAAUGAACUAUUAGAAUUAAAAUUGAUUUUGAGAGGAUUAAAAGUGUUUCAAUGAUGGUAGUAGCGAUAUUGUAAAUUCUAUAAAGUUUAUUUGAUAGUGAUUUUAGAGUGUUAGAAGGUUUUUUUAAUAUUUGAAAAUAUUUUCUUAUAGAAAUUAGAUGUUUGACAAACUAAAAAAUGUUUUAAAAAAAAUUAUUUUCUCAUGUUUGAUUUAUUAUGAAAAAUAUGGAAAAAAAAAUCAAUUAAAAACUUAUGCUUUUUCAAAUUAUUUAAUUAGUCUUAAAAAAAAAAGUAAAUGAUUUUAAAAAUUCUUUUUUAAAAUCAAUAACAAUUUUAUUUUUUUCACUCUUUGAUUCUUCUUCCAUUUUAGCUAAUUAUCAUGUCAUUUAAGCUUAAAAAUAUGUUUUCAAUUUAAACUUAAUAAUAAGUUCAAAUGGGUUUAAGUGAGUCCUGAAAAAAAAAAUUCCAAUAAAUAAAGUCAAUAAAUUCAAUCUCUUAGCUCAGGUGUGAUUGGCAUAAUUAACUUAAUGUUCAAGUAUUUAAAAUGACUAUAAAUAAAAUUAUAAUUAAUGUGUUAAUUUAAAACUAAUUUAUGAGAUUAUGAGAAAUAAAUGUGAGGGAAAGAUAUAUGAACAACCCAAAGAACAAUAGUUAGGACUAGAAAAAAUUAUGUCAUUUUAUCAAAUAUUUUUAAUAAUUGAAAUUUAGUUAUUAAGGGUCUAUUUGAUAAUUGUUUUCGAAAAUAGUUUUGAAAAAUAAUUUUUAAGCAUAGUUUUUAAAAACUUUUCUUUGAUGUUUUGUAGAACAAAAGUUUGUUUCGAAACCUAAAAUGUUUUUAACUCGUUUUUAAUAUUUUUAAAUAUGUUUUAAAAAUAAUUUUUAUAUUUUAUGUUUUUAAUCAUUCUACAUGCUUGUAUAAUUACUUAAAAUAAUCCUAAAAAAAUAAGUAAAAAUAACAAAAAACAACUAAAAGAUGUUCUCUGAAAAUACCAUGUUUUUGUUCUUAAACAAUUUUUGGUUGUUAUAUGUGUUUUUUUGUUUUUUGUUCUAAAGAACAGGCUAGGUGUUCUUUUGGAUACAUUUUUCUAUUUUUAUUUUCAAAAUAAGAUCUCUUACAUAAAAAGUAAUAUCUUAUGUUUUAAAAAAUAAAAUAAAAUUUGAGAUAGUAAAAAAAAUUUAAUUCUUCAAAAUUUUUAAACAUUUUUUAAAAAUUAUCUUGUUUUUAAAAUAAGUCUUUAAAAAACUCUUAAAUUGUAUGUCAAAGUUAUUAUUACUUUUGUUUCUAAAAAUGUACAUCUAAACAACAUUUAAGUCAUAUCCAACUCAUAUUAAGUCAUUAAUUCAAUUUAACGAAAUUUCUCUUAGUUGGUAUAGACUCGAUUAUUGAAGCUAUAUGUUAGUAUUCUUUUAAUGCAUCAACCUCCACUCAAUUAAUACAACCUCAUAAGUUGCCUUCCAAGCCAGAGUCUAUUAUUAAGUCAUGAAUAUUAAUAAAUGAAACUAAUUAUCCCAACAAUAAAGUCAUGUGCCACAUUCAUUUCAAUAAUUCAUGAAAAAAUGACCAACUUUGUAAACAAAUCUUAUUUAUACAAGUUUCAACUACUUGAAUAAUUACUCUCAUAAAUUAUAAAAAUUACCCUUAUACUUUCAUAUAUGCCUUAAUUCAUCUCUAAAGUUUUUAUUUUAUUUUAUUUAUUUAUUUAUUUUUAAAUAAAAUAAUAAAAAUAAAAAUAAAAAACAACAUCAACCCCACACUAGUUUCAAAGAUGAAUAAAUUCUUAUGAAUGGAACAUAGACAAAUUAAAAAUAAACAAACAUCUAUUAUCAUAACAUAGACACACGUUAUCGAUCUUUAGUGGUGAGCAUGGUGAUGGUGGCAAAGUUGCACUUCAAUGCCCUUUUAACUCUAGAGGAAUAAAGAAGGGCUUUUGAUGGAGAGGGUGGAUGGUAGUUGAACAUUGGUGUUAGUGAAAUUGGUUGGAGUACUUUUAAAAACAUUUAAAACCCAUUCAACAGUGAUUGUAAAAGGAAUUAGAAAGUGGAAUUGGUUAGAGUACUUUUAAAAGCAUUUAAAGUUUGUUUGGUAGUAAUUUUAAAAGGAAUUAGAAACACGAAUAAUUGUUUUGUAGCAAUUUGGAAAAUUUGAAGAGGGUUAAAAAUAUUUUUUAAUGUUUGAAAAUGAUUUUUUUUUCUUGAAUUUAGGAACAAUUUAGCAAUGGUUCUUGAAAACAGUUUUUGAUUCUUUACAAUAGAACAGUGUUUUCUAACCGUGCGUUUCAGAGAAUAAUUUUUGUUAAAAUAUGCAUAGCAGUGGUAGAUUAGCAAUUAAAGGGAAGGAUUUUCCAGGACGGGGCAAGUGGAAAGGCACAUUACUACAGAUCUCUGCUGUCUGUCAGCUAUCAACUUGUCUCUCUACAGUGGCCAUGAAUGCUCUUAGGGAAAGACAUCCCAUUGAACUUUUCGAUCAAGGUAGCAACAAGGAAGCACAAUAGCUUUUAUGAGGGUUUUCUCCUCCAAGUUGCCUUUCCAUGUGUCUAAAUCCACCCAAGAACAUCCAUUUCUAUAUGUAUAUAUUUAGCAUCCAAGUCUCUCGUCCAGAGUAGAAGGAAGUGAAGUCAGAAAAUGGCUCUCAAUUUGAAUCCCUUGCUUUCUUUUACUUUCCUGCAAAUGGGUUAUCAUUCAUCUCCCAAAUUCUCCAUGGCCUCCAUGCACCGCUCUGUGUCCAGGUGAGUGUGUUCUUCACUUCUAACAAAAGUGUACGGAAUGUUCAUACCAUCUAGUAGAAAAUGACUAGUGCCUAUGUUCAUUGUUUCAUCCUAACCAGUGUCUAACCCUUGUGAAAAGACGCAUCUGAACUGUAAGUACCUAAUCCAAAUUUCUUCUGUUUAAUGUAGGGAGAUUAAGAAUACAAAGAAGACUUCUAGCUCUCCUCUCAAGGUGCAAGUAACCCACUCAAUGCCACCACACAAGAUUGAGAUUUUCAAAUCCAUGGAGAAUUGGGUUGAAGAGAACGUUUUAAUUCAC
rnacentral:lncRNA from 1 species